AAGGAGGCUUAAUCUUCCGAGGUGGCUUGUAUGAGUCUUCAGCAUUCUCAGCUGGAGGGUGACCAGGGUUGUGACCAUAAUGUGGUGGCUUCUCUCCCUUAGGUGGUUUGCCAACUGGGGUUGGUGGCUUGUAUGAGUCUUCAGCAUUCUCAGCAGGAGGGUGACCAGGGUUGUGACCAUAAUGUGGUGGCUUCUCUCCCUUAGGUGGUUUGCCAACUGGGGUUGGUGGCUUGUGUUCUGGGAGUGGCUUCUCCCCCUUGGGAGGUUUUUCCAAUGGGGUUGGUUUGUGUUCAGGAGGUGGCUUCUCCACUGGAGGCUUGUGUUCAGGAGGUGGCUUCUCCACCGGAGGCUUGUGUUCAGGUGGUGGCUUCUCCACCGGAGGCUUAUGCUCUGGUGGUGGCUUCUCGAAUGGGGGAUGCUUAGGAUAAUCAGCAAGUGAGGGGGCGGUGAGAACCACCAGGCCAAGCAACACCACUAGCAAAUAUGUAGGAGACAUCUUUGGGUUUGGGCUCAGAUGGUGCAAAACUAGGAGAAUUGGCUAGCCUUUUAUAGCGGAUCGUACCCAAUAAUGAAAUGACACGUGUCAUUAUGACCCAUGUGUAAUGGGGUCGAUUUGGGUCCUACAGUGUUGAAAACUUCGACAUCCACUUUUGGCCUUUUGCUUUCUCUACAGCCGCCUUGCUUUUUCCCUCUUUCCUUUUGUUUUCCUCCUGCCCCAUUCUAUCAACUAAACACAAUUAUGUAGUUGUUUAAUUCUUAAAUGAGAUAUUAUCCGUCAAUCGUAUUAUAUUUUAUCAAGAGAGAACGGAGUGCAAUGUGGCUGUAAUUUUAUCGUUUAGUUUUAUCUCUUGGACCACUGCAUUUUUGUUAAGAGGUGCAAUAAUACACGUCUUUAUCUGCCAUUCAAUAUUUACAGUAAAGAGAGGGCACAAAACUCUUCACUUCGCACCAUAAUUAUUUUGUUUUCUGGACACCCCGGGGCCCUUUGGUUGGUUUGGGGGUCAGAAAGUGAACAUCAUAGGGGGUUUUUCCCUUAUGUGCAUUUGUAUCUGAUGGCUUUAACUCGCCUUGUUACUACAAAGAAACUGUCACAGAUAGGAACUUAUUCCAGGCUGAGUAUCUCCUCAUAGACCCUAUAAAAGAAGACAAGUCAUAAUGAACAUCUAACCUUUGUUCAAUUUGAUUCAAUGCCCCCAUUGUGUCCAUCUCACAAAUCUGAAUUAUUAUAUCCAUUGAAUACAUAAAUUAAUGAAGAAAAUAUGAAACCCAAGAUACAUCUCUGCACAACCUCAACCCUGGUUGCUAUGUUUCCCUUCUAUUCACAUGAUUUGAUGCUAAUUGCCAAACUUGCAACAAGCCCUGAGUUUGACACCUAGUAUCGAUGGGCGAAUUUAAAGUCUCCUCCAAACAUAUAUUCCACAGCUUGAAGCUCACAGAAGAUGUUACAGGCAGGGAAAAACCUUCAGAGUUCGCUACCAAAGAUAAUUAUUAAGGAGAUAUCACAAAGAGAAUUCCAAGGGGUCUGAAUCAAAGACAAAUUGGUCGUUCGUGGGGGUUCUUACUUUCUUUUGGGUAUAACUCACUGAGGGCACUGUCUUUGUUAUUUGCAUUUCACAUUUAGAGUUCUGUUCUGGAAACAUAUAAAAGGAGCAUCAUUUUGUUCUUGGGUAACCCAUAGUCGUGAGUGGGUCCAUUUGCAUGCUACUUAGUUGAAAAGUUGGACCAUUUGCUCCGACGCCUACCUCCCGGAUUCCAUGCUCGGAUAAAACAAGAAUAAAAAAAAUAUUUAUAAUUUACAAAUGGGGGAAAGAAAAAAAUGUCAACAACAAACCAGGAAAAAAGAGUAGUAAAAUUCAUGUCACAUGCUAGUGAGAGAAGGGGUUGUUACACUCACUCGAAGUUCUUUCCAAAAUAUCGCAUGGUAUUUUAUUUUAUGUGUCAGCGCAGUUGUGAAUGGAACGUGCAAAAGUCCAAAUUGGCGUUUUUCCUUUUCCCGUGUAGGAUGGCGACCUUUAAUAAAUAUUUAAAACAAAAAACGAAAAAAAGGAGGGAAAAGGGAUCAGAAAAGAUAAAACAAUGUGUACAAGAGCUCAAUUAGUUUGCAAAUUACUGUUUGGAUUUUGAUAGUAUUUUAUUUGUCCAUCUAUAUUUGAUGGAAAAGAGAAUUUAAGAUAUUUCUGAAACAAAAGCAUUAGUGUAAAACUAAAUUAAGGUAUAAUUAAGUUAGUUCAAUGCAUUAAUUUAAGAAACUUGAUCUAUCCAAAGUACAAAAUUAGAUGAAAUCCAUUUCAAUGGUUAAAAUGAUCAAAAUCAAACUUUUUCUAAGUAUUUUUUAAAAGCAUCAAUAUUAAAAGACAAUUUUAUAUUUAGUCGGAGUUUGGACAAAACCAAAAAGCACACAAAAUCCAAGCGACCAUCUCUAGCUUGGAUAGUCACUUGAUCCCACCUAGAGAUGUGCAUGAGUAAAAGGAUUUGAAAAUGGAAAUUGACUAAAUAUUUAGUUGAUCAAUUAAAUUUGCAAUGUCAUAUGCAAUCCUAAUAGCUAGUCAUCUAAUCAAUUAGGUAGUCAAUCAAGUGUUUGUAAUGACUAUUUUGUACAAAAAACCACAUGUAUAGUUAAAUAUAAUGCAUUUCAUUUAUAAAUCUUCUAAUUCUUGAAUAACGAUCCUAUCAUCCUUUGAAAAUUUUUAUUACACCUUUUUUACUUUUGUUCUAAAACUUACAUAUCACCCUUAAUUGUACCAUGAGAACCUAGCUAUUUUUUUUUUUUUUGUAAUUCAUCAAAGUUAGCUUUUGUAUUCAUUGUUGUAUUAUUUUUAGUAUAACUUAGAAAGCUAGUGUUUUCAAGUGAGUAAAAUUAACUUGUAAAUAUUGUAAAGAUUCAUUGAUAUGUAUCUUAAACUAAGUGUACAAAUUAAAACAUUUGCUAGUAGAUUUUCUCAAAAUUUAGAAUAGAGCUUGAGGCUAUUGAAAUAGGUGGGGUUACACCAAACCACAUCACAUCGUUGUUUGCACCUUUUUUCACUCUCUUUUACUUAGUUUCUCUAUAUUUGUUGUCUAGUAAUAUCCUAUAGGCUUGAUGGGUUAGGGAGCAUCCCUUUGUGAAAAAAUUUCAUUCAAUUCUUAGUUGUAUUACGCAUAUAUAAAAUGCCUCAUUGUUUUAAUGGUAUUCAGUCGUGGCAUCACAGAUAUGGGCAUCUAAAUUUUAAAAGUUUGAAACUUUUGUAAAGCAUGUUGAUAAAAUCCAUGAGAGUUGUGUACUUGGGAAGCAACAUCGAGGUGACUUUAUUUUUUUUUCCUUUUAUAAUGCCACACCUAAGUCCGGUUUCUAAAUGCUAAAGUGAAAGGGUAGGUAUGGACCAUUGAAAUGUGAUCACAACUUUUGGCCUUUUCCUUUCUCUGCAGCCAUGUUGUCUCUUUUUUCUUUUGCAUGAUUUUCUUACCAAAACAGAAUCAUAGACUUGUUUAGUCUCUAAGCUACUAUAUUAUAUCUCGGUGGACUUUUAAGAGUGCAACCGACAUAGAGCACAUGCAAGUGGGCAUAUGGGACAUGAAAUUUCUUCUUACAAAGAUUGCAUGAUUUUUAUAUUAGAGUUGUUCACGUGCAAUGUAUUUAGCUUGUUUUGCAGUUAAAUUAAUUGGAUAAGUAAACAUUGGCAUUUCUAAAUCGACUGUGAAGUGCUUCAUGUACGUGUAAAGUAUUAGAAAUUUCUUUCUUGGCAACUUGUUUUUUCCUUGCCAUCUACUGGUAGGUUUGACUAAAAUUAUAUUCCCUGUCAUGCUAAUUAAUUUUCAUGUGCAUGCUCAAAAGAAGAGUAUGACCUUAGUGCACCAAAAUCACUUUGAUUAAUUUGUGAUAGGUUUUUUUGCAUCAUUUAGAUAAUGUUUAGUUCUAAGAAAAAUUUAUAUAAAAAUGGUUUAUUUAUCUUACAUAUAUAUAUAUAUAUAUAUAUUUUUUUUUUUUUCAUUUUUUUUUCUUCUAUUUUAUUUAUUUAUUUUAUUUUCCUUAUGUUUUCCUCACAUUUUCCGGAACUAAACAUAGUCUUACGAAAUCAACAAUUGCCUUCAACUGAGUAGAUUCUGUUGUUUUAGCAAUGUUAGGCUGCUAACUUGUGGUGGUACGAACCAAAUGACCCAUGUUAAUCUUGGCUUGGUUUGAUUUGGCUCUAUCUCAGAGAGCUAAAGGAUCACGUCAACUCUGGUUUCUACUAUUCAGGUCCAUUCCCAGAUGAACUGGUUCAAAUUUGAGAAAAUGGUAACAGACCUUUAGUGAUGUUGGUUUGGAGCCAGUUGCCAAACCCGCCCUGAGCUUUACCACUAAUGUCAAGGGAGAAAGCCAUUUGAACAAAAACAAUAGCUUCAAGAGACUGAAUCGUGGAUGAAAUCUGAUCCACAUUUCUUCUCAUUUUGGGAAAAAAUGAGAACUUAACUACAAAGAUUCUACUGCCUCAUUCAUAGUGCUUUUCCUGAUCCAAGGUUGGUUCGUUUCCCAAAUUGUGAGGUGCACGUGCCACUCUCACGCUCAGGAGUGUAUCCACGUGGUGGACAUCAGAUGGUGGCUUAAUAUCUGGUGUCGGUGGCUUUACUUUACUAGGAGAGUAGUGUGUCUUCAUCUCAUUCACUGCCGGAGGGUGGCGUAAGCAGUGACGCUAAGGUGGGGCACAGUCAAUAUCAUUUGCAUUUGACCAUUAUAGUUUUCUCCCGGCUUGAAAGUAACCUUAUCGUGAUAAAGGAUUACUAGCACUAGUUCAGAUGACCGUCAUGUUAAUUCGGACCAUGUUUGUGUCACAUUAUCAGCAACCAUGUGUUUAUGGUUCAUGCUAUCUGCAACUAAACUUGAUAUAUAACCAGGUGAACUUCAAUCAAAAUUCUGGAAGUACUCUUGUGAUAGAUGGUGCCUGUCUGCAGAGUCCAUCAAUUGAAAAAUGGAGUGAGUGUAUCUAUAAGAGGGAAGGCUUGGCAAAUGUUCAGUUUUCUGGGAAUUCAACAAGGAUCUAAAAUAGAUUGUUUUCUUUGCCGACUUCAAUGGUUGAAAUUUGAGAAGAUUGUGUCCACAUAUCACAACUAUUACUGGUCCUUCUGUUGCAAUUUAUCCUGUAAGGCUCUAACAUGUCUUCCAAUUCCCACUUCCCUGUUACUCCAGGAAAGCUAUUUCUGUCAUUGUGAAGAAGAAAAGAGAAUGUACAUAUCGAUGCUUUUAAGUGACUGGAGCAUUCAUAUCAGGUGGUCUGCAGCCAUAUAUGCCACUUUGUGAAGGUUGGAACAGUCAAUCACUAGGCUAUAUAUUGGUGUGGCCCAGCCACUUCAAUCAAGGACAAGUCUUCAUACUUAAAGUCAAAUUCUGCCUUUAGUCUCAUUAUAAAUUGCUGUUUAAAUAUUAAGCAAACUUUUGUUUAAUGCGAUUAAGACAGUACUAACUCAAUACUUGUUCUAUUUUUGGAUGCAAAUGCUUGAUGGUUUCAUCAUUGGAUGGGAUAAAGGUGCAUUCAUGAUUAUGAAUACUUGUAGUUAUAUUUUCAUUCUCUUUUUUCUCAAUGAGACUUGUUGGCACAAUGUUGCUGUUCAGAAACCUACCUCUCCAUGGAAAAUAAGUUGCGAUUGAUAGUACUGGAUAUGUUCAAGAAAGCUAAAUAUAGAUAGCACAAAAUAUUAUCGAUAUAAAUAGCAUUAACAGCGUACGUAUGUCUCAAUGCUCAUCAGCUAUAAGCAUGGGACAAACACUUACUAUGAGCAACUUACGUCAAAAUUCCAGAAUAGGACAUAGAAGUGACAGAUCUAUAUAUAUAGAACACUGCAUAUGAGUCACAAGAAAGGAAAUUACGGGUGCAUAGCAGCUCUUAUUUUACAUACUACUACUCAUACUGAUCAAAGUCACUCAGUUGGGAUGGGUGGGAGUAGGAGGUUUGUGGGGUGGCUUGUGCGGAGGAGUUGGCAGCUUCUUUCCAGGACCUGGUUGCUUCUCUGCUGGAGUUGAAGGAGGCUUAAUCUUCCGAGGUGGCUUGUAUGAGUCUUCAGCAUUCUCAGCUGGAGGGUGACCAGGGUUGUGACCAUAAUGUGGUGGCUUCUCUCCCUUAGGUGGUUUGCCAACUGGGGUUGGUGGCUUGUAUGAGUCUUCAGCAUUCUCAGCAGGAGGGUGACCAGGGUUGUGACCAUAAUGUGGUGGCUUCUCUCCCUUAGGUGGUUUGCCAACUGGGGUUGGUGGCUUGUGUUCUGGGAGUGGCUUCUCCCCCUUGGGAGGUUUUUCCAAUGGGGUUGGUUUGUGUUCAGGAGGUGGCUUCUCCACUGGAGGCUUGUGUUCAGGAGGUGGCUUCUCCACCGGUGGCUUGUGUUCAGGAGGUGGCUUCUCCACCGGAGGCUUAUGCUCUGGUGGUGGCUUCUCCACCGGAGGCUUAUGCUCUGGUGGUGGCUUCUUGAAUGGGGGAUGCUGAGGGUAAUCAGCAAGUGAGGGGGCGGUGAGAACCACCAGGCCAAGCAACACCACUAGCAAAUAUGUAGGAGACAUCUUUGGGUUUGGGCUCAGAUGGUGCAAAACUAGGAGAAUUGGCUAGCCUUUUAUAGCGGAUCGUACUCAAUAAUGAAAUGACACGUGUCAUUAUGACCCAUGUGUAAUGGGGUCGAUUUGGGUCCUACAGUGUUGAAAACUUCGACAUCCAGUUUUGGCCUUUUGCUUUCUCUACAGCCGCCUUGCUUUUUCCCUCUUUCCUUUUGUUUUCCUCCUGCCCCAUUCUAUCAACUAAACACAAUUAUGUAGUUGUUUAAUUCUUAAAUGAGAUAUUAUCGGUCAAUCGUAUUAUAUUUUAUCAAGAGAGAACGGAGUGCAAUGCAGCUGUAAUUUUAUCGUUUACUUUUAUCUCUUGGACCACUGCAUUUUUGUUAAGAGGUGCAAUAAUACACGUCUUUAUCUGCCAUUCAAUGUUUACAGUAAAGAGAGGGCACAAAACUCUUCACUGCUCUGCAUGUGUCCCAAAAAUGCGAUUGGACAAAUUAUGAUUUGCAUGCUAAAAAGAGGCAAAUGAGGUUAAUUCGCACCAUAAUUAUUUGGUUUUCUGGACACCAUAAAAAGAUGUUAUACAGGCAGGGAAAAACCUUCAGAGUUAGCUACCAAAGAUAAUUAUCAAGCAGAUAUCACCAAGAGAAUUCCAUAGAGUCUGAAUCAAAGACAGAUUGCUCGCUCGUGGGGGUUCUUACUUUCUUUUGGGUAUAACUCACUGAGGUCACUGUCUUUUUUAUUUGCAUUUCACAGUUAGAGUUCUGCUCUGGAAGGUUUGUUCUGGAAACAUAUAAAAGGAGCAUCAUUUUGUUCUUGGGUAACCCAUAGUCGUGAGUGGGUCCAUUUGCAUGCUACUUAGUUGAAAAGUUGGACAAUUUGCUCCGACGCCUACCUCCUGGAUUCCAUGCUCGGUAAAACAAGAAUAAAAAAAAAUAUAUAAUUUACAAAUGGGGGAAAGAAAAAAUGUCGGAAAAAAUAGUAAAAUUCAUGUCACAUGCUAGUGAGAGAAGGGGUUGUUACACUCACUCGAAGUUCUUUUCAAAAUAUCGAAUGGUAUUUUACUUUAUGUGUCAGCGCAGUUGUGAAUGGAACGUGCAAAAGUCCAAAUUGGCGUUUUUAUUUUUCCCAUGUAGGAUGGUGACCUUUAAUAAAUAUUUAAAACAAAAGACGAAAAAAAAAAGGAGGGAAAAGGGAUCACAAAAGAUAAAAUAAUGUUUACAAAAGCUCAAUUAGUUUGCAAAUUACUGUUUGGAUUUUGAUAGUAUUUUAUUUGUCGUUCUAUAUUUGAUGUAAAAGAGAAUUUAAGAUAUUUCCGAAGCAAAAGCAUUAGUUUGCUCUGUGAUGUCCCACAUCGAAUAGGGGAGAAAGUUUCUGGCGCUAUAUAUGUAGAGGCUCCUCUUAACCAAGUAGAUGCGUUUUAAAACCAUGAGGGCCCCCUUAGGUCCAAAGCGGACAAUAUCUACAUGAUUGGGUGUAAGUCAUUACAAAUGGUAUCAGAGCCGAUCCCCGACCCCGGUGUGGGGGUUUGUUUGGCCCUGUAAGGGGUGUUUGUCUGUUUGACCCCACAAUCCCAUGGGACACAACGAGGACGUUGUGUCUGCAUGGGGGGGCGUUUGUGAUGUCCCACAUCGGAUAGGGGAGAAAGUUCCUAGUGCUAUAUAUGUAGAUGUUUCUCUUAACCAAGUAGAUGCAUUUUAAAAUUGUGAGGGCCUCUUUGGGCCCAAAGCGGACAAUAUCUACAUGGUUGAGUGUAAGUCAUUACAUGCUCCAUGUCAAUUUCAGCAUUUCUCAUAUGUUUCACACAUACACAGAAGAGCAUCGUUUUUUAAAGCAUGCAUUUAUGUUGGAUUAAUUUGGAUUUUGUGGGAACUGGGGCAAGGAUCACAUGGAAGAGAGGUUGACUUUUUUCAGUACUUCAAUGGUUGAAAUAUGUGAAGGCUUGAUUGAUACUAAAGCUUGAAAUUGCGACUCUGUCAUUUGUAAAAAAAUAUGACAGCUUCCAUGCUCUCGUUUGGUUGCAUUGUCCGGUCGAGAGGUGCAAAAAGCAUUCUCUCUCUUCUAAUAGUCUUUUCGUUUAAAUCAAGGGAUUUGCCUUCCCGGUCGAGGUCCAAUAGAGGGUAACGGUCACCUACUAAACAUUAAAUGCUCCAACAACUAGUGAACUGAUCGACCCCAGCUCGACUAGUUGAGGUUACUUUUUGGUUUUCUUGUCUCCCGAGGUUAGAAACCUAUAAAUAGAGAGCUUCACUUCAUUUAUGAGUAAGAGAACACCUAAAUUUAUUUGUUUACCUACUUGUUUUUGCCAUAAAAGCUCUCAUUUCUUUUCUUGGUGUAUUAAAUCUCCAUUUGCAUAUCCUUUAGUGCACCUUUGUGAUUCAUUCUAGCCUUGAGUUGUAUUUAAGCCUUUGUUGAGCUAGGUUGAGAGUUUCAUACUUGUUUAUUGAGUGUUAAAGCCUUCAAGUGAGUUAAAACUUGAAGAGAUUGUGUAAGAGCCCAUUGGAGUCGGAAUCCAAGUGUAAAGGUGAUUAAAAGCUUGGUUGAAGCUUCAAGUUAGUGGAACUCUCACUCGGUUAUGAGCUUGAGAAGAGUGGACAUAGACAAGGCAGUGUCGAACCACUAUAAAAUCUGAGUUUGAUUUCUCUAACCUUAUCUCUUUAUAUUUGCUUCUCUUGUGCUUAAAUUUUUUGUGUUUAAAAAGAAUUUUUAAAAACUCAAUUCACCCCCUUCUUGGGAGUUUUUCUCUUUUAAGAUCAGCUUUUAUUUUCUCAAUUGGUAUCAGAACUAUGCCUCUUGUUUAAGACUUAAUCGUCUAAGAGGAAAUGGCUAAUCCAUCAAGUUCAUCUCACAUUGAAAGUUUUGCAACCAAUAGACUUCUUUUUUUUUUUUUGCGGGAACUGAUUAUCCCUAUUGGAAAACUAAAAUGACUUGGUUUUUACAAUCAAUUGAUUUAGAUGUAUGAGAUGCCAUUGAAGAUGACCUAACUUUUCCUUCAAAACUAGUUGAUGGAGUCAUGGUUCCAAAACCUAAGCAAGAAUGGGAUGAGCGUGAUUGAAGAAAUUUUCAAUUAAAUGCUAAAGUCGUUUAUACUUUGCAAUGCUCUAUGGACAGAAAUGAAUAUAAUAGAAUAUGUCAAUGCAAAUCGGUUAAAGAAAUUUGGAGAUUGCUUGAAAUAACUCAUAAAGGAACAAAUCAAGUUAAAGAGUCAAAAAUCAAUUUACUUGUUCAUAGAUAUGAAUUGUUUUUUAUGAAAGAUAAUGAAACUAUUGUUAAGAUGAUCACUAGGUUCACCAACAUUGUUAAUGGUCUUAAAGCCUUGGGAAAGACCUACAAGGAAUCCGAAAACGUGAUGAAGAUCUUGAGGUCACUUCCAUCAAAGUGGCAUACCAAGGUCACCGCAAUUUAAGAAGCAAAAGACUUGAUCAAGCUACCUUUGGAGGAGUUCAUAGGGUCAUUGAUGACAUAUGAAAUCAAUUUGGCAAAGAAGUAACAAAAAGGUGAAGACAAAAAGAAGAAGAACAUAACUCUCAAAGCUACAACUAAGGAAGAAGAAGUUGAAGAAGAAAAACAAAUUGAAGAAGAUGAAGAUUUAGCCCUCAUCACAAGAAAGUUCAACAAAUUCAUGAGGGGUGAAAGGUUUAGAAGAAGAAGGUUCACUUCUAGAAGAGACUUUUCUAAAAAGGAAUCUUCAUCUAAUGGUGACAAAAAGAGAUGGGAAGAGAAAAGAGACUUGGUGUGUUUCAAGUGCAAGAAACCGGGACACAUUAAAUAUGAUUGUCCUCUCUACAAAAGUGAAGUCAAGAGGAAAAAGAAUAAGGCAAUGAUGGCCACUUAGAGUGAAAGUGAAGAUGAAUCAUCCGAAGAAGAAAAUGAGAAAGAAGUGGCAAACAUGUGUUUCAUGGCAAUAGAUGAACUUGAUGAGGUAAAAUCUAACCUUAGUGAUUAAGAUAUACAUGAUGCAUUUGAAGAAUUGUAUGAGGAUUUUUAAAAACUUAGUUUGAAAAAUAUUUCUCUUAAAAAGAAAGUUCAACAACUUGACAAAGAACUUAGAGAAGUAAAAGAAAAAUUUUCAAAUGUUAAAGUUUCUAAAACUCAUCUUGAAAAAGAAAAUGAGAUUCUAAGAAAGAAAAAUGAAUAGUUGAACUCCUCUCUUUCAAUCUUUUCUUCUAGACAAAAAUCUUUUGAAAUGAUUCUAACUAGCUAAAAAUGUGUUUUUGACAAACAAGGGUUAAGAUUUAAAUCUUCAAAAAAUCAAAAGUAUUUUAAAAACUAUUUUGUAAAGGAAUCCACAAGUGCAAGUCCUUCCACUACUUGCAACUUUUGUGGAAGAGAAUGGCACAUUAGUAGUACGCCCUUUAAGAAAUGGUUCUCAAAAGAAUUUAAAUGCAAAAACUAAAAAAGAUUUGGAUUGAGAAAUCCAAGGUCACUAACCCUCAAGGACCCAAAAAGAUAUAGGUACCUAAAUCAACUUGAGUUUUAUGUUGUAAGGUUCAAAGAAUGAUAAGUGGUUCUUAGAUAAUGGUUGCUCAAGACACAUGACCGGAGAUGAAUCCAAGUUUGCUUUUCUUAAAAAGAAAAAUGGAGGAUAUGUUACCUUUGGAGACAAUGCAAAAGAAAGGAUGAUUGGUCAAGGCAACAUUGGUAAUGGCACAUCCUCUCUCAUUGAAAGUGUUUUAUUAGUAGAUGGUUUCAAACAUAACCUUUUAAGCAUUAGUCAAUUUUGCGACAAAGGUUUUUAAGUGAUUUUUUAAGCAUCUCAUUGCAUCAUCAAGGAUAUUCAAAAUGAUAAAACCAUUUUCAUGGGCCAUAGAUGUGAUAAUGUUUAUGCUAUAAAUAUUUCAAAAUAUGAUGGCCAUGAUAGAUGUUUUUCAAGCAUGCAUGAUCAAAGUUGGUUGUGCCAUAGGAGAUUGAGACAUGCUAACAUAGACCUCAUUUCCCAACUCAACAAAGAUGAACUUGUUAGAGGCCUUCCCAAAAUAAUUUUUUAAAAAGAUAAAGUUUGUGAAGCUUGUCAAGUGGGAAAGUAAAUCAAAAACUCUUUUAAAAACAAAAACUUCAUUUCCACAUCUAGGCCACUUGAGUUGUUGCAUAUGGAUUUAUUUGGUCCCUCUAGGACACCAAGUCUUAGAGGAAAUUCUUAUGCAUAUGCUAUUGUGGACGACUUCUCUAGAUACACAUGAGUCUUGUUUUUUAGUCAAAAGAAUAAAGUUUUUUAUGAGUUUUCAAAGUUUUGCAAUAAGAUUCAAAAUGAAAAAGGUUUUUCAAUUACUUAUAUAAGAAGUGAUCAUGGGAGAGAAUUCGAAAAUAUUGAUUUUGAAGAGUAUUGCAAUGAGCAUGGAAUUGACCACAAUUUUUUGGCUCUUAGAACUCCUCAACAAAAUGGGGUAGUUGAAAGGAAAAAUAGAACUCUUCAAAAAAUGACAAGAACCAUACUAAAUGAAAACAACUUACCAAAAUAUUUUUAGGCCAAAACGGUUAACACUUCUUGUUAUGUUUUAAAUAGAGUAUUAUUGAGGCUCAUACUUAAGAAAACUCCCUAUGAGCUUUGGAAAAACAAAAAACCCAACAUUAGUUAUUCCAAAGUCUUUGGAUGCAAUAUUUUAUAAUAAACACCAAAGACAAUCUUGGAAAAUUUGAUGCAAAAUUGGAUGUUGGAAUUUUCCUUGGUUACUCAACUUCAAGUAAAGCUUUUCGAGUUUUAACAAAAGAACCAUGGUUGUAGAGGAGUCCAUCCAUGUUAUUUUUUAUGAAUCUCCAAGAAAGAGAGAGGAUUGAUGAUGAUUUAGGUUUGAAGACCUCUAUAGGAAGAUUGCAAAUCGAAGAUAGAAGACAACAAGAAGAAAAUGGAGAGAAUCCAAAGAAAGAAGGAUCACCAUUGGCACUACCCCCUCAUCAACAAGCGCAAGGUGAAUCAAGUCAAGAGCUUCCUAAAGAAUGGAAGUUUGUCAUCAAUCACCCACAAGAUCAAAUUAUAGGCAAUCCAUCUAGUGGGGUAAGAACUAGAUCCUCUCUUAGAAAUAUUUGCAAUAAUCUAGCUUUUAUCUCUCAAAUUGAGCCUAAAAAUAUAAAUGAUGUUUUAGAUGAUGAAAAUUGGAUAAUUGCAAUGCAAGAAGAGUUAAAUCCAUUUGAAAGAAGUGGAGUAUGGGAAUUAGUACCAAGACCUUCAAAUCAAAGUGUUAUUGGAACUAGAUGGAUCUUUAGAAAUAAAAUGGAUGAAAAUAGCAUAAUUGUUAGAAAUAAAGCAAGAUUGGUAGCCCAAGGUUUUAAUCAAGAAGAAAUGAUAGAUUAUGAAGAAACCUUUGCCCCCGUAGCUAGGUUGGAAGCCAUUAGGAUGCUACUUGCCUUUGCAUGUUUUAAAGACUUUGUUUUAUAUCAAAUGGAUGUGAAAAGUGCUUUUUUAAAUGGUUUUAUAAAUGAAGAAGUAUAUGUUGAACAACCACCCGGUUUUCAAAGUUUCAACUUUCCUAACCAUGUUUUUAAACUUAAAAAGACACUUUAUGGUUUGAAACAAGCACCUAGAUCAUGGUAUGAAAAAUUGAGUAAAUUUCUUUUGAAAAAAAUGUUUUAAAAUGGGAAAAAUUGACACAACUCUUUUUAUAAAAACCAAAGAAAAUGAUAUGCUCUUAGUUCAAAUAUAUAUUGAUGAUAUCAUUUUUGGUGCUACUAAUGUCUCUCUUUAUGAAGAAUUUUCUAAGUGCAUGCAUAGUGAGUUUGAAAUGAGCAUGAUAGGAGAACUCAACUUCUUCCUUGGACUUCAAAUCAAGCAACUAAAGGAAUGAACCUUCAUCAAUCAAGCAAAGUAUAUAAGAGAUCUUCUCAAAAGGUUCAACAUGGAAGAAGCCAAAACAAUGAAGACUCUAAUGAGCUCAUCCAUUAAGCUUGAUAAGGAUGAGAAAGGUAAAUCCAUUGACUCUAUUAUGUAUAGAGGCAUGAUAGGUUCUUUGCUCUAUUUGACCACUAGUAGACCUUACAUUAUGUAUAGUGUGUGUUUGUGUACUAGAUUUCAAUCUUGUCUUAAAAAAUCUCACUUAAGUGUCGUGAAAAGAAUCCUCAAAUAUUUGAAAGGGACAAUGGACAUAGGCUUAUGGUAUCCUAAGAGUGAUAACUUUGAAUUAAUUGGUUUUUUGGAUGCUGAUUUUGUCAGUUGUAGGGUUGAAAAAUAAAACACUAGUGGCACUUUUCAUUUCUUAAGACACUUACUUGUCUCAUGGCAUAAUAAGAAGCAAAAUUUGGUAGCUUUGUCAACAGCAGAAGCUAAAUACAUAGCAACUGGUUUAUGUUGUGCACAAAUCCUUUGGAUGAAAUAAACACUUAGUGAUUUUGAUUUAUCUUUUGAGCAUAUUCCUAUUAAAUGUGAUAAUAGUAGUGCCAUAAGUAUAUCAAAAAAUCUCGUGCAACACUCUAGGACUAAGCAUAUAGAGAUUAGACAUAAUUUUCUUAGAUAUCAUACACAAAAGGAUGAUAUAACACUUGAAUUUGUAAGCAUAAAAGACCAACUUGCCGAUAUCUUUACAAAACCUCUAAGAACAUUUUGUUGAUAUUAGAGGACAAUUAGGAGUGAUUUCUUUAUGAUCUAAUGUGAUGAAUUCUUGAUGAAUAUACUUUUUGAUUGCAUGAAUUUCAUGUCAUAUAUGCAUCAUAUAGAAAUAUACUUAGAUAAUGGUCAAAUUUCGACCAAAAAUCAAAAUUCCCAUGGCAUUAGGCAUAAAAAUUUUGGAAUUUCAACUGAAAAUGGUAGGAGGAGGAUCACAAAAUGAGAAAGUAUGCAAAAAUUGAAAAAUCAAAACGUUGACCAAGCGGUCAAUCGGACUAGACCGAUCGACUAGUUUGUCGAGAUUUAGGAUUUUUAAGAGACUCCAACGCUUCAAUUUUUGCACCGUUCUCCUCUAUUUCUUCACGGUUUCUCUGAUUUUGUCUUUUAGAGACUAAUUUGAGUGCGUUUUGGAUCAAUUGAAGCAUUUUGGAUUGGAUUUUAGGAAGAUUGAAAGUUAAGGUUUCGGAUUUGGGUCGCCUUCUCUUCCUCUCGCGUGUCACAAUCAGCUUUAGCAUUGUUCUCUUUCCAUUUUCACACACCUAGGGUUUCAGUUGUGAGCAUCUCUCUCUCUUUACCAACCACUACUCCCUUGCUUCUUCCAUAUGGCUCCUAGGCGAGAGUCCGCUACUUCUAGGGCACAAGGCAAGCACCCAACUGAGUCGUCUCAGUCAAAGGCACGUCGAAAAGUGAGAUUUGACAUUGCCUUGUUCAGUUCCAUGGAGGACUACCAACUAUACAAGCAACACUUUGCUUAGAGACGAGUAGUUCCCAAGAGAAAUAUUAAUUUUCCUCAACUUCAGCAUUUCGAAUUUAAGGGUCUAUUUACUAGGAUGGUUGGUUGUCUAUUGUCACAAUUUCGGAGCCGGUUUUCCUGACCUUAGUGCGAGUUUUUUACUCGAGGGCGACUUAUGGCAUGGGUGGCAUGAUCAUUUCUACUGUUGGAGGAGUUGAGAUCUGUCUGGACCCAGAGAGCAUCUGCCAUAUUUUCGAUAUUGCUCUGGUUGGACUCAAAGUAUACAAGUCCAAAAUGUGGCCCAUUGUGCCAGGAUUUGAGCUUAGAGAGGUCAUUCAGAGGAUUUGUGAACUUCCAGACGCCCAGGAGAUGGGCAAACCAUUGCCACACAGUUUGACGGUCAUCAACAGGGUGCUACACCAUAUAUUGUGCUCUAUCUUUCUACCACGAAGUGGACAUUGAGAUGAGGUCUCUUAUUAUGAGGCAUUCCUUAUUGACUCCAUUCUAACGGAGAGACGAAUUCAUCUACUAUGUCAUCAUUCACUAAGCCUCCUCACAGUGACAUACCACCUCAUCAGGCACCUCUUGCUCCUGACCAUGCUCCAUUGAUGGAUUUAUUUACUCAUAUUAGCUCUCUAGGCACUCGCAUGAAGGAGUUUGUUGUAGUUAGUGAUACAUGGUUCUACUCCAUAGAGGAUCGCAUGGAUCAGUAUCAGACUGGCUUCACGUCACAGUUUGAGUAUCUCCAAUAGAGGAUUGAGCAUAUUGAGGAUCACUUGAGCAUGAGAAGAUGAUGGCUUUUCUAUGCUCUGUGUUUCCACCUCCACCUCGUCAACCUUGAUUUCUUAGAGACCCAUUGUUUUCAUUUUGUAAUGUUGCCAAAAGGGGGAGAUAUUUAGGAUCUAGGACUCUAUAGGAGACUUACAUGCAUAUCAUUUUCAUAUCAUUGUUUGGAUCGUACAUAUUGGAUAGUGAUACUUUUUACUUAUAUAUGAUAUGCCUAUAUGUUUCAUGUCUUACAUUGUUUCUUAUUGCAAAUUAUCUCUAACAUGUCUUGAUUAUCUUUUUUUUAACUUCAUAAAUUUUGAUUGUUAACCCAUGAUUGGUUUGAGGGGAAGAUUCUUCUUCUCCUAGAUAACCAAGGUUUGUCAUCAUAAAAAAAUUGGAGAUUGUUAGCCCAAGGGUUCUCCUAAUCAUGUUUUGAUGAUAACAAACCAUGCUUAAGUUACUAAUUGGUUUGAAUUAUAAAGAAUUUCAAGUGUUAAUUUGAAAAUUCAUCAAAGAACCUAAUGGAUGCAAGAUCAAGAUUUUUGGAAGACCUUUAAUCAUAAGAAACAUAUGUAAGAUGAAUGCAUGGGUGCACUUAAGAUUUGCAUAUCAUUUCAUGCAUAUUUGGAAAACACGGUUUAUGCUUUAAAGUUACAUUUCCAUCAAAAUUUGAGAUCCAUCAAAUGAACCUUAGGAAAAAUGUUUUAAAAUUGGCAUAUAAUUUUACCUAAAGACCUUGCCUAAGUGUUAGAAGCAAAAGGACAAAAAAAAUAUAGGUUUUCUGGUCAAAAAUGGUGAACCAGUCAAGGCAUUGUCUAAAUCAGCUCAAUCGGCCAAGGUACCGGUCGAUCGGUUUCCCUUUCCCUGUCGAGAUCUAGUCAAGAGGUACAAAAAUCACAAUCUCUGUCUCUUUCUCUCUUUGUCUAUCUUCCAGUAGUCUUUCCUUCCCGGUCGAGGGAUUUGCCUUCCCGAUUGAGGUCCGAUUGAGAGUAAUAGUCACUUGCCAAAUAUUAAAUGCUCCAACAGUUAGUGAACUGGUCGACCCCCACCUUGCCCAGUUGAGGUUACUUUUUGGUUUUCUUGGCUCCCGAUGUUAGAAACCUAUAAAUAGAGAGUUCCACUUCAUUUAUGAGCAAGAGAACACUUGCAUUUAUUUGUUUACCUACUUGUUCUUGCCUUAAAAGCUCUCAUUUCUUUUCUUGGUGCAUUAAAUCUCCAUUUUGAUAUCCUUUAGUGCACCUUUGUGAUUCAUCUUAGCCUUGAGUUGUAUUUGAGCCCUUUUUUUAGCUAGGUUGAGAGUUUCAUACUUGUUAAUUGAGUGUUAAAGCCUUCAAGUGAGUUGAAACUUGUAGAGAUUAUGUGAGAGUCGAUUGGAGCCGAAAUCCAAGUGUAAAGGUGAUUAGAAGCUUGGUUGAAGCUUCAAGUUAGUGGAAUCCUCACUCAAUUAGGAGCUUGAGGAGAGUGGACGUAGCCAAGGAAGUGUCGAACCACUAUAAAAUUUGAGUUUGAUUUCUCUAACAUUGUCUCUUUAUAUUUGUUUAUCUUGUGCUUAAAUUUAUUGUGUUUAAAAAGAAUUUUUAAAUACCCAAUUCACCCCCCUCUUGGGUGUUUUUCUCUUUUAAAAUUAGCCUUUAUUUUCUCACAAACUAUUGUAGUAUAGUGGUUUUUAGGUGUCAUCCAUUAGGAUGAAUUGUUCUCGGUAAUUAAGGCGUGAAUGAGAGGAGAAUUAAUGAUUGUGAUUAAGUAAAAUUGAUUUGAAAAUUCAUGGUGAAAAAUCAAUUUAACAAUGGUUUCUAAUUGAGAAAAACAAUGAAAUGUGAAAUAAAAUAAAAUUAAUAGGAAAUGAAAUUCUCGAAGUUAGAAUUUUCUAAAAAACAAAUUCCAUGGUGAAUGGAUGUUGAGAUCUAAUUUUCAUCAAGUUAGAUUGAAAACCGAAAUUUUCAUAUAAACUGAUUUUUUAUUUAGUUUUAGGUCUAGAUUUAAUUUCCCUUAAAAUUAGGUUAUUUAAUCCAAGAAAUCAAUUCAAAUCAUAUAUUCAAUUCAUCUUAAAUUAUCUUCCAAUUAUUCACACAAUGCAACUAUUCAAUCUCAUCAAAUCUAGCUUUUAAGAAUUUAAUGAAUCUACCUAGUUUGCAUUGUAAUAGUCAUCCAUGACAAUUUGAAGAGAAAAAUAAUUCAAUUAAUCAAUCACUUGGAUCAAAUUACCUUUGCAAUUAAAGUUCAUUUCUCUAAUUCACCACAGAUUUUGUCUCUAGAUCCUCCUUUCUCAAAGAAAAAUGAGAUUUAGCCACACAUGAUUGGAGAUUUGGUCUCAUAAGGCAUGUUUAGCUAGUGAUAAAAUGAGAGAAAAUAAAGAAAAAUAGAGAAUUCGAUUAAGAAAGAAAAUCUAAAAAAUUCUACAAUUAGAAAUGUCCAAAAAGCUUUUUCAUGAGAAAAUCAAGUUUCUAUUUAUAGGCCAAGGUCAAGUGGACACUUGACAUCAUCUAAGAGGUCUUCCGGAAGCUUCUUCAUCAAGAAAUCUGGAGUUUAAUAAUAAAAUGGUCAUUUCACAAGAGCUCAAACAAUUUCGCAUGAUUAUGUGAAAUAAAAAAUGCAACAACAGCAAUUUACAUCUUCUUGGAGCAUUUCGCAUGACUGUGUGAAAUUUUCACAUGAUCAUGUGGAAUCGACUUGACAACUCUCAUUUAGCCUACAACAUAAUUCCACCUUUUGGUCCAUUUUUCAUAGUCAUGCGAAAUGGAAAUAUUUGAUUUUUAAGUUUUCUUUUGUCAUUUCUUUCAUUUCCUUCUCUUGAUUCCACUUCAACUACCUCCGAAUCCUGGUCCAAACCAAUUGCAUUACUUCUUUCAUUAUGCAUUUGGAUCAUCAUCAACAUUAUUUGUUCUCUUCAAUUUGAUUCAUCUCUUUUGUCACCAAUUUAUCAAAAUCAUACCUUGAAAUGACUCCAAAACUUCAUAAAACUUGUUAGUAACUCUUGCAAGGGCAACAACAUAUUAAUUAAGUGUUUUAGGCAUAGUUACUACUCAAAAGAUGCGAAACUCAUGAUAAUUAUUAUAUAAAAUAUGCUCUUUUUGAGUAGUAAUCAACUUUCUUGCAUAAGCAGACCUUUUAGGGUGGAGUACUAAAGACCAAUAUGCUUGUCCUUGUUGUAAUAAAGAAACUUGCUCUUAUUGAUUGCACCAUGGGAGAAAAUUUUGCUACAUGAGUUAUCAUCAAUUUCUUCCCACCAAUCAUAGAUUUAGACGUGACAAGAGGCCUCUUAAUGGCAAGGAGGAACUGACACUCACACUUAUACAAUUAUCGGGCAUUGAUGUGUUGCAACAAUUAGAAUAACUUACACCAAUUAUGUUGGGGAAGUCACAAAAGGCAAACAUGAAAACUAAAAGGAAAAAAGAAAAAUGUUACAUAUCACCACAACUGGAAAGAAAAAAGUAUUUACUUUCAUUUGCCAUAUUGGAAAGCACUUAUUUUACAUCAUAAUAAUUUAGACAUAAUGCAUAUUGAGAAAAAUGUGUGACAAUAUAAUUGAGACAUUGUUCAGUAUUGACGAAGAAACAAGGACAACCUAAAUAGUCAUCUCGAUUUACAAGCUCUAACUAUUAGAAAUGAGAUUCACCCAAUAGAAAGCAGGACCAAAUUUAUUUUGCUUGCAACAUGCUACUCACUCACCCCAAAUGAGAUUAAGGAAUUUUGCAAGUUUUUGAAAUCAAUAAAGGUCCCCAAUGGCUAUUCUUUCAAUAUCUCUCGUUAUGUGCAACUCAAUGAAAGGAAGAUAUAUGAGCUCAAAUUGUAUGAUUGUCAUGUCCUAAUGCAACAACUUCUCUCACUUGUAGUUCGUGGAGUUCUACAUAAGAAUGUUUGUGGAGUUAUCAUAGAAUUGCGUAAUUUUUUCAAGCAAUUGUGCUCAAAGGUGUUAGAAACAAAUCACUUACACCAACUUGAGAACAAUAUUAUUGUCAUACUAUGUAAAAUGGAGCAAAUAUUUCUUCCAUCAUUCUUUGAUAUUAUGGUGCAUUUACUUGUGCAUCUAGUAAGGCAAAGGUUGCAAGACUUGUGCAAUAUUGUUGGAUGUACCUAAUUGAACGAUAUUGUUAUAAUUUCAUAUGAAUCAUUUAAUUUUAUUUUAUAUUAUGUUCAGUUCAUUAACAUGUACAUUGGUCUACAUAUGGAUGAUGAUAGGUACCUAAGCACUUUAAAGUCAUAUGUGCGUAAUAGAACUUUUCUAGAAGGUUCUAUUGUAGAAAGGUACCUUGCAAAAGAAUGUACAACAUUUUAUUCUAGGUACUUGAAUGAUGUGGAAAUAAAGUAUAAUCACAAUGAUAGAAACUUUGUUGGUUUCAACACUAGAGGAGAUGAAAGGGGUUAUCUUUAAACAUAUUGGACAUGCAUUGGGAAAGCCCAUAUUUCAUUAACUUAGUUCAAAAGAGUGGUCACAAGCACAUUUAUAUGUGUUGACAAAUUGCGAAGAUGUCAUACCAUUCAUUGAGUAAAAAAUUUAUUUGAAUUUUAAUUAAAGCUCUAGUUUAUAUCCUUAAUCAAUGUUUUUUAAAUUCACAAGGAGCACAAGCAAACCAUCAAGGCUAGACCACAUAUACGUGUUUGAGACGUAGAUUUAAUUCAUAACAAGGAAUUUAUCAAGUGGUUUGAAAGACAUGUAAGUAUAUUCCUUAUUAUAAGGGAUUUAUUUCACAUUAUGUUUAUAUUGAAUCCAAACCUAUUAUUGAAUUGUAGGUUGAACAAUUACAUAAUGAAGGUCAUAUAUCUGAACACCUUCUCACAUUAUCAUGUGUUCCAAAUUCAUUAGUUACAUGCUUCAAAUGAUAUAUUGUCAAUGGAUUUAGAUCCCACAUUAAAGAACGUGAUAAAAAAGUUUUUAAAAAAAGACUCAGAAUAAUGGAAUUGUUGUAGUUGCAAAAACGUCAAGCUUUACAAGUGCAUGUGAUAUGAGUCCAAUUAUUAGUGAUGCUCUCUACUAUGGUGUUCUAACUAAAGUUGUUGAGUUACAUUAUCUUGGUGAAAAUAAGGUUGUUUUAUUCGAGUUUGAUUGGUGGGAUGUUACAAAUAUUGGAAAAUUGAUAAAAGAUGAUGAGUACAAUUACACAUUUGUUAACUUUGCAUGAAUUCUAACCACGAACGAACGAUUUGUACUUGCAUCUCCAGCAAAGUAAGUGUUCUAUGUGAAGAAUGCGAAUGAAUCAGAUUGGCAUACUAUCAUGGAGAUGCAACCUCAAGACCUCUAUAAGAUGAACGGGAUAGGAUCCAAUGGUGAUUUUGAACCAUUUCAACAAAGUGAACUACAUGAUCACUAAUAUAUCUCAGAUUUAGUUGAUGAAGAUAUAAUCAAGUGGAACAAAAGUGAUGUUUUAGGACUAAUCAUCCUAAAAAAUAUUGUAGUUUCUUAAAAAAAAAAUGAAAAUGAAGAAGAUAAUUGAACCUUUGUCAUACUUUAAAAAGCAACUAUGCAUUGUUCAUUUUGUAUGUUUUGGUUUUCUUCAUUUAAUUUCCUGAUUUUUGUGAUUCAAUGUCAUAUUAUUGAUCUUGAAAUAUUUUUCUAAUUUUUCAUUCUACGAUGGUUUCAACAAGGAUGACAUCAAGUCAAAAAAGGAAAUGUGGUCCCACACACAAUAUUGCAUUACAGGGAUUAAGGUCAGGGAAGAAGGUAAAAGUUGCAUUUAAUGAGUACAAUCAAUUGGUUAAACAGAAAAAUGGAAAACACUUAUCGAGCUACAUAGGGACACUUGUAUCUAACCAACACAAUGUACCUCUCCAAGCUAGUGAUUGGAAAAAUGUUCCAAAUGAUGCAAAAGAGAAAGUAUGGCCUUUGUUUUGGUAUGUUGUAUUUCUCACUAUAUGAUGUCAUUUCACUGUUAUUCUAUUUUGUGACUAACGUUUGAAUCAUAUGUAAGAAAAAUUUGAAGUAGAUAAAGACUGAAAAGAUUACAUGUUGGGUAUAGCCUCAAAUAAAUAUAGAAGCUAUAAAAAUAUGAUGAAUGCAAAAUACUAUGACCCUUGGCAUAAGGAUGCAUGAGGAGAGGUUAAUACAUAAAUCACCAUUUGUCUCUGAUGUUGAUUGGAAGUGGCUUGUCUCUGAUGCAUAAACCAAAUCCCCCACUGAAUGUUUGAUAUUUGAUAGCAGGAAAAACACACCCGCAGCUAUACACCUCCAUCAUUCAGAUAAUUAUAGUGGGGGAGAUGAUUCAUGGUUGCCCUUAUACCCUUUAUUUGCACCAUCUAUUGAGAUUCUUUAUCAUGGCCAGGUUUUACUGCAGCAAUAAGAUAUGGUGGCAACAAUUUUAUCUAUAGGUGCGGUUCCAGACCGCCUCCAUAGGUGCGGUUCCUGACUGCCUCCAUAGGUGCCUCUUCUUGUAAUGUUUGUUCUGGGAAUUACACUUGAAAGCCUUAUCGUGAUAAGGGAUUACAAACACUAGUUCAGAGGACAGCCAUGUUAAACUUCCACUAUGUUUGUGUCACAUUAUCAGCAGCCUAGUGUUUAUUGGUCAUGCUAUCUGCAACUAAUAUAACCCGGUGAACUUCAAUCUAAAUUCUGAAAGUACUCAUGUGACAGAUGGUGCCUUUCAGCAGAUAUCAUCAAUUUAAAAGUAGUGUGUGUGCCUAUAGGUGGGAAGGCCUUGGCAAAUGUUCAGUAUUCCGGUAAUUCAAGAAGGAUAUAUCUAAAAUAGAUUUUCUUCUUGCCCAUUUCAAUAGUUAAAAUUUGAGAAGAUUGUGUCCACAUCACACAAAUAUUAUUGGUCCUUCUGUUGCAAUUUACCUCUGAACAUGUCUUCCAAUUCCCACGGUCCUGUUACUCCAGGAAAACUAUUUCGGUCAUAUUGAAAAAAAAAAUAUUAAAGAAGGUACACAUGCUUUUAAGUGGACUGGGGCAUUCAUAUCAGGUGGUCUGUAUCCACAUAUGCCACUUCGUGAAAGGUGGAACAGCCUAAUCACUAGGCUAUUUAGUGUGGCCCAGCCACGUUAAUCAAGCACAAGUCUUCAUACUUAAAGUCAAAUGGUGUCUUUAGUCUCAUUACACAUCGCUAUUUGAAGAUUAACUCAUCACUAGUGUAAUGCGAUUAAGACAGUCCUAACUCAAUAUUUGUUCUAGUUUUGGAUGCAAAUGCUUGCUGGUUUCAUCAUUGGAUGGGAUAAAGGUGCAAUCAGGACUAUGAAUACGUGCAGUAAUACUUCAUUCUCUUUUUUCUCAAUGAGACUUCUUGGCACAAUUUUGCUGCUCAGCAACCUACCUUUCCAUGGAAAAUCAGUUGUGACUGAUAGUAAUGGAUAUAUUCUAGAAAGCUAAACAUAGAUAGCAUUCAAUAUUAUCGAUAUAACAUUAACAGCGUAUGUCUCAAUGCUCAUCAGCUACAAGCAAUGGACAAACACUUUGAGUAACUCACAGCAGUCAAAAUUCCUAAACAGGACAGACGUGACAGAUCUAUAUAUAGAACACUGCAUAUGAGUCACAGGAAAAGAUAAUACGGGUACAUAGAAGCUCUUAUUUUACAUAUUACUCAUACUGAUCAAAGUCGCUCAGUUGGGAUGGAUGGGAGAAGGAGGUUUGAGGGGUGGCUUGUGCGGGGAAGUUGGCAGCUUCUUUCCGGGAGCUGGUUGCUUCUUUGCUGGAGUUGAAGGAGGCUUAAUCUUCCGAGGUGGCUUGUAUGAGUCUUCAGCAUUCUCAGCAGGAGGGUGACCAGGGUUGUGACCAUAAUGUGGUGGCUUCUCUCCCUUAGGUGGUUUGCCAACUGGGGUUGGUGGCUUGUUUUCUGGGAGUGGCUUCUCUCCCUUGGGUGGUUUGCCAACUGGGGUUGGUGGCUUGUGUUCUGGGAGUGGCUUCUCCCCCUUGGGAGGUUUUUCGAAUGGGGUGGGUUUGUGUCCUGGUGGUGGCUUCUCUCCCUUGGGAGGUUUACCAAUUGGGGUCGGUGGCUUGUGUUCUGGGAGGGGCUUCUCUCCCUGGGGAGGUUUAGUGGGUGGCUUGUGUUCUGGAGGUGGCUUCUCCACCGGAGGCUUAUGCUCUGGUGGUGGCUUCUCGAAGGGGGGAUGCUCAGGGUAAUCACCAAGUGAGGGGGUGGUGAGAACCACCAUGCCAAGCAACAACACUAGCAAGUAUGUAGUAGACAUCUUUGGGUUUGGACUCAGACAGUGCAAAACUACGAGAAAUCGCUAGCCCUUUAUAGCGGCUCGGACCUAAUACUGACAUAAUAUAAAAUAAAUAUUAUAUUUUAUCAAGAGAGAACAGAGUGUAAUUUUAUCAUUAAUACCGAUCGAGGCCAAAGAAAGAAGACCCAUAAUCCAUUUCCCACAAGCAUACACAAUGCAGCUGUAAUUUUAUCAUUUACUUUUAUCCCUUGGACCACUGCAUUUUUGUUGAGAGACACAAUAACACAUUUUUAUCUGUCAUUCAACAUUUACAGUAAAGAGAGGGCACAAAACGCAAUUAGAUAAAUUAUGUUUUGCCUGCUAAAAAGAGGCAAAUAACUUUAUUUGCAACAUAAUUAUUUUGGUUUCUAGUGACCCCGGGGCCUUUCGGUUGGUUUGGGAUCGGAAAAUGAACAUCAUAGGGGGGGUUGUGCCCUUAUGGGCAUAUAUAUCUGAUAGCUUCAACUGGCCUUGUUCCUAGAAAGAAAUUGCCAAAGAUAUAAACUUAUUCCAGGCUGAAAGUAGAUGAGAGUCAUAAUGAACAUCAACCUUUGUUCAGUUUGAUUCAAUGCCCCCAUAGUGUUCAUUUCACAGAUCUGAAUGAUUAUAUCCGUUGAAUACAUAAAUUAAUGAAGACAAAUAUGAAACCCAAGAUACAUCUCUGCAUAACAACCCCAACCCUGGUUGCUAUGUUUCCCUUCUUCUAUUCACAUGAGGAUACUGGUUAUAAUUGUCAAACUUGCAACAAGCCCUUUGACACCUAACGUCAAUGGACGAAUUAAAAGUCUCCUUCAAACGUCUAUUUCACAGCAUGAAGCUUAUAAAGGAUGCUGACAACCUUCAGAGUUAGCGACAAAAGAUAAUUAUCAAGGAGAGAUAGUUCCAUGAGAAUUCCAAGGAGUCUGAAUCAAAGACAAAUUGCUCACUCAAGGGUUCUUAUUUUCUUUUAGGUACAAAUCUCUUGAGUGUUGUUAAAGAAACACGUCACUGUCAUUUUGAUUUGCAUUUAACAUUUCACUUUUGUUCUGGAAGGUUUGUUCCGGAAACAUAUCAAAUGAGCAUCAUUUUCUUCUUCGGUGACACAUGGUCGCGAGUACGUGGGUCCAUUUUCAUGCCACUUAGUUGAAAAGUUGGAAAGAAAAAACAUGCCAACAAGAAGAUAGUGAGAGAAGGGGCACUUCAAGCCUUUAACAUGAACAAACAGUAAAUAAAAGAUGUUUCUCCACUCAUAAAAGUGUGUUAGAUAGCAAUAUAACGAAUCACAUCCAAAAUCUUUACUAGGCUCAAACAUAAAGAAGACUCAUUUUUAAGAAAAGAUAAAAAUGGCAUUGUCUGAUAGUAUCCAAUACACGAGAUGGCACUUAAUUUGUACAAGAUCUGUCAAUGCUGACGCACAUUUUCUGAUUAAAAAAAAACUGAUCAGUCAAAAGCAAUGAAGAGAAGUGAUGACAAUGAAUGAUGCUUCCAAUAUUUUCACCCCUUAUAGUGUUCUUCAUGAUUCAGAUAUAUAAUUGGAAAUAGAACAACCCUAUGCCAUACAUUCGUCUAAGUAUGGUGUCUAAUUUUUUGUGUCAGCGGUUGCGAAUGGAGCGUGCAAAAGUCCAAAUUGGCGUCUCUCCAUUUCCACAUAGGAAGGUGACCUUUAUUGACAAAUACCCAAUAUUUGUAGACAUUCCUUAAAUAUCAUAACUUCUUGUUGAUUUGAAAAUCAUUUUUCAACUACCAUGUUUUAAUAAAUAUUUUUUAAAAUGUAUUUUUAUCAAAGUCCACCAUGAUGGAUAAUAUUCACCAUGCAAUAAUUAAUAAAGUACAAACUAAGCGAAAUGAAAAGCAUUUUCUUUGCUUUGAGUUGAUUUUGGUUGCAUUGAGUUGAUUUUGGUUUCAUGGUUUUUUCAACUCUUAUUUUGAUUGGAAGAUGUCAAGAAAAGAAAACAUAAAGAAAAAUUAAAAGGGAAAAAAGAAGAAAAAUAAAAAAAAAUAGAUUUAAAAGUUAAUAAAUUAUUUUUUAUAUUUAUUUUAAUUCAUUUCACUUAUUUUUCUUUUACUAUAUAAAAUUUAAAUAAUUUAAAUUUUAUAAUUAAUUUAAUUACAUUUCAUUUUCUUCUAUAUUUAAAUAUUGGAAAAAUAUUUUACUUAAUAUUUUUUUCUUUAAUUUCUUUGGCAUUUUGGGAACCAAACUUAGCCUUUAAAAUAAAAAACAAAAAAAAAAUGAAAAUAAGGAGGGAAAAGUGAGAAAAGAUAAAAACAAUAUGUAAAGGAUUUGAAAAGUAUUAGUUUGUAAUUACUAUUUGGAUUUCAAUAGUAUUUUAUUUGUCUUUCUAUAUUUCAUGUAAGAGAGAAUUUAAGAUAUUCCCCAAGGCAAAGCAUUAGUUACCUGCAAUCAGUGGUGAUAAGGCUCCAAGCCAAUUUUGGGCCCCAUAUCUUAAGACAGUACAAUUUCCAUUUCAACAUUUCUGAUUUCUCAGAUGUUUCACAUACCACAGAAGAACAUUGUUUGUGAAAAUAUGCAUUUAUGUUGGAUUUUGUAUGCUGUGGGGACUGGGGCAAGGAUCAUAUGGAAGAGUGGUUGACUUUUUCUGUACUUUAACGGUUGAAAUAGGAUAAGCACGGGCAUUUGUGAGGCUUAAUUGAUUUUGAAGCCUGAAAUUGCGUUUCUGUCAUUUUGUCAAAAAAAUGGCAGAUUCCAUACUCAUAUGUUUGGCCUGUGGCCAUGUACAGAUGCCAUUUAGUGACCAGUUUGUAACUGUCAAUCGUUGCGUUUUGACUCUGCCUCAACAACAUCUGCCAUUGACGGGUUUUCAUACUUGCAAAUCAAAUAGUCUUUCGUCCCAUCAGGAAUUUCGGUUUAAAUAUUAUUAAGCAUACGUUUGGCUGACAAUCAUUAUCCAGUUCAUGAUUUGGUUUCUUACCCUUAAUCAAUGGUUUCUAAGUGAAUAUAUGUAGAAGGAAAUCCGAAGUGUAGACAGUAGUAUCGAUAACUCUCAAUAUUCUCUAUAUAAUAGAAUAAACAGCGUCAUAGUGAUCGUCGCCUACAAGCAAGGUACAAAUACCAAAACGAGUGACUCACAUAGACAUCUCCCAACAAGAUGUAGUAGUGACUGACACAUGGACACAAUUAACUCGUAGAAAAGGAUAAGACCAUUGCACAGCAGCUCUUAUUUUACAUACUACUUAUGCUAACCAAAGUCAAUUAGUUGGGAUGGGUGGGAGAUGGAGGUUUGUGCGGUGGCUUGUGGGGCGGAGUUGAUGGCUUCUUUCCAGGAGCUUCUGGCUUUUUCAUCGGAGCUGAAGGAGGCUCAAUCUUAUGAGGCGGCUUGUAUGAGUCUUCUUUACUCUCGACAGGAGGGUGGCCAGGGUUGUGAUCAUAAUGUGGUGGCUUCUCUCCCUUAGGUGGCUUGCCAACUGGGGUUGGUGGCUUGUGUUCAGGAAGUGGUUUCUCUCCCAUGGGAGGUUUAGCAAUUGGGGUUGGUGGCUUGUGUUCUGGGAGUGGCUUCUCUCCCUUGGGAGGUUUAGUAGGUGACUUGUGUUCUGGAGGUGGCUUCUCCACCGGAGGCUUGUGCUCCGGUGGUGGCUUCUUGGUUGGAGGGGGCUUGGGGUAAUCAGCAAGAGAUGGGGUGGUGAGAACCACCAGUCCAAGGAACAACACUAGCAAGUAUGUGGGAGACAUUUUUGAGUUUGGGCUGAUCAGAUGAUGCAAAACUAAAGCAUUACGUGACCUUUUAUAGCAUGUAGCUCCCAAUACCCACUAAGUAUUGUGGGGUCCAUUUGUGCCCUACGGGGUUGAAAACUUAGACAAUUGGGCAAGGACCCACCUGACUAUGGAGGACUAGUGAGGUGUGAUCAUAGCUUUAGGAUUUUUCUUCCUCUGCAGCCGUCGUGCCGUUGGCAUGAUUUUCUUAAUCUUAAAUAAAGGCAUAGUUAUAGAGUUGUUUAAUCUCUAAAUGGGAUUUUAUAUAUAUCUUCAGAUAGCCAUUAAUAUAUUUGAUGAAGAAAGAAAGACAAGUGCAUACAACAUGUAUACGACUAGCUUUCAUGGAGUUCAUUUAUGAUCAGUUUUCCUGUACAUGUAAACCAGGAUCAUAUAUAUGUUUCUGUUCCACAACUAUUUUGGAAUCUUGUUUAUCAGUUUUUAUCAUUAUAAUGUCACAUAGGCUGCCAACUUGGGCGCUAAAAGAACCAGUUGGGCUAGUUCGUUUCAGAAUUUCAAUGUGGAUUCAGGAAUUGUUUUGUAAGAUAUGCGAAAUAGUAGAGGGAUGAAUAGUGUUUCAUUAAUAAAAGUGUCCUGUAAAUUAGAAGGUGUCAUAGAAACUAUAAUCAAUAAAUAACUUUUUUUCCCCACGGGUGGUGUUUCUUGUGGGGAUCAGUGACUGGUUUAGGUUCACCCAAAAUGAGUUCAGACUAAAAUUGGUUUGAGUCAAUGCCGUGUCUCUUUUUUCCAGAAAUCAACUAUUUUAUGCAUUGAAUAAAUCAUACAAAGAAAAUAUGAACGCCCGCAAAACCUAAACCCUGGUUGCUAACUUUCUAUGUUUCAGUUCUAUUCACGCAAGAAUAUUAGUUUAAGUUUGGGAAAAAUGGCAACUUACCUAGUGAUUACUUGGUUUUGGUUUGCGACUAUUUACGCAACCAACCAUGAGUUUGACUUUAACGUCAUGGGUUGAAGCCUCCUACAGGAAGGGAGAAAGCUCCACAGCUAGCUCCAAAAGAGAAUUAUCACAUUGAUAGCUCCAGAGAUUCCCAAGGGGACUGAAUCAAAGACAAGUUCCUCACUUUUUCUUCUUUUGAGGCCAAAUAUGAACCAAGGAUCACACAACCUCAUUCAACUUCAUAAGUUUGAUUUCAUGCAGUUGAACACUGGGUGAAGGCCAUGACAAGAAUUGAUUCAAAAAUUCUAUCACUCUUUUAAGUAAUGGAAGAUUAUUAUCUCUGAUUGGCAUCACAACAGCACAUGCUCCUAGAUCUUUCUAGACACUCCAUGCAAUGAAAGCACAAUGGAUCUUGUAACGAUAGAAACUAAGCCAUGCUACAGUACUAGAUGAUGAGGUAAAACUAGUAGACACGGGUGGCAGCCUAUAUGGGAGGGACACAAGUCUAAUUGAUUUGCAUUUCAGCAUUAUAGAUAGGUAUGUUUUGGAAGAUUUGUUCUGGAAAUACCGCACCAAGUAGGAUUCUUUUUCUCUUUAGUGGGUCCACUUGCAUGCCAAUUAACGAGUUGAAAAGUAUGAGCACCUACCUCGUGCUCGUGGAACCGAAGGUCAGUGAAGUGGGGCUCCUUUUGGCCUCGUGUAAACUUGAUUCAGAAGUGAAGUUAAUAGUCUUCCAUUCAGAUGGAUACAUGGGAAUUUUUCUCUUUUAUUUAUUUAUUUAUUUUUUUUUUGUGUGUGUAUGUCAAAGGAUAAUGAAUGAAGCGCGUUAGCUUGUUUUCUGACUGGAACCGCAGAUGUCCAAAUUGGAGUUCCUUCAUUUCUUACUUAGGAUUGUUACAUGUAUAAACAAGGUAUAAGAAAUAUGCCAACGUGUCUUGAGGAGUUAUUGAUUAGAAAUAACAAGUCACCCGACUGUAGAGUUCCAAGAUUUGAAUCUUCAGACCCUAUAGCAGCCUCUGGGGUACGUGGCAUCCUAUAGCAUAUUAAUGAAGGCUUUUUCGAUUUAGACUUCACAAUACCAAUUAAUAUGUAUGCACAAAAUGGAGAUGACCCCAAAAAAAACAGAAUCGCCAUAGUUUAUGAGGUUAAGGUGAUUCUCCACUUAAUAUCUACAUUAGCUAAUUAUGUAAAUCAAAUGAACUUCUAUUUUUCCUUUUUUUUUUUGGUUUAUGUCAAAUAGUAGCCCAUAAUUAACCCAACCAUUAGCCUGUUUGAAUUGAUUUCACAUGCACAAUGUUGUAGUAGUUCAUAUUUUGAAUUUUAUUUUUACAAAGGUAGUUAAGGAAAAUGAAGUAUAAUAAUUAUAAAAGCAGACUAUAUACACUACAAUAAUUGUUAGAAUGGUAUCUCAAAUUCUAAUUUAAAAUAUUAUUUUUUGUAAAAGAAAUAUUAUAUAGAAUAUUUCCUAAUUUUAUAAAUGAUUAUAAUUAGAUCUUUAUAAAAUAAGGAAAGUUGGUAAGAAUAUCUUUAUAAAUAUUUUAGGUCAUGAGAGAAAGAAAUGGGAUAAAAAUGUGAUGAAGAGGUGAAAUAAGAGAGUUGAUUAGGAUAUAGAUGUGAAGAAGAAAGGGAUUCAAUAUAUAUAUAUCUUUCAAUUACCACAUUAAAACCCUGUGAACCUUUUAUAUGGUUUACUUUAUUUUUAUAUUCCUCCUUUAAUAUAUUUACAUUAAUGCUUCCAUUGGCACAACAAUAACGAAUUACAAAUACAAGCAACAAGUCCCAUGUUUUAUUACCAAAAGCAGGUAAAAUCCACCUAAUAUAUUACAAUAUAUUCAUCCAAUAUUUUAGACCAAUUCUUCACCAUAAAUAUCAUAAUGUGGCUUUUGUUCUUUCUUAAAUUUAAAUUGAAUUGUCUUAUAUCAAUUUGUUUGUGAUUUUUUCAUUAACUUCACUUUCAUUUGGUUAUCUUUGGUUUUUGAAAAGUAUUAAGGAAUUAAUUAACAAAAUAAUGUUAAGAAAAAUAAUUUUCUCUCUUUUGAUUUUGAUUUUGUAGUAGAAAAAUAUAAUUAAAAUUAUUUAAAAAGUAUGUAAUUUUAAAUUAUUUAAUAUUUAGAUAAAAAAAAUAAGUCUAAUGAGUUUAAAAUAACAUAUAAAAAUAAUUUAUUUAUUUUAAAUUUAUUUUUUAUUUUCCAUUAUGUUCUCUUUCUCUUUUACUUUUUCAUAUUUUUUCUUACGAAGAAUCAAACACAACCUCAUAUUAUAUGUCAAGUGUUUGUCUAUAUUUGAGCAAUGUUAGAUACGGCCAUGGAUUCAUCAAACUAAACUGAUUUUAAUAGAUACUUCACAAAUUGAUUUAUACACUAAAUCAUUGGAUAGCAAUGAUGCAUUGGAAUUAAACGUAGGAUGAAGCUCGAAGAACACUGUUUGUGUAACAACAUAUUUAUGAAAUUAUGCAAAGGAUGAGCUUCGGGGUAGUAGUACAAGGUCAUUAAUGGAGAGCCGUGUUAAACCUUGAUUGUGAUUGGAUUCCGUUAUCAGCAACAGCAACCUUGUUUGUAACCUUGAAAGUCAUUCUGUCCACAUCGAAACUCCAAUUUGACGUUUGUAAUUACCAUUCCUGGAGUGUUCCUUGAUUGAAAUUUAAAUAAUAAUUGCGGCCCACAAGGAAUAUUUUCGAUUCUGUGGGAAUUUGACAAGGUUUGUUAGAGAAGACUGGUGACAUGUUGACUUCAAUGGUUCAAAUAGGAGACGUAUGUGGAUUUGGGGGGUUUAAUUGAAACUGAGUCCCUAUGGCUUUUUAAUAUUUGCAUUGAGCAGUCUCCAUGUGACUUCCUAAUUCCCACCAACCCUCCUGUCCAUGCUGUGAAACUAAAUUGUAAUUUAUCAGCCUUUGUCAAUGGUUUCUAAAUUAAAGAUAUAGACCAUGCAUGUACUUUAAUAAAAGCAAAUCUAAAGUGUAGAUAGCAGCAAUGGUGACACCCAAUAUUCUCCAUAAAAUAGAAUUAGAAUAAGCAGUGUUACAUUGUUCAUGAUCACCUACAAGCAUACAAGAACUUCCAUGAAUAACUCAUAGCAAUUGCCAACAGGGCGUCGUAGAGACUCAUACAUAGAACACUAUCCACCCAGAGGAAAGGACAAGACCAGUGCGCUGCAGCUCUUAUUUUUCACAUGUAUACCACCACUCGUAAUAACCAAAUUCACUCAGUUGGGAUAGGUGGGAGAUGGUGGUUUGUGGGGUGGCUUGUGGGGAGGAGUUGGAGGAGGCUUUAUUUUCUGAGGCGGCUUGUAUGAGUGUGCAGGAGGAUGCCCGGGAGUGUGACCAUAAUGUGGUGGCUUCUCUCCCGUAGGUGGUUUGCCAAAUGGGCUUGGUGGCUUCUCUCCCUUAGGAGGUUUACCAAUUGGGGUUGGUGGCUUGUGUUCUGGGAGUGGUUUCUCUCCCUUGGUAGGUUUGCCAAUUGGGGUUGGCGGCUUAUGUUCUGGGAGUGGCUUCUCUCCCUUGGGAGGUUUGCUAAUUGGGGUUGGCGGCUUAUGUUCUGGGGGCGGCUUCUCUCCCUUGGGAGGUUUGCCAAUUGGAGUUGGCGGCUUAUGUUCUGGGAGUGGCUUUUCUCCCUUGGGAGGCUUGCCAAUUGGGGUUGGCGGCUUAUGUUCUGGGGGUGGCUUCUCUCCUUUAGGAGGUUUGCCAAUUGGAGUCGGCGGCUUAUGUUCUGGAAGUGGCUUUUUUCCCUUGGGAGGUUUGCCAAUUGGGGUUGGCGGCUUAUGUUCUGGGGGUGGCUUCUCUCCCUUGGGAGGUUUGCCAAUUGGAGUCGGCGGCUUAUGUUCUGGGAGUGGCUUCUCUCCCUUGGGAGGUUUUGUUGGUGGCUUGUGUUCUGGAGAUGGCUUCUCCCCUGGAGGCUUGUGCUCCGGAGGUGGCUUCUGAAAUGGCGGGGGCUUGGGGUAAUGAGCAAGAGAUGGAGUACUGGUGAGAACCACCAUUCCAAGCAACAAUACUAGCAAGCAUGUGGGAGACAUCUUUGAGUAGUUGUAGCUAAGAUGGCGCAACACUGUAGGCAUUGGGUGGCCUUUUAUAAAGGGCUGGACCCAACAGCCAUAUGACACGUGUCAUGAUGACAAAUGAAGUUGAGGGGAUCCAGAUGGGUCCUACUGAGUCGAAAACUUGCACUAAUUGAUCUGGUGAGAUGACUAUUUCUGUCCUUUUGCCCUUCUCGGCCACCCUGUGCUGUUUUCCUUUUGCACGAUUUUCGUUGCCAAACAAGCAAAUAAUAUUUCGCCAAGAAAGAGGAGAGUGAAUGUGGAAUGCAUCAAGUCCCAUCAAGGAUGGCAGAGAAGAAAUAGAAGAUUGCCCAACUGUGAUAAACAUAGCAUACACGUAGCACCAGGAACUUCAUUUACUUCCAUCUAAUGGAACAUAACAAUCUUCUAAAGUUUUUGCAUGAUUUUGUUAUAUGUCUCUUAGCCUAAAGUUGGAAAUGCGCAACAAAUUUUGUCACUUCUCUAUUUCCCACUGAUGAUGUUAAUUAGCCUUCAUAGAUAUCAUCCUUUCUACAAAGUGCUUCAUUUGUGUGUUAUUGUAAAGUGUAAGAAAAGUAAUUGAACAUGUUCUUUUUCCUUUCAUAGAUGACUUUUGAUGUGCAUUUUAAAAGCAGCGCUGUGAGUCGGUGACCUUGAUUCACACGGAAACUAAGGCUCCUAUAGGACCCACUUUUAGCUGGUUAGGGGUGAAGAAAAUAUCAACUUUUCAGAGUGAUUUAAGUCAAGGCCAAGCCUCACUGUGUCAUUACUCGUGUGAAUUUUAUAUGCACAUACAUACAUAAAUAAAGUAUGAGACCCAAAUAACACCUUCCCUUUACAAACUUAACCCCAGCCGCUCUCUUUCAAUUCUUUUCACACAAGGGUAUUGACUCUAUAAAGGUCAAGAAAAUCAUAAUUUCCUAGGGUUUACAAGGUAAUUGGCUUAAUGCUAAUGUGAAAACAUAAAAGAUAAUAGUAUAUUGUAAGCUAACGAAUAUUCUAUAGUUAUAAUUAUUUGUGAUGUGCAUAAAUAAAUCUUCAUAUAUAUAAUGGAACAAUGAAUAAAGAACCAAUGAAAAAAUACUAUAUAUCAUUGCUUGGCAUUUAAACCGUAUAUGCUGCUCUUUCUAGCUACUCCAUCCACUGAAAGACAACAAGGUAAUCCAUGUUAUAAUGAUAGAAGAUACUGUCUCUAGGCUUUUUGUGAUGAAAAAUAUAAGAUAUGGGUAGGGUUGACCCUUGUAUGUUUGUCCUAUAAACACUUCAAAGUAACAUAUUUUUCUUCUUUAGCAACUCAUAAUGAUGGGGUUCAUUUGCAUGUCACUGAGUUGAAAAGUUGGACAAUUGCCCAUGUCGCCUUCCUCCUAGAUUCCGUAGUUCACGGGAAGGUAACUCAAGUUUGACAUAUUUUGAAUUCUUUUCACUCGGACGUCUUCAUAACCUGACAAAACAAAAAUGAAAAACAGAGGAUUGGUAUAUUAUUCAUGGUAAGCCUCAAAUUAUAGUAGUAUGAGAAAGGAGAAAAAGAUUUUGGGAACUCCAAUCUGGAUAAUUCUCGUUUCUUCUCUUGAAUAAAAAUUUCACUUACCUAACUUCGUUUGGAGAAAUGGCAUAUUUUAAUUUUGUACGUCAUUGCUAAUAAAUGGAGCAAUUUAGCAUGUUUUGUGACUGAAACUGCAAAUGUCCAAUUGGCAUUUCUUCAUUUCCCACUUAGGAUCUGAUCUUGUAGACCAUAUAACGAUAUGUAUCUGUGCAAGCAUUGAAAACUAAUGUGAACUAUGAGGAGUUACAAGCCACUGGACUGUAGAGCGAGUGCCAAGAUUUAAAUCUUCAGGCUCUAUCUGGGUAAGGGGAGGAUAGCGACCUAACCUUUUACCAAAGGCUUAGAAUUUAGACUUUUGGAAAAAAAUUUCUCAUGUUUUGGCUGGAUUUCUUGUGCUUGGCGCAAAAAGGAGAUGGCCUCAAGAAAUAGCAGACUCACUUUUGUUUUCAGCCCUUAAUAAUUCUCCACUGCUUUCCAUAACUACAUGGGUUAUACAUGCAGUCUGCUGCAAUAUUCCAGUUAUAUUUAUUAUUUCAAAGAGGGUGAAUGACUUCACAUGCAAUAUGUUGCAGUAACAACCCAAAUUUUGGCACACCAUCUUAAGAAUAGAAAAGUAUAAUAAAAGAAAUCAAUCAGAGAAUCACUUUGCAUGCAGUUCAUAGAGUUCGCCCAAAAUGGAGCCACAUGUACGGACAACCCCACAAUAGACAAUCUUCUCUAUACAGUAAUAAAAUACAGAAAUGGUUAAUGAAGCUCUGUAUUUCCUUAUCAUAUAUGACCGGUUGAAAACUCAGCAAGUCUUCCUCAAUCACAGACAGUUGGAGUUGCUUCAUCAAAAUCAUGCCUUCAUUACUGGCUUCAUUUUGGUUUCAAUGUCUGUUCUACCCUUAAAUUGGGUCUCUGCUUACUACCGGGAUAUCCUUUAGCGUCCUGCAAUUCUACUAGAUUAAAGAGAAUGACUUAAUUCUGCAUUCUGCCGUCCCUAGUCCAAGUGGUACUAGAAUUGAUGUUUCCUUUAGUGUCCUUUCUUCAUACUUUCAGGUUCUUCCCUUGUUUCAAUAAUGCUGUUUUCCUUCAUGUUUAACCUCUGUUGAACCACUUAAAACAACACAAUUUGCACACCAAUGUUUCUUUACAGAAAAGACUGUUUGCAAAAAUGCACAUGUUAUAAGGUUAAUGGAAGAAUUAAUUUGGGGAUAAGGGACUAGGAUUGGGCCAAUGAAGUUUGGUGUUAAAUUUUGAUUAUGAUUGCUUUUCAUUAUCAGGUACCUUAUAUUUGCUGAUGCUAUCUGGAACUAAAUUCAAAUCAGACAUUAUCCGAUUACUAACAGGACAUAUCAUGUCCCUCUGCAGAGUUUCUAAACUAACAUGUAUCGAAAUGUGGCCCCAAAAGGAAGGCUAGGAAGAUGGAGGAUUUUGUAGGAAUCGACCAGAAUCAGAUGGAAGAGAGAUAGUCCUGUUGACUUUAAUGGUUGUGAUAGGAACAUGCAUCAUUAUAUGAGAAGUUGCAUGAAUUUAUGUAUCCUGUUAUCGUUCCUUGACGAUUUCCCAAUGCAAUUUCACUGUCCACAAGACUAACCUCUCCAUGCAGUCAAAUGAAUUGUAAUUUCUCUAUUGGUACCAGUAGUACAUUUCAUACCAAACAUAUAGUAAAUAUAAAAUAUAAAUAGAUCAAGGAAAUCUGAAUUGUAGAUAGCACUGCAAGUAACACUCAAUAUUCUCUAUAUAUAAUAAAAUAAACAGUGUCACAAUACUCAUCACCCAGUGGCAAGGGAGAAAAACCUACAAUGAGUACUCAAAUCACCAUUCUCAAACAGAAACAUAGCAGUGACUGAUACAUAGAACCUAUAUGCUCACAGGGAAAGAAUAAGAUGACCAGUGCACAGCGGGCAGCAGCUCUUAUUUUACGUACAACUCAAAUCCCAAACUAACCAAAGUCGCUCAGUUGGGAUGGGUGGGAGAUGGUGGUUUGUGGGAUGGCUUCUGGGUAGGAGCUGGUGGCUUCUGUCCCUUUGGUGGUUUGCCUAAUGAGCUUGGUGGCUUGUGCUCCGGGAGUUGUUUCUCUCCCUCGAGUAGGUUUCGAGUCUUGUCAGAUGGCUUGUGUUCUGGUGGUGGCUUCUCUCCCUGGGGUGGUUUGCCGAAUGGGCUUGGUGGCUUGUGUUCGGGGAGUGGCUUCUCUCCCUGGAGAAGGUUACGAGUUUUGUCAUAUGGCUUUUGUUCUGGUGGUGGCUUCUCUCCCUGGGGUGGUUUGCCGAAUGGGCUUGGUGGCUUGUGUUCGGGGAGUGGCUUCUCUCCCUGGAGAAGGUUACGAGUUUUGUCAGAUGGCUUGUGUUCUGGUGGUGGCUUCUCUCCCUGGGGUGGUUUGCCGAAUGGGCUUGGUGGCUUGUGUUCGGGGAGUGGCUUCUCUCCCUGGAGAAGGUUACGAGUUUUGUCAGAUGGCUUUUGUUCUGGUGGCGGCUUCUCUCCCUGGGGUGGUUUGCCAAAUGGGCUUGGUGGCUUGUGUUCGGGAACUGGCUUCUCUCCCUUGGGAGGUUCAGUUGGUGGCUGCUGUUCCGUAGGUGGUUUCUUCACCGGCGGCUUGUGCUCCGGAAGCGGCUUCUCUACCUGGAGAAGCUUACGAGUUUUGUCCGAUGGCUUGUGUUGUGGUGGUGGCUUCUCUCCCUGGGGUGGUUUGCCAAAUGGAGUUGGUGGCUUGUGUUCGGGGAGUGGCUUCUCUCCAUUGGGAGGUUUAGUUGGUGAUUGGUGUUCCGUAGGUGGUUUCUGAAGUGGGGGAUGCUUGGGGUAGUCAGCAAGAGACGAGGUAGUGAGAACCACCAGUCCCAGCAGCAACACUAGCAAGCAUGUGGAAGACAUCUUUGAGUUCAGGCUGAGAUCUGUGCAAGGAUAACAGAAUUAGGUGGCCUUUUAUAGAGGCCUGGACCCAACACCCAUAUGACACGUGUCAUGCACUCAUGGUGACACAUAAUUCUAUGGGACCAUUUGGGUCCUACAGAAGUUGCAAAGUUGGACUACUGAGGUGUGAUCACAACUUUUGUCCUUAUUGCUUUCUCUGCGGCCAUUGCACGAUUUCCUUUAGCAUCAUUUUCUUGGCUAAAUAAGCGUAUUAUAUUUGUGGCAGACCGUCCACGUGUCAUAAACAGAUAUAUUAUAAUAAUGUAGUAUGCUUUUCUCCAAUGGAACAUGACACUCUUCUAAGUCUUGUUUUAAAUAUUGUGCAGGAUUACUUUAUACGUUGCAGUUCCAAGUCAAAAUUGGUGGGCAAACGUUGGCCUUUUUUCAUUUCACCUAAGAUUAAUGCUCACCUGGGAUAGGCACUACAUGACUUAUCUGCUCUUUUACUGUAAAGUUGCUUUGUGUAUGAGAUACACCUCCCCUGCACACCCUCAACAUUCGUUGCUCUGUUUUCCUUGUGUCCAGACGAGGAUAUUAAUUGGAGGCUGACAAAACGACUGCUAGCCCAGGAUUUACAAGGUCCUGGUUUGAGGCUUCGGUGAAAGUAUUUUUGAAAAGACACACAUAGAGAUAGUGCGUUUGGUGCAAUGCAGCACUGUGAGCCAUUCUGACGCGUUCUUAAUUUCAAAACUAAUGAAUGCUUCAAAAUUUUAAGAAGUGACAUUUCCAAAUAUUUGAGUUCGUUUAAUUGAACAUUGGAUAACUAGUGAUCAUAGAUUAUUAUCUGUGCUUGGCACUAUAAGAGGGUAUAUGCUUCUUUUUCUGGCCCCUCCUUCAAGGGAGGAGGGACAAUGUGAUCUGUAACGUUAGAAGCUAUUCCAUGUCAUCUUUGGGCUCAGUUCAAAACUAAAAGAUAAUGGGGGGGGGGGGGGGGGGCAUAUCAUUUUAUAUUUCUUCUAGAAGGUUUGUUCUGGAAAUAUUUCACAGGAGCAUAUCUUUUUCUUCUAUUACGUCAUCCGCAGCCUCCAAUAGGUCGGUUAACAAGCCACCGAGUUGAAAAGUUGGAAAAAUGGGAACACAGCCCGCCUCUUGUAUUCAGUAGUUAAAUAAAAGGUCACUAGAAGUGAGAUCCCUUUUGGCGUCUUGAUUUUCAAUCCAGCACCUCUGUGACCUGACAAACCAAAAAAACUAAAAAAUAAAAAACAGUACGUGGGUUGGUGUUAAGCAUCAAGACAUGUUAAUGAAAGAAGGUAGAGAAUAGGAUAUUGAAAUCCCAAUCCUGAUAACAUGAUUUUCUUUGCUAACAACCAUAUUAUAUUUUAUCAAGAAAGAGUAAUGCAUGUGGCGUCCAUCAAGACCCAUUAGAGUUCCGCUAAAGCUAUAGUUCUGUCAACGUUAUCAUUUACGUUUCCUCUAGAUAAUGGCAUUUUCCUCUAAAGCUCUUGCACCAUUAGGCUUCAAGUCAAAAUUUCACAUGUGAACUUUGGAAAUUUUCUCCAUUUGCCCCUAAGGAUACAGUUAGAAUUGACUUAAAAUCCUGAUUGAUAUGUACUAUUAACCAAAGAAUAUUGUAUAUAAUAAUUGAAAUAUUGUUGAUUCAUCGUGGAAAUACAUUUUGUAAGGAAAGUUGUUGAGAAUUUAGUAUGCUAUAUGGAGAAAAAAGUCAUGACUUAAGGUUGUGUAUGUAUAUUCUAUAUCAAAUAUUAGGUAGGAAUGUGGGAAAGAGCAGAGUGUAAUGAUAAGAAACAAAGAAAUAUAAGAUAUUCUUGAAAGUGGAAAAUAUAAAAUGGCUAACGAGUCAAAUUUAUGAUGCGUAAGGGGGAUCAUGUCACAUAAGAAAACCAUGGCAUACUAAAGACGUACGUGUGGUAUGGAGUAAUAAUUUUGUUAAAAUAAGUUUCUUGUUGGAGUACAUUAGGUGACUAUUCAUAACGUAUCAAAUUAAAGAGUCAAGUGCAUCAAUGAAGGCAUAUGUAGAAAAUUUGUUUGUGACAUGUACCAUAAAGAUAAGAUUGACUUGAUAGAAUUUAGUCUAAGUAGGAGUUGUUAAAGGUGUCUUAAAUUUCUAAUUGAUGUAUAUUUUUUUCUAAAAAAAUAUUAUAUAGAUAUUUUAAUAAAUGAUUAAUUCUUUGUAAAAAUACUUACAUAAUAAAAAACAUCAUUAAAAAUAUCUUUAUAAAUAUUUUAAGUUACAAGAAGGAAAAAAACCACUGUGAGAUAAUGAUGAACAUGCAACACUGUACCAAGUAAAUAAAAAUGUGAUAAAAAAAAAAGAGAAACACUCGAUAAAGGAAGGCUCGUAUAUAAAGAGUAAUAUUUUUAAUCAUAUGAUAGAAUGAUUUUCUCUCAUUCAUGAAUAUAGGCAAGAUUGGGGAACCAUUAUAAAAUUUUGUACACCUCGUGUAAAUUGAUGUUUGUCUUCAUAUUUUACACCAACAAAUGACAUUGAAGUUGUCAUUGAUAAAAGGGAAAAGGCAUGCCUCCACACCAUGUGCUUGAUUCGAAUGGUUCAAGUUUGAAGAAUUUUCUCCGGAAGAUCUAAAACAUUUUCGCCUUUAAAUUUCAUUUGAUUAUUAAUAUCCGAAAAAAUAGUUAAAUACUCUUUCUAUUUUUGAGUUGUUGAAUUUUUUGAAAGUUUUUAUAUUUGUUAUCAAGAAUUUCUAUUUUAUUAAGGGUGAAUAUUUAUAAAUAAGAUAUUAUAUAAUAUUUGGAUAAGAGAGAAUGGUGGAAUAUAAUAAAGUUUUAAUCCUUCCCAAUUUUGAACCUUUUUUUUUUUUUUUGAUAUAAUCGCCUUUCUCUUGCAAUCCUAUUAUCAGGUACCUUAUAUUUGCUGAUGCUAUCUGGAACUAAAUUCCAAUCAGGCAUUGUCCAAUUACUAAUAGGACAGAUCAUAUCUCUCUGUUUCUAAACUAACAUGUAUCGUAAUGUGACCUCAUAAGGAAGGCUAGGAAGAUGGAGGAUUUUGUGGGAAGCGACCAGAAUCAGAUGGAAGAGAGAUAGCCCUGUUGACCUAAUGGCUGUAAUAGGAGAAGCGUGUGGUUUUAUGGGACUUAACUGAUACUAAACCUGUAUGAUGCUUGGAGUGGUGUUUCUUUCAUUUUGUUAAGAAAAUAUGGCAGCAUACAUGCUUUCAACUGAGUGCAUCAGAGCAUCCAUAACAGAUGGUCUGCAACCCUAGGUGCAUGCCACUUUCUGACUGAUAAUGAAAUUGUCAGGUACCUGGCCUUGACUAAGCUCAACAGCAUCACAUAAAGAGAAGCUUUCAUACUUAGAUUACUGUUUAAAGUUUUUGCUUAUUUGAUUUCUUAAUGCCAUUAUGACAUUAUUGAUUCAAUUCUGCUUCCGAUUUUCGAAGUUCUGGGCAUCUACUGAUUGCAUCAUUAUAUGAGAAGUUGCAUGAGUUUAUGUAUCCUGUUAUUGUUCCUUUGCGAUUUCACUGCUCACGGGACUAACCUCUCCAUUCAGUCGAAAUGAAUUGUAAUUUCUUUACUGGUAGCAGUAGUACUUUUCAUAGCAAAGAUAAUAGAAAAUAUGAAAUAUAAAUAGAAGGAAAUCUGGAUUGUAGAUAGCACCAUAAGUAACACUCAAUAUUCACUACAUAAUAAAUAGACAGUGUUACAUAGGUAGAGAAACCUACAAUGAGUACUCAUCACCAUUCUCAAACAGAAACAUAGCAGCGACUUAUACAUAGAACCUAUAGGCUCGCAGGGAAAGAGUAACAUGAUAAGUUCACAGCGGGUAGCAGCUCUUAUUUUACGUAUUACUCAAAAUCUCAAACUAACCAAAGUCACUCAGUUGGGAUGGGUAGGAGAUGGUGGUUUGUGGGGUGGCUUCUGGGUAGGAGCUGGUGGCUUCUUUGUUGGAGUUGAAGGAGGCAUAUUCUUCUGAGGUGGCUUGUAUGACUCUUCGGCACUCUCUGCAGGAGGGUGCCCAGGGUUGUGACCAGAAGGAGGUGGCUUCUGUCCCUUUGGUGGUUUGCCUAAUGGGCUUGGUGGCUUGUGCUCCGGGAGUUGUUUCUCUCCCUCGAGUAGGUUUCGAGUUUUGUCAGAUGGCUUGUGUUCUGGUGGUGGCUUCUCUCCCUGGGGUGGUUUGCCGAAUGGGCUUGGUGGCUUGUGUUCGGGGAGUGGCUUCUCUCCCUGGAGAAGGUUACGAGUUUUGUCAGAUGGCUUUUGUUCUGGUGGCGGCUUCUCUCCCUGGGGUGGUUUGCCAAAUGGGCUUGGUGGCUUGUGUUCGGGAACUGGCUUCUCUCCCUUGGGAGGUUCAUUUGGUGGCUGGUGUUCCGUAGGUGGUUCCUUCACCGGCGGCUUGUGCUCCGGAAGCGGCUUCUCUACCUGGAGAAGCUUACGAGUUUUGUCAGAUGGCUUGUGUUGUGGUGGUGGCUUCUCUCCCGGGGGUGGUUUGCCAAAUGGACUUGGUGGCUUGUGUUCGGGGAGUGGCUUCUCUCCAUGGGGAGGUUUAGUUGGUGGUUGGUGUUGCGUAGGUGGUUUCUGAAGUGGGGGAUGCUUGGGGUAGUCAGCAAUAGACGAGGUAGUGAGAACCACCAGUCCCAACAGCAACACUAGCAAGGAUGUUGAAGACAUCUUUGAGUUCAGGCUGAGAUCUGUGCAAGGAUAAAAGAUUUAGGUGGCCUUUUAUAGAGGGCUGGACCCAACACCCAUAUGACACGUGUCAUGCACUCAUGGUGACACAUAAUUCUAUGGGACCAUUUGGGUCCUACAGAAGUUGCAAAGUUGGACUAUUGAGGUGUGAUCACAACUUUUGUCCUACUUGCUUUCUCUGCGGCCAUUGCACGAUUUCCUUUAGCAUCAUUUUCUUGUCUAAAUAAGCGUAUUAUAUUUGUGGCAGACCGUCCACGUGUCAUAAACAGAUAUAUUAUAAUAAUGUAGUAUGCUUUUCUUCAACGGAACUUGACACUCUUCUAAGUCUUGUUUUAAAUACUGUGCAGGAUUACGUCAUAAGUUGCUUGUUCCAAGUCAAAAUUGGUGGGCAAACGUUGGCCUUUUUUCAUUUUCCCUAAUAUUAAUGCUCACCUGGGAUAGGCACUACAUGAUUUAUCUGCUCUUUUACUGUGAAGUUGCUUUGUGCAUGAGUUACACCUCCCCUGCACACCCUCAACAUUUGUUGCUCUGUUUUUCUUGUGUCCAGACGAGGAUAUUAAUUGGAGGCUGACAAAACGACUGCUAGCCAAGGAUUUACAAGGUCCUGGUUUGAGGCUUUCACGAAAGUAUUUUUGAAAAGAUACACAUAGAGAUUGCGCGUUCGGUGCAAUGCAACAAUGUGAGCCAUUCUGAAGUCUUAAAUUUCAGAUUAAUGAAUGCUACAAAAUUCUAAGAAGGGCCGUUUCCAAAUAUUUGAGUUCAUUCAUCCGAACAUCGGGUAUAUGCUUCUUUCUCUAGCCCCUCCUUGAAGGGAGGAGGGACAAUGUGAUCUGUAUCGUUAGAAGCUAUUCCAUGUCGUCAUCUUUGGGCUCAGUUCAAUACUAAAAGAUAUGGGCGGGGCCCUUAUCAUUUUAUAUUUCUUCUAGAAGGUUUAUUCUGGAAAUCUUUCACAGAAACAUAUCUUUUUCUUCUCUACGUGAUCCGUGGUUUGAAAGUUGGAAAAAUGGGUCCGUUAACAAGCCACCGAGUUGAAAAGUUGGAAAAAUGGCAACACCGCCAACCUCUUGUAUUCGAUAGUUAAAUAAAAGGUCACUGGAAGUGAGAUCCCUUUUGGCCUCUUGAUUUUCAUUCCAGCAUCUCUAUGGCCUGAUAAAUUAAAAAACUAAAAAAAAAGACAGUACGUGGGUUGGUGUUAAGCAUCAAGAGUCAAGACAUGAUAAUGGAGAGAAAGGAUAUUCAAAUUCCAGUUCUGACAACAUGAUUUUCUUUGCUGAACUACCAUAUUAUAUUUGAUCAAGAAAGAGUAGUGCAUGUGGCCAGGAUCAAGACAUACAUUAAUUUCCACAUGAUGAAGACAGUUUCUGAGAGUUUCUUCUAAAGCUCUUGCGCGAGUAGGCUUCAAGUCAAAAUCUCCCAUGUAAACACUGGUUUUUCUUUCAUUGCCACUAAGGAUGCAGUUAAUAUUGACUUAAGAUCCUACGUGAUAUAUUUUUUUAAAAGAGCUAUAUUGUAGAUAAUAUUUGAAAUAAUGUUGAUUCGUUGUGGAAAUAUAUUUGUAAGGAAAGUUGUUGACAAUUUAAUAUAGUAUAAGAAGAAAAAAGUUAUCAACUAGCUAGAGAUGAGUAUGUAAAGUGAGGCUCACGAUUCAACGCGUAAAUAUAAGAUAUUUUAAGGCUCAAUAGUUAUGAUAUCUAUUUUAUUUUUUGUAUCUCAUAUAUUCAAAGAUAUAGUAAAAUGAUUUUACAUAUAUAUAUAUAUAUAUAUAUGAACAUAACUAUUUGUGCCAAUUGAUUUUUAUCUUUAUUUUGUAUAUUAGUAAUUAUAUUAAAGUUUUUACUAAUAUAAUAACUAAUAUAAAAGCUUUUUCUAAAAGAGUCAACAGAGCAAAACACUUAUUAUAAAAAAUAAUUUUGAUUGAAGGUGGAGUCAAUUAUUCUUUAUUUAACAUGUAAUGCAUACGGCGUGUACUUCAUAACUAAAGUAUAUAAGUGUAACAUCUCUUAUAUAUUCUCAUUCAAUCUCGAAAGUGGAAAUUUUAAAAAGAUUAAACGGUUCAAAUUUGUCGUGCAUAAAGGGGAUCAUGUCACAUAAGCAAACCAUGGCAUACCAAAGACAUAGGUAUGGACUAAGAAUUUUUUUCAAAUAAGUUUCUUAUUAGGGUACAUUAAUAGGUGACUUUUUAUGACAUAUCAAAGGAGUCAAGUGCACCAAUAAAAACAUAUAUAGAAAAUUCAUGCAUGACAUGUAUCACUAAGAGAAGAUUGACUUGAUAGAGUUUAAUCCAAAUAGGAGAUUGUUAAAAGGUGUCUCAAAUUCUUGAUUGAUAUAUAUUUUUUUUAUUAAAAAGGUUAUUAUAUAGAUAUUUCAAUAGACUAUUAAUUCUUUGUAAAAAUAGUUAUAUAAUGAGGAUGGUGAUUAAAAAUAUCUCUAUCAAUAUUUUGGAUUAUAAAAAGAAAAAAAAUGAGAUAAUGAUAAACAUAUAAAACUUGUACAAGUAGAUAAAGAUGUGAUGAAAGACACUUGAUGAAUGAAGGCUUUGUAUUUCAAGAUAUAAAUAUAUGGAGCAAAACUCUUAAUUAUAUGAUCAAAUGAUUCUCUCAUAUUCAUGAAUAUAAGCAGGAUUGGGGAACCAUGAUAGAAUCUUAUAUGCCUCUCCAUGUAGAGUGAUCGAUGUUUAUCUUCAUAUUUUACACCAGUGAAUGACAUUGAAACUCUUAUUGAUAAAAGGGAAAAGGCAUGGCCUCCACCCCAAGAAAAACAAGUAACCUCGGUUUAAAUCACUAGUCUACACCCCGAAGAGAGAACUAGCCAAACCUACUAAAAGAGAAACUUAACAAUUUAGAAAGAAACCGUCCAUGAUAAAGGGCCCCUAAAGGUCCAAUUCAGUGAGGUCGUGAACAAAAACACUUUCAUGUCAAAACAGAGAUAGGUACCACCAAAAUGUAAAGGGAAAGAUGUAAACCACGUCGAACUUUGGUAAUCAAUGGUAAAGAUAGCAUGAUAGCUAAAAGCACUAAAGCUGUGCUUGGUAUGCAAAAAUGAAAAGUGGAAAUCAGCGUCUUAUUCUUUUUCACCUUUAUUCACAUAUUAGGAUAACUAAUAUCUAAUGUUUUUUAUGUCUCAAAUUCUAUUCCAUGUUAUGGUAAACUUUCAUCUUGUUUAGAUCACUUUUGUCUGGUUUGGGCUCAAGACGAUAAGCCUAUAGAGACUUCAUAUUGGGUUGAAUCGAUGCCCUUGAUCUGAUCUGUUCGUUAGAAAAAUCUGAAUUAUUAUAAGCAUUUAGAUAAAAAAUAAAUAAAUGUGAAACACAAACUACUCCCUGCACAACCUUGACCCUAGUUACUCAGUUUCACUGCUCACAGGACUAACCUCUCCAUUCAGUCGAAAUGAAUUGUAACAAGAAGAUUUUUGACAGGAGGACGGUAGUUUAAAAUAAUAAUUUCUAAAGUACUUUUGUGAAAAAAAAUAAUUCCAAACGUGGAUUUUAUCAAGUAAAAAGAAAAAAAAAAGUUAUUUUCUUUUAAAAUCUGUUCUUCUAAAGAUGAUAUAUAUACCAAAAAAAAAAAUUGUUUUCUGAAGGUAAAAUUUUUAAAAUUCAUUUUUAAAAAAAUUUACACACUAAAAUUAUCUUUUCAAGAGAAGAUUUUUUUAAUUUUAAAUAAUUAUUAAUUUAUAAUUAAUUUGUUAUUAAUUAUUUAUUAAUUUUUUUAUUUGAAAAAUGCAUUUAUAAAAAACAAAUUUGUUAUUAAUUUAUUAAAUAAUUUUUACAAAAUAAAUAAUUUUUUUUUAUUUUAAUUUUAAAAUUAAUUUUAUUAUAUAAAUUUUAAAAUUAAAAAUAUUAAUAUUUAAUUUAAAAUUUAACUAUAAAAGGAAUAAAAUAUAGAAAAAUAAAUUAAUUUAUUAUUCAAUAAAUUAAUUUUCAAUAAAAUUUUCAGCAUUAAGAGAUAAAUUUUUAAGUAUUAAUCAAUUUAAAAAGAAAUAAUGAUCAUUUGUAUAUUAAGAUAUUUUAUUUAGUAAUUAUGAAUGAUAAACAACUAAAGUAAUUUGAAAAAAUAAUAAAAUAUUUAAAAAAUAAUAAUUUAAUACACGUAAAAUUAGAAAUGAUUAACUAUUUUUUAUUAAGAAAAAAUUGAGGAAAUAUUUUGUUAUUUAAAAUUUUUUAUUUGUUUUCAAUUUUUAAUGUUAUAGGUUUCAAGAAAAUUGAUCAAAUAAAAAUUAAGAAGUCAUUUUUUCAAAAACUAUAUAUCUAAAUAAAAGCCUUGAAAUUCAAAUACACAAUAUCAUAAAUAUAAACACCAAGUCAAUCCUUAAUUAUCAAAUGUUUUUAAUAUUAAAGAAUCAAAAUCACCUACUAUCAUGAUAAUAAGAAAACCAAUAAUAUUGUUCAUAUAAAUACUAAAAAGCUAACAAAUAUCCCAAACAAUUAAUAAAGUAUCAAACAUGAUAAAAAGUCAAUUAUUAUCAUGAAUGCAAAAAAUCAAUAAUUUUGUUUAUAUGAACCAUCAACAAAGAAAAAAAAAAUCAAUAUCUAAAUAUUAAACAUAAUUUAUAUUUUUAUAAAUAUUAUUGUUGAUAAAUAUCUUAACAAUUAUAAUUUUAGUAAAUAAAAUUAAUUAAUUUUAGUUUAAGAAUUAUUUUUUUAUACUUUCGUAUUCUUAUCAAAAAUCCCCAUUUUGCAUGUCUCCUUUGGCAUGACUUUCUUACCUAAACAAGCAUAUAUAUAUAUAUAUAUAUAUAAAAUAUUUGGUUAAGAAAGAGUACUAAAGUUUAUAUGGCACACAUCAAGAUAGAAACAGAAGUGGAAGAUAAUCCAAAUGUAUGAACAGAUAUAUUAUAUCCAUGUAGUGGUAGUGACUUCAUUAUUUACUUUUAUCUAAUGGAGCAUGACACACUUCUUCUGAAUAUUUUGCACGAUUAUGUUAUGUGUCAGCUUGUUCUAAGUCAAAACUAGUGAUAAAAAUCGGUUUUUUUUGCAUUUCCUUCAUGAAGAUGGCACCUGGAUGGGGCACUACAUGAGUGGCAUAGCACGAAGUGAUUUAUCUGCUCCCUUUACUAUAAAGUGCUUUGUGUAUAAGUUACACCUCCCCUGCACUGCCUCAACAUUUGUUGUUCUGUCUUCCGUCUGUCCAAACGAGGACAAACGUAUGUUGUAGGUUGACAAAACCACAGCUAGCCUAGGAUUUGCAAGGAUCUAGUUUGAUUCGUAUGCAAAAGGAUUGGUGAAAAGAUUCACAAAGAUAAUGCUUUUUGCAAUGCAAUCUUGUUCUAAUUCAACAGUGUGGACCAUUUUCAUGUAAUGCUUCAACUAGAUGUCAGUUUCAUGAAUUUUUGUUCAUCUAAUUGAUCACUGGAUAGGCCAUAACCCGAAGAAAUUCAAAAUUCCCUUCAGUACUGUAGCUAAGGAAAGAUCCCUAUCUACCACUGGGAUUUUAAGAGGGUAAAAAUGUAGGUGGGUGCCUAUAUCAUUUGCACUUCACUAUAGGCCUCUUUGGGAAGAUUUCUUCUGAAGACAUUUCAAAGAAACAUAUUUUUCUCUUCUCUCCGUAAACGGCAGCUGCAAGUCAGUCCAUUCACAGGCCACCGAGUUGAAAAGGCUGGAAAAUUGGCCAAAGCACCCGCCUCCUGGAUUCCAUGGGUAAGGAAAAGGUCACUGGAGGUGUGAUCCCUGUUGGCCUCUUGAUUUCCAUUCCGCCAUCUAUAUGACCUGAUAACCCAAAAACACAGAAGGAAAACGUCACCUGGGUUCAUAGUAAGCAUCAAGUCAUGAUAGAGACCAGACAACAUGACCAACAAAGAGUAGCGAAUGGGGCCAACAUCAAGCCCCAUUACGGUUAGAAGAUGGAAGAAGUAGAAGACAAUCCAAUUCUGAUAGAUUCGGGCAAAUGUAGUGCUGUUCAAACUUAAUCAUUUACUAUUUCUUCAUGAAUCACGGCAUUUUUCUUCUGAAAAUUUUCCAAGAUUAGGCCUCUGAAGAAAAAUUUCAUAUGUAAAUUGGUAUAUUAAGGAAAAGGCGUUACAAAGGUGAAAAAAAACCAAUCAAAUCUUAUAUAUGACAUCUCAAAAAUAUGAACUUGCUAUAAAUAUUUAAAAUCAAAAUCUUGCACAUCACCUCGUAGUACGAACUUGCUAUAAAACUUGAAAAUCAAGAAGAAAGGGGCAGUAUUGGACGAGACUACUUAGCACAUAUUAUUAUGAUGUUUUUUCAUUUUCUUAAUGUUGUUUUUAUGUCUUAAAUUCUAUUAUUCUAUGUUACGGUAAACAUUCAUCUUGUUUGUGUGGAAUAGGAUCACUUUUCUCUGGGUUGAGUCGAUGCCCUUAGUUAAUUUGUUCAUUUGAAUAAACUAAAUUAUUAUAAGUAUUUAGAUAAGAAAAACGUGAUACAUAAAUUACGCCUCUCGGCACAACUUCAACACUGGUUACUCUGUUUCAGUUUCCUCACACAAGAUUAUUGGUUCUAGGGUUUAUUUGGUUUUGGUUUGAUUCUAAUUGCUAAACUUUCUCAAGGAAGAUGUUAUAUAGGGAGUGAGAAACCUUCACUCUUGGCUACCUCCAAGAGAAGAGCAAGUGGUCUGAAUCAAAGAUAUACUGCUCACUUUUUCUUCUUCUAAGGACAGCUAUGACCUUGCUUUAAGGUUCGAAUAGCCUAAUGCAACCUCCCAUUUCUCAAGUCAGCUGAUGAUGUAAGUCACCUUGGCUUUCCACAUUCAUACGGUGAGGACGUUUGUGGGUGUAAUUCUCUUAACAGUUUUCAUUUUAUAUGGAAAAAUUCAUAAUUAAGGGUAAUUACUGAUUCCAUUUGACAGUGACCAAGUUUAAAAUAUUAAUUCAUAUAUUAAAUGCACAUUAAAAAAUCAUGGAAUAAAUAUAUUUACUAAUAUAUAGUUCUUUUGCCAUGUUCUGUCACAGAAGCAUCGAACUUUCCCUAGAAAUUUUUGCAUGGUAUUCUACUUAUGAUUUUGAAAACUCUAGGCACCUGAGGCCACUAAUUGCAUGGUUGGAUGAGGAGCUGCAUGAGAUUAUGUAUCGUGUUGUUCCUUAACUACAAAUAUCAGUUUUAAGUAGCAUCUCCAUGUGACAUUUUCCUGAUGCAAUUUCGCUGUCCACCAACAAAUUUCACCAUGCAGCAAGAUGAAUUGUAAUUUCUUUAUUGUUAUCAACAGCUUUAAUUAAUCUUGAUAUAUAUAUAUAACUUAGUAGAAGUAUAUUAAUCUAGAUUGUAGUUGCACUAAGAUAAUAGGCAAUAUUAUAACAGUGCCACAAUGCUCAUCGCCAAAUAGAAAGGUAGAAAAACUACAAUGAGUAACUCACAACAUUCUCAAACAGGACAUAGCGGCGACUGAUACAUAGAACACUAUUGGCACUCAGGAAAUGAUAAGAUCAGUGCCCAGCAGGCAGCACGUCUUAUUUUACAUACUACUUAAAACUAACCAAAGUCAUUCAGUUGGGAUGGGUGGGAGAUGGUGGUUUGUGCGGUGGCUUUUGGGUAGUUGGUGGCUUCUUUCCUGGAACUGAUGGUUUUUUUGUUGGAGUUGAAGGAGGCUUAAUCGUCUGAGGUGGCUUGUAUGAGUCUUCAGCACUCUCUGCGGGAGGGUGCCCAGGGUUGUGACCAUAAUGGGGUGGCUUCUCUCCCUUAGUUGGUUUGCCAAGUGGGCUGGCUGGCUUGUGCUCCGGGAGCGGCUUCUCUCCCUUAGGUGGUUUGCCAAAUGGGCUUGCUGGCUUGUGCUCUGGGAGCGGCUUCUCUCCCUCAAGAAGUUUACGGGUUUUGUCAGAUGGCUUGUGUUCUGGUGGUGGCUUCUCUCCUUGGGGUGGUUUGCCAAAUGGACUUGGUGGCUUGUGUUCGGGGAGUGGCUCCUCUCCCUUGGGAGGUUUAGUUGGUGGCUGGUGUUCCAUAGGUGGUUUCUCAACCGGGGGCUUGUUCUCCGUUGGUGGUUUAUGAACUGGGGGAUGCUUGGGGUAGUCAGCAAGAGACGGGGUGGUGAGAACCACCAGUCCCAGCAGCAACACUAGCAAGUAUGUGGAAGAGUACAUCUUUGAGUUCAGGCUGAGAUUUGUGCGAGACUUGAAGAAUUAGGUGGCCUUUUAUAGCUGGCUGCACCCAACACUCACAUGACACGUAUCAUGGUGACACAUGUGCUAUGGGUCCAUUUGGGUCCUACAGAAGCUGAAAACUUUUGACUAUUGAGGUGUGGUCACAACUUUUGUCCCUAUUGCUUUCUCCGCAACCGUUUUACAUGUUUCCUUUGGCAUAAUUUUCUAAGCUAAACAAGCAUAUAUCAUAUUUGGUUAAGAAAGAGUAAAGUGUAUAUGGCACACAUCAAGGAAGAGAAACAGAAAAAGUGGGAGACAAUCAAUUGUGAUAAACAGAUAUAUUAUAUUCAUGUAGUACUAGUGACUUUAUCAUUUACUUUUAUCCAAUAGAUCAUCACUCUUUCUUCUAAAUAUUUUGGAGGAUAAUGGUACAUGUUGCUUGUUUCCAAGUCAAAAUUGGUGGCAAAAAUCGGCAUGAUACGAAAGGAUUGGUGAAAAGAUUCACAUAGAUGGUGCUUUGUGCAAUGCAGUCUUGCUCUAAUUCAACAGAGUGGACCAUGGUGAUGUAUUUUAAAUUUUAAAUUUUAAAUUAAUGCAUGCUUCAAAGUUUUAACUAGAUGUCACUUCCAUGGAUUUUUGUUCAUUUAAUUGAGCACAGGAUAGGCUAUCAAACUUGAAGUAAUAUAAAAAUCCCUUCAUUACUGUAACUAAUGAAAGAUCAUUAUCUGCGCUUGGUAUUUUGCCAAGGUAUUUGCUGCUCUUUCUAGCCCUGUCUUACAGUUAAGGACAAUGUGAUCUAGUUAACCUUAGAAGCUAUUCCAUGUCAGAUACAAGAGAUCAAGCACAUUAUCUUUGGGCUCAGUUCAAAACUAUAAUAUAUGGGUGGGGUGGAGGCCCAUAUCAUUUGCAUAUCACCACUAUUGGUUUAGUUUGGAAGGUUUCUUCUGGAAGAUUGCUGCUUUCUGGAAUCAUUUCAAAGAAAUAUAUCUUUUUGUUCUCUUGGUGACGAGCAGCGGCAAUCAAGUCUGUUGACAAACAACCGAGUUGAAAAGUUUGAAAAUUGGUCACAGCCCACGUCCAUGGUUAAGGAAAAGGUCACUGGAAGUGAUCCCUUCUGGGCCUCUUGAUUUCCAUUCUGACAUCUAUAUGACCUGAUAAAUAGAAAGAAAAAAAAACAGAAGAAAAGCGGCACCCGGGUUCAUAGUAAGCAUCAAGACAGGAUACUGAAAGAAGGGAGAAAGGAGAUUGCAAGUCCAAUCCUGAUAAAAUGAUCAACAAAGAGUAUCAAAAUGGGGCCAACAUAAAGACCCAUUGAGGUUAGCAGAUGGCAUGGCAUUUUUCUCCUUAAGUUUUCCAUGAUUAGACUUGAAGUCAAAAUUUCACAUGUAAAUUUGUAUUUCUACAUUUCCCACUGACGACACCCAACUUCAACUUGAGUUAGAAUAACAUUGUGUGAACUUAUCUGGCCCUCAAAAUUUACUGUGAAGUGCUUUCUGCGUGUGAAGAUUCAGAAAAGCACCAAGGGAACAUGUAUGGUCUGCCUUUUUCUGAUGUUAUGUUUGUCUCUAAUUCUGUUCCAUGUCAUGGUAAAUGUUCACAUUGCUUGUAUGGAACACACCAGGAUCACUUUUUCGGGUUUAUUUUGAGGCUUCAUAUUGGGUUCAUAUUGGGUUCAAUGCUUUUAAUGUGUUCAUUAGACAAAUCUGAAUUAUCAUAUGCAUUUAGAUAAGAACAAUAAUGUGAAACCCUAGUUACACCUCCCCUGCAUAACCCCAACCCUGCUUACUCUAUUUCAGUUUACUCACACAAGUUUUACCGGUUCUUAUAAGUCAAGAAAAGGCAACUGAUGUUGGAUUGACUCUCUUCCAUGUAUAAAAAGCAACUUUUAUAUAUACAUAAAAUAACUUCUUCCCCUCACCAAUGUGGGAUAUCAUGGAUUUAUUCUGGAAACACAUCAAAGGAACAUCUUUUCUCUUGGGUGACCCUAAGUGGUGAGUCAGACCAUUUGCAUGCCAUUGAGUUGCACAGUUGGAUAAAUGCACCUACCUCCUGGGCUCCAGAGUUAAAAGGGUGGAUCCCUGGAUCGCAACCCUCUUGGCAUCUUGGUUUCCAUUCCAACAUCCACAUGACUUGACAAAACAAAAAACAGAAUAAAAUCAUCACUAUUUUCAUGCUAAGCACCAAUACAUGAUGGAAAUCAUUGCUUAAAGAUUUGGGGUCAUUUAGGUUUUGACUGCCUCCUAACACCUCACCUAAUCACAAGUUUUUAUGCUUACAAAUCAAAUAUCGUUCUUCAUUAUAUUAAAAUCAUUUUAAGAUUUCAGAUCCAUCUGCUAAUUAUGAUUAUGAUAACAUUAAUUCACCUGUGCUUCUCAUUUUCGACACACAAGGCAUCUAGGUUUGCAGGAUUUCCUUAUUAGAUGAGAUAAAUGAGUACGCAUGGUUAUGUAUGCAGCAUUCAUUAACCAUGGUAUGUGACAUUUAGAAUUAAGAUAGCAAGCAAACUUUCCCUGCAGCUUGAGUAAAUUGUGAUUUCUUAGCCUCUAUGAGUGGUUCCCAAAUCAAAUUAACAUAGUGAAAUAUACGUAGUCCAGUGAAAGGAAAUGUAAAUUAUAAACUAACAGCACUACACUACUGGUAACACUCGAUACUCUCUAUAUAAUGCAAUGAAAUAUACGUUAUACGUUGCUUGUUCCAAGUCAAAAUUUGUGGCCAAACGUUGGCCUUUUUUCAUUUUCCCUAAGAUUAAUGCUCACCUGGGAUAGGCACUACAUGAUUUAUCUGCUCUUUUACUGUAAAGUUGCUUUGUGUAUGAGUUACACCUCCCCUGCACACCCUCAACAUUUGUUGCUCUGUUUUCCUUGUGUCCAGACGAGGAUAUUAAGUGGGGGCUGACAAAACGACUGCUAGCCAAGGAUUUACAAGGUCCUGGUUUGACGCUUCCGCGAAAGUAUUUUUGAAAAUAUACACAUAGAGAUUGCGCGUUCGGUGCAAUGCAACAAUGUGAGCCAUUCUGAAGUUUUUAAUUUCAGAUUAAUGAAUGCUACAAAAUUCUAAGAAGGGCCGUUUCCAAAUAUUUGAGUUCAUUUAUCCGAACAUCGGAUAAGUAAUGAUCAUAGAUUAUUAUUAUUAUCUGACGUUCUUAUAAUGGUUGGCAUUAUAAGAGGGUAUAUGCUUCUUUCUCUAGCCCCUCCUUCAAGGGAGGGACAAUGUGAUCUGUAUCGUUAGAAGCUAUUCCAUGUCGUCAUCUUUUGGCUUAAGUCAAUACUAAAAUAUAUGGGCGGGGCCCCUGUCAUUUUAUAUUUCUUCUAGAAGGUUUGUUCUGGAAAUCUUUCACCGAAACAUAUCUUUUUCUUCUCUACGUGAUCCGUGGUUGGAAAGUUAGAAAAAUGGGUCCGUUCACAAGCCACCGAGUUGAAAAGUUGGAAAAAUGGCAACACCGCCAACCUCUUGUAUUCGAUAGUUAAAUAAAAGGUCACUGGAAGUGAGAUCCCUUUUGGCCUCUUGAUUUUCAUCCCAGCAUCUCUAUGUCCUGAUAAACUAAAAAACUAAAAAAAAAACAGUACGUGGGUUGGUGUUAAGCAUCAAGAGUCAAGACAUGAUAAUGGAGAGAAAGGAUAUUCAAAUUCCAGUUCUGACAACAUGAUUUUCUUUCCUGAACAACCAUGUUAUAUUUGAUCAAGAAAGAGUAGUGCAUGUGGCCAGGAUCAAGACAUACAUUAAUUUCCACAUGAUGAAGACAGUUUCUGAGAGUUUCUUCUAAAGCUCUUGCGCUAGUAGGCUUCAAGUCAAAAUUUCCCAUGUAAACACUGGAUUUUCUUUAAUUGCCACUAAGGAUACAGUUAAAAUUGACUUAAAAUCCUACGUGAUAUAUAUCUUUAACAAAAGUAUAUUGUAUAUAAUAUUUGAAAUAAUGUUGAUUCGUUGUGGAAAUAUGUUUGUAAGGAAAGUUGUUGACAAUUUAAUAUAGUAUAAGAAGAAAAAAGUUAUCAACUAGAGAUGAGUAUGUAAAGUGAGGCUCACGAUUCAACGCGUAAAUAUAAGAUAUUUUAAGGCUCAAUAGUUAUGAUAUCUAUUUUAUUUUUUGUAUCCCAUAUAUUCAAAGAUACAGUAAAAUGAUUUUAUAUAUAUGAACAUAGCCGAUAGUAUCAUGUUAAAACCUUAUAUGACUCUUUGUGCCAAUUGAUUUUUAUCUUUAUUUUGUGUAUUAGUAAUUAGUAUUAAAGUUUUUACUAACAUAAUAAUUGAUAUAAAAGCUUUUUCCAAAAGAGUCAAACAGAGCAAAACACUUAUUAUAAAAAGAAUUUUGAUUGAAGGUGGAGUCAAUUAUUCUUUAUUCAACAUGUGAUGCAUACAGCGGGUACUUCAUAACUAAAGUAUAUAAGUGCAACAUCUCUUAUACAUUCUCAUUCAAUCUCGAAAGUGGAAAAUUUUAAAAGAUUAAAUGGUUCAAAUUUUCCGUGCAUAAAGGGGAUCAUGUCACAUAACCAAACCAUGGCAUACCAAAGCCAUGAUAUGGACUAAGAAUUUUGUUAAAAUAAGUUUCUUAUUAGGGCACAUUAUGUGACUAUUUAUGACAUAUCAAAGGAGUCAAGUGCAUCAAUAAAGACAUAGAAAAUUCAUGCAUCACAUGUACCACUAAGAGAAAAUUGACUUGAUAGAGUUUAGUCCAAAUAGGAGAUUGUUAAAAGGUGCAUCAAAUUCUUGAUUGAUAUAUAUUUUUUUUAUUAGAAAGGUUAUUAUAUAGAUAUUUCAAUAGACUAUUAAUCCUUUGUAAAAAUAGUUAUAUAAUGAGGAUGGUGAUUAAAAAUAUCUCUAUCAAUAUUUUGGAUUAUAAAAAGAAAAAAAAUAUGAGAAAAUGAUAAACAUAUAAAACUUGUACAAGUAGAUAGAGAUGUGAUGAAAGACACUUGAUGAAUGGAGGCCUUGUAUUUCAAGAUGUAAAUAUAUGGAGCAAAACUCUUAAUUAUAUGAUCAAAUGAUUCUCUCAUAUUCAUGAACAUAAGCAGGAUUGGGGAACCAUGAUAGAAUCUUAUAUGCCUCUCCAUGUAGAUUGAUCGAUGUUUAUCUUCAUAUUUUACACCAAUGAAUGACAUUGAAACUCUGAUUGAUAAAAGGGAAAAAGCAUGGCCUCCACCACAAGAAAAACAAGUAACCUCGGUCUAAAUCACUAGUCUACACCCCGAAGAGAGAACUAGCCAAACCUACUAAAAGAGAAACUUACCAAUUUAGAAAGAAAUCUUCCAUGAUAAAGGGCCCCUAAAAGUCCAAUUCAGUCAGGUUGUGAACAAAAACACCUUCAUGUCAAAACAGGAAUAGGUACCACCAAAAUGUAAAGGGAAAGAUGUAAACCAAGUCGAACUUUGGUAAACAAUGGUAAAGAUAGCAUGAUAGCUAAAAGCACUAAAGCUGUGCUUGGUAUGCAAAAAUGAAAAGUGGAAAUCAGCGUCUUAUUCUUUUUCUCCUUUAUUCACAUAUUAGGAUAACUAAUAUCUAAUGUUUUUUUUAUGUCUCAAAUUCUAUUCCAUGUUAUGGUAAACUUUCAUCUUGUUUAAGUGGAAGAGUAGGAUCACUUUUGUCUGGUUUGGGCUCAAGACGAUAAGCCUAUAGAGACUUCAUAUUGGGUUGAAUUGAUGCCCUUGAUCCGAUCAGUUCGUUAGAAAAAUCUGAAUUAUUAUAAGCAUUUAGAUAAAAUAAAUAAAUAAAUGUGAAACAGAGACUAUUCUCUGCACAACCUUGACCCUAGUUACUCAGUUUCACUGCUCACGGGACUAACCUCUCCAUUCAGUCGAAAUGAAUUGUAAUUUCUUUACUGGUAGCAGUAGUACUUUUCAUAGCAAAGAUAAUAGUAAAUAUGAAAUAUAAAUAUAUAGAAGGAAAUCUGGAUUGUAGAUAGCACCAUAAGUAACACUCAAUAUUUACUACAUAAUAAAAGAGAUAGUGUUACAAAGGUAGAGAAACCUACAAUGAGUACUCAUCACCAUUCUCAAACAGAAACAUAGCAGUGACUUAUACAUAGAACCUAUAGGCUCGCAGGGAAAGAGUAACAUGAUAAGUGCACAGCGGGUAGCAGCUCUUAUUUUACGUAUUACUCAAAAUCUCAAACUAACCAAAGUCACUCAGUUGGGAUGGGUAGGAGAUGGUGGUUUGUGGGGUGGCUUCUGGGUAGGAGCUGGUGGCUUCUUUGUUGGAGUUGAAGGAGGCGUAAUCUUCUGAGGUGGCUUGUAUGAGUCUUUGGCACUCUCUGCAGGAGGGUGCCCAGGGUUGUGACCGGAAGGAGGUGGCUUCUGUCCCUUUGGUGGUUUGCCUAAUGGGCUUGGUGGCUUGUGCUCCGGGAGUUGUUUCUCUCCCUCGAGUAGGUUUCGAGUUUUGUCAGAUGGCUUGUGUUCUGGUGGUGGCUUCUCUCCCUGGGGUGGUUUGCCGAAUGGGCUUGGUGGCUUGUGUUCGGGGAGUGGCUUCUCUCCCUUGGCAGGUUCAGUUGGUGGCUGGUGCUCCGUAGGUGGUUUCUUCACCGCCGGCUUCUCUCCCUGGAGAAGGUUACGAGUUUUGUCAGAUGGCUUCUGUUCUGGUGGCGGCUUCUCUCCCUGGGGUGGUUUGCCAAAUGGGCUUGGUGGCUUGUGUUCGGGAACUGGCUUCUCUCCCUUGGCAGGUUCAGUUAGUGGCUGGUGUUCCGUAGGUGGUUUCUUCACCGGCGGCUUGUGCUCCGGAAGCGGCUUCUCUACCUGGAGAAGCUUACGAGUUUUGUCAGAUGGCUUGUGUUGUGGUGGUGGCUUCUCUCCCUGGGGUGGUUUGCCAAAUGGACUUGGUGGCUUGUGUUCGGGGAGUGGCUUCUCUCCAUUGGGAGGUUUAGUUGGUGGUUGGUGUUCCGUAGGUGGUUUCUGAAGUGGGGGAUGCUUGGGGUAGUCAGCAAGAGACGAGGUAGUGAGAACCACCAGUCCCAGCAGCAAUACUAGCAAGGAUGUGGAAGACAUCUUUGAGUUCAGGCUGAGAUUUGUGCAAGGCUAGAAGAAUUAGGUGGCCUUUUAUAGCGGGCUGGACCCAACAACCAAAUGACACGUAUCAUGAUACACAUAUGUGUUAUAAGAUCCUUGUGGGUCCUACAGAAGUUGAAAACUUUGACAAUUGAGGUGUGAUUACAACUUUUGUCCCUAUUGCUUUCUCGUCAGCCGUUUUGCAAGAUUUUUGACAGGAGGACGGUAGUUUAAAAUAAUAAUUUCUAAAGUACUUUUGUGAAAAAAAAUAAUUCCAAACGUGGAUUUUAUCAAGUAAAAAAAACAAAAAAAAGUUAUUUUCUUUUAAAAUCUUUUCUUCAUGAUUCAUAUACCAAAAAAAGAAUUGUUUUCUGUAGGUAAAAUUUUUAAAAUUCAUUUUUAAAAAAAAAAAAUUACACACUAAAAUUAUCUCUUCAAGAAAAUAUUUUUUAAAUUUUAAAUAAUUAUUAAUUUAUAAUUAAUUUUUUAUUAAUUAUUUAUUAAAUUUAUAUGUGAAAAAUGCAUUUAUAAAAAACAAAUUUUUUAUUAAUUUAUUAAAUAAUUAUUUACAAAAUAAAUAAUUUUGCUUUAUUUUAAUUUUAAAAUUAAUUUUAUUAUAUAAAUUUUAAAAUUAAAAAUAUUAAUAUUUAAUUUAAAAUUUAACUAUAAAAGGAAUAAAAUAUAGAAAAAUAAAUUAAUUUAUUAUUCAAUAAAUUAAUUUUCAAUAAAAUUUUCAGCAUUAAGAGAUAAAUUUUUAAGUAUUAAUCAAUUUAAAAAAUAAUAAUAAUCAUUUGUAUACUAAGAUAUUUUAUUUAGUAAUUAUGAAUGAUAAACAACUAAAGUAAUUUGAAAAAAUAAUAAAAUAUUUAAAAAUAAUAAUUUAAUACACUUAAAAUUAGAAAUGAUUAACUAUUUUUUAUUAAGAAAAAAUUGAAGAAAUAUUUUGUUAUUUAAAAUUUUUUAUUUGUUUUCAAUUUUAAAUGUUAUAGGUUUCAAGAAAAUUGAUCAAAUAAAAAUUAAGAAGUCAUUUUUUCAAAAACUAUAUAUCUAAAUAAAAGCCUUGAAAUUCAAAUACACAAUAUCAUAAAUAUAAACACCAAGUCAAUCCUUAAUUAUCAAAUGUUUUUAAUAUUAAAGAAUCAAAAUCACCUACUAUCAUGAUAAUAAGAAAACCAAUAAUAUUGUUCAUAUAAAUACUAAAAAGCUAACAAAUAUCCCAAACAAUUAAUAAAGUAUCAAACAUGAUAAAAAGUCAAUUAUUAUCAUGAAUGCAAAAAAUCAAUAAUUUUGUUUAUAUGAACCAUCAACAAAGAAAAAAAAAAUCAAUAUCUAAAUAUUAAACAUAAUUUAUAUUUUUAUAAAUAUUAUUGUUGAUAAAUAUCUUAAUAAUUAUAAUUUUUUAUAUAUUAAAUUUAGUAAAUAAAAUUAAUUAAUUUUAUAAUAUAAGAUAUAUAUAAUAAUUAAGAGACUAUUUGUCCCAAACAAUUUAUUUAUUUUUUUUUUAGGAAAUUGUCUCUUCAAGAGACGACUUCUCCCAACAUUUUUAAAAAAAAAAAAAAAAACAUCUAUUCAAAAGACGAUUUCUCCUCAUUUUUUAAAAAUGAAUUUUAGAAAUCAUAUUUUCAAAAAUGAAUUUUAGAAAUCAUAUUUUCAAAAGACGAUUUUUUUUUAUAUAAAUUAUUUUUUAAAAUGACGAUUUUAAAAGGAAAUAACGAUCUCUCUCCUACUUGGCAAAAACUAUGGUAAAUUUGGAAUUAUUUCUUCCACAACCAUAGUUUAAGAAUUAUUUUUUUAUACUUUCGUAGACUUAUCAAAAAUCCCUAUUUUGCAUGUCUCAUUUGGCAUGACUUUCUUACCUAAACAAGCAUAUAUAUAUAUAUAUAUAUAUAUAUCACUUUUGUCUGGGUUGAGUCAAUGCCCUUAACUAAUUUGUUCAUUUGAAUAGUCUAAAUUAUUAUAAGCUUUUAGUUAAGAAAAAUGUGAAACAUAAAUUACACCUCUCGGCACAACUUCGACACUGGUUACUCUGUUUCAGUUUAUUCACACAAGAUUAUUGGUUCUAGGGUUUAUUUGGUUUUGGUUUGAUUCUAAUUGCUAAACUUUCUCAAGGAAGAUGUUAUAUAGGGAGUGAGAAACCUUCACUCCUGGCUACCUCCAAGAGAAGAGCAAGUGGUCUGAAUCAAAGAUAUACUGCUCACUUUUUCUUCUUCUAAGGACAGCUAUGACCUUGCUUUAAAAUGUUCGAAUAGCCUAAUGCAACCUCCCAUUUCUCAAGUCAGCUGAUGAUGUAAGUCACCUUGGCUUUCCACAUUCAUACGGUGAGGACGUUUGUGGGUGUAAUUCUCUUAACAGUUUUCAUUUUAUAUGGAAAAAUUCAUAAUUAAGGGUAAUUACUGAUUCCAUUUGACAGUGACCAAGUUUAAAAUAUUAACUCAUGUAUUAAAUGCACAUUAAAAAAUCAUGGAAUAAAUAUAUUUACUAAUAUAUAGUUCUUUUGUCAUGUUCUGUCACAGAAGCAUCGAACUUUCCCUAGAAAUUUUUGCAUGGUAUUCUGCUUAUGAUUUUGAAAACUCUAGGCACCUAAGGCCACUGAUUGCAUGGUUGGAUGAGGAGCUGCAUGAGAUUAUGUAUCCUGUUGCUCCUUAACUACAAAUAUCAGUUUUAAGUAGCAUCUCCAUGUGACAUUUUCCUGAUGCAAUUUCGCUGUCCACCAACAAAUGUCUCCAUGCAGCUAGAUGAAUUGUAAUUUCUUUGUUGUUAUCAACAGCUUUAAUUAAUCUUGAUAUAUAUAUAACUUAGUAGAAGUAAUUAAUCUAGAUUGUAGUUGCACUAAGAUAAUAGGCAAUAUUAUAACAGUGCCACAAUGCUCAUCGCCAAAUAGAAAGGUAGAAAAACUACAAUGAGUAACUCACACAACAUUCUCAAACAGGACAUAGCGGCGACUGAUACAUAGAACACUAUUGGCACUCAGGAAAUGAUAAGAUCAGUGCCCAGCAGGCAGCACGUCUUAUUUUACAUACUACUUAAAACUAACCAAAGUCAUUCAGUUGGGAUGGGUGGGAGAUGGUGGUUUGUGCGGUGGCUUCUUUCCUGGAACUGGUGGUUUUUUUGUUGGAGUUGAAGGAGGCUUAAUCGUCUGAGGUGGCUUGUAUGAGUCUUCAGCACUCUCUGCAAGAGGGUGCCCAGGGUUGUGACCAUAAUGAGGUGGCUUCUCUCCCUUAGGUGGUUUGCCAAGUGGGCUGGCUGGCUUGUGCUCCGGGAGCGGCUUCUCUCCCUUAGGUGGUUUGCCAAAUGGGCUUGCUGGCUUGUGCUCUGGGAGCGGCUUCUCUCCCCCAAGAAGUUUGCGGGUUUUGUCAGAUGGCUUGUGUUCUGGUGGUGGCUUCUCUCCUUGGGGUGGUUUGCCAAAUGGACUUGGUGGCUUGUGUUCGGGGAGUGGCUCCUCUCCCUUGGGAGGUUUAGUUGGUGGCUGGUGUUCCGUAGGUGGUUUCUCAACCGGGGGCUGGUGCUCCGUAGGUGGUUUAUGAACUGGGGGAUGCUUGGGGUAGUCAGCAAGAGACGGGGUGGUGAGAACCACCAGUCCCAGCAGCAACACUAGCAAGUAUGUGGAUGACAUCUUUGAGUUCAGGCUGAGAUUUGUGCAAGACUAGAAGAAUUAGGUGGCCUUUUAUAGCUGGCUGCACCCAACACUCACAUGACACGUAUCACGGUGACACAUGUGCUAUGGGAUCCAUUUGGGUCCUACAGAAGUUGAAAACUUUUGACUAUUGAGGUGUGAUCACAACUUUUGUCCCUAUUGCUUUCUCCGCAACCGUUUUACAUGUUUCCUUUGUGGUGUUUAAUAGUGUUUUUUUCCUUAAUUCUAAAUAAACCUUAAUACUUAAUAAUGUUAAAUAUUAGGUUAUUUAUUUUUAUAAUAUUUUAUUUAUAUUAAGUAUUAAAAAGUAAAGAAAAAUCAAUAUAUUUAUUUUUCUAUUUAGAAAAAACUAUAUAUUUUUAAUUUUUUUAUUUAAUAAAAAAUUUAUAAUAAAUCAUGAAAAAAUAGAAAAACAAACAACCUAAAUUUUAAAAAUAAAUUGUUUUUAGUAAAAACCCAAAAAAACAAACACCACCUUAACUAAACAAAUAUAUAUUAUAUUUAGUUAAGAAAGAGUAAAGUGUAUAUGGCUCAAAUCAAGGAAGAGAAACAGAAUAAGUGGAAGACAAUCAAUUGUGAUAAACAGAUAUAUUACAUGCAUGUAGUACUAGUGACUUUAUCAUUUACUUUUAUACAAUAGAUCAUCACACUCUUUCUUCUAAAUAUUUUGGAGGAUAAUGGUACAUGUUGCUUGUUGCCAAGUCAAAAUUGGUGGCAAAAAUCGGCAUGAUACGAAAGGAUUGGUGAAAAGAUUCACAUAGAUGGUGCUUUGUGCAAUGCAGUCUUGCUCUAAUUCAACAGAGUGGACCAUGGUGAUGUAUUUUAAAUUUUAAAUUUUAAAUUAAUGCAUGCUUCAAAGUUUUAACUAGAUGUCACUUCCAUGGAUUUUUGUUCAUUUAAUUGAGAACAGGAUAGGCUAUCAAACUUGAAGUAAUAUAAAAAUCCCUUCAUUACUGUAACUAAUGAAAGAUCAUUAUCUGCGCUUGGUAUUUUGCCAAGGUAUUUGCUGCUCUUUCUAGCCCUAUCUUACAGUUAAGGACAAUGUGAUCUAGUUAACCUUAGAAGCUAUUCCAUGUCAUAUACAAGAGAUCAAGCACAUUAUCUUUGGGCUCAGUUCAAAACUAUAAUAUAUGGGUGGGGUGGGGGCCUAUACCAUUUGCAUAUCACCACUAUUGGUUUAGUUUGGAAGGUUUCUUCUGGAAGAUUGCUUUCUGGAAACAUUUCAAAGAAAUAUAUCUUUUUGUUCUCUUGGUGACGAGCAGCGGCAAUCAAGUCUGUUGACAAACAACCGAGUUGAAAAGUUUGAAAAUUGGUCACAGCCCACGUCCAUGGUUAAGGAAAAGGUCACUGGAAGUGAUCCCUUCUGGGCCUGUUGGAAGCAGGGGAGGUUAACACACCAAGCAACAAAGAACAGAGAUAUGCUGCUACUGAUCUAUAUUUUUUAUUUGAUCAUAAGGCUAAAUUUAUACAGAUUGUGUAACAGAUAUGACCUCAAAAAAAAGCAUCAAAUCAAGCUACUUGUUGAACAAACAACUACCUUCUACAAAAUAACAUCAAAAUUUAACUUAAAAGCAAAAACAUAAAAAUAGCAACAGCAAAAAUAGAAACAUAAAAAUAGCUUCAGCAUUCUAGUAAUCUCGUUGACUUCAAUUGCAUGUGGUUGACGAUUUCAGCCUUUUCCUCAGCAGCUACUAAGGCAUAACUCUCAACACUCCUCCUUGACUUAGGAGGUGCAAACUCCAAGUCUUUCUCAUAGAAACUCAAAUCUUAUUUUAGGAAGAGCUUUAGUCAGAAUAUCUACAUUUUGACUGUCUGUAUUGCAGUAGACUAGUUGUAUAUCUCCUUCUUUCUGUACUUCCCUCAAAAAUUACAAUUUAAUCUUGAAGUGCUUUGUUUUACCAUGAAAAACUGGAUCAUUUGCAAUAGAUAUAGUGGCCUGGUUGUCUACAAACACCUUUGUACUCACUUCUUGCUUCAUAUCCAAAUCUGUCAGCAACUUUCCAAGCCAUAAGGCUUGAUUUACAGCUGUAACAGCAGCAAUAUACUCUGCCUCAGCUGUGGAUUGAGCCACGACUUCUUGCUUCCUUGAACUCCAUGAAAAAACACCAGAACCAAAACUAAAACAAUAGCCUGAAGUACUUCUCAUAUCGUCAACACAACCAGCCCAAUCACUAUCAGAAAAUCCAUGAAAAUUGAAACUUUGAACUUGACUGAACUUAAUGCCAUAAUCCACAGUGCCUUUAACAUUUCUUAUCACACGCUUUGCUGCCUGGAAAUGAAUUUCACUAGCACAAUGCAUGUAUCUCGAAAGUAGACUUACAGCAUGCAUUAUAUCGAGUCUUGUUGCAGUCAAGUACAUUAAGCAUCCAAUCAUGCUUCGAUAAAGUCCUUCAUCUACCUUUUUAGCACCGUCCUCCUUACAGAACUUCUCUUUCUGGUUCAUAGGGGUAGAUGUAGGUUUGCAUUCCUCCAUUUUGAAUUUCUUCAUAAUUUCUUUGGCAUAUUUUUGUUGGCAGAUGAAAAUCUCAUUCUGCUUCUGGUGUACUUCCAUUCCCAAGAAGUAAGACAUCUCAUCUAGGUCUGUCAUCUCAAAAACCUGCUCCAUUUCAGCCUUGAAUUUGUUCACAAACCCUGCAUUACUUCCUGUUACAAGCAAAUCAUCAACAUAUAGAGAAACAAUUAAUAUAUCUUCUUCAAUCUUCUUAAUGUAGAGUGUAAAUUCACUCAAGCUCUUGUGAAAGCCUAAAGUUAGCAGGUGAGUGUCAAUCCUGCUGUACCAAGCUCUAGGGGCUUGUCUUAACCCAUACAAGGCCUUCUUAAGAAGGUAUACUUUUUCUUCUUUUCCUUUGAUAGCAAAACCUUCUGGUUGUUCGACAAAAAUCUCUUCCUCUAAGUAGCCAUUCAAAAAUGCUGACUUCACAUCUAGUUGAUAAAUCUUCCAUUUUCUUUGAGCUACAAGAGCCAACAACAUCCUGAUUGUAUCCAAACGAGCUACUGGUGCAAAGGUUUCCGAAAAGUCAACACCAAACAUUUGUGCAUACCCUUUGACAACCAGCCUUGCUUUAUGUUUGUUUAUAGAACCAUCAGAGUUGAGUUUGGUUCUGUAAACCCACUUAACCCCAAUAGGUUUUUUGUGUGAAGGUCUAUCUACUAGCUCCCAAGUGUUGUUCUUGUCAAUCAUAUCUAGCUCCUCCUGCAUUGCAACCCUCCAUCUUUUAUUUUCAGCAGCUUCAACAAACCCUGCAAGUUCAAGAACAGCUAUAUUACACCUUUGAUAAAUAUCAAAAAGUGUCAUGAAACCUCUAACUGGAAGUUCAUCAACAUCUUCAUCAAUAUAUUGCUGAUUCUGCUCAUCCCAACUCCAUUUCUCCGUUUCCAAAAACUUAACAUCUCUACUUACCACAAUUUUACUAUUUUGUGGCAAGUAGAUUCUGUAAGCUUUUGAGGUGCUGUUGUAUCCAAUGAAAAUUCCUGGUUCUGACUUUUUAUCUAGCUUGUCUCUUUUCACCUGAGGAACAUAAGAGAAACACAAGCAACCAAAGGUCUUUAAAUUCAUUAGCAUAGGCUUAUAAGCAAACCAGGCCUCAAAAGGUGUCUGUUUCUGCAAUGCUUUUGUUGGUAGUCUAUUUAGCAAAAAUACUACUGUAUUUGCAGCUUCAACCCAAAAACUUUUUGGCAGCUCUUUCUCAUGCAAAAGACAUCUUGUCAUUGAUUACUACUCAAAAAGUGCUAUUUGAUAGCCUUUAAUUAAUCCUUUUUAACACUUUUGAGUAGUAGUUUAGGCCUUUUAACUCAAUUGGCAUGUUAAGGAUCCUUUAAAGCAAUUUUGAUCACUUUGUGCAAGUUUUGGUGUUUUUGUUAGUAUUUCGAUCACCAAAGCAAGUCAAGAAUGAGGAGAGCUAUGAGGAAUCUUGGGCAAAGCUUAGAAUUCAAUUGCCAAGAGUGAAUCCGGAUUGCAAGGAGAAAAAGCAAAGAGGAUCAGUCAUGGAGCAUAUUCUUGAUGACAGUCGUAGCAGCCACUUUUGGAUCACUUUCUGAAGUCCAAAUGAUGCAAGCUAUAUACCAUUUCAAAGCUCAGGAAGUCAACAAUCCAAUGCUUCAAACGGUGUGCGAUUCGGAAUUGAAACGAAGAAGUUGCAGCCAUUACAAGCCAGACACUCUAAAGUGUUGCGGAAUCAGCCAUGUGUUGCGAGAAUUUCGCAGCACUUUUGUACAGUAAGGUGUUUCUCCUUCUAACGAUGCACGAACCAUGCCGCGAGAAGGGAGCUGGAAACUUCAAGAUGGAAGCCAACUUUGCAGCCUAGUGAAGAUAGCUCGGUCUUGCAAGAUAAUUUCGCAGCCCUCUUGGGUGUCUGCGAAAUUUCGCAGGCCUCAUUUUUCACCUGCGAAAUGGCUCUUGAAGCCUCCCGAAGCUUGCUACCGACAUUGGGAGAUAUUUUCCAUUAGAUUUUUGUUGUCUAAAUCCCAAAAUACUCCUUGUAAACCACCAAUUACAUGAUUCCUUAGUUUUUAAGUUAGUAAAAAGACCAAAUAUCUUUGUAACAAUUAGUUUUAUAUUUUGUUGUUAUAAAUACCUCUCGGGAGCCUGUUCUCAGGGAGGAGUUCCUUCUGUAAACGUUUGGUAAGCAAGUAAAGUCUAUUUUCUUUCUACUGCCUUACCUUCUCACUUUGUAUUUUCAUUUUAUUUCUAAGUUAUGAAUUCUCUGAGGAGUUUUCCCCAAAGAAUGAGUAACUAAACCUCCAAUUCCUUGGAGCUAAGGUUGCCGGGGAAGGUUCCAAGUGCAAGAAUGCAAAGCUCUGUGGUUUUAGCUAGUAAUGAAGAGGAAGUGAAAUCCUUUAGUGAUUUCAAUGUUUUUAGUUAACUUAAAACACUUUGGAGUCACCUGGGCCAACACUUGGUAAGGCAAGUGAUUUCCAACCAUGGAAAUGCACUAGUUUACCCCUUGCGAGCCUCUGGUAGGUGACUUCAAGGUAGGAUUUUCUGGAAUUACCAACACUUGGUAAGCUUUUGGACUCCUAGGAGACAUCCAUUAGUUAUCUCUUGCGAGUUUGUGAAGGGAAUCCAAGGUUAAAGAUCACCUUGAAUGGUAAGUGCUCGUGAGAGGCAUGAACCAUUGCAAGUUGUAUCAGUGAGAGAAUUAAAGUGAAAUCUAAUUGAAGGAGUCUUUGUACAUCACCGGUUAGAGAAUUGACUAUAAGUUGAAUCUCUAAUGCGAGGAAAUGAACCAACUGACCAGAGCCGUGUCUUUUGCAUGAGGAACCACCCCAGUGAACCUAAAUCUCCAAGGAAUGUUUUUUUCUUCCUAAAUUAUUCCAAACUUCUGUUAAGUUAGUUAGUUUAAAUCUCAACCUUUACAAAUCAAAGUUUGUGUUUUAUUCCUUAAGCUAACCGUGAAAUGAAACAAGACCAAUUCACUUGGAAUUGGUAUCAUUGAUUGCCUGCAAAUCAUUCCCAGUGAACGAUCCUAGAGCCACUAUACUAUAGUAGCUUUGUAUUUGCUACCCUAGUGUAUGGUGUUAUAGGUAUAAAUUUUGUUGAUCACUUCCUCAAUCAAGGAGCACCAGCUGAACACAAAUCAGCUGAGACACCAAUUAGGCAUGAGUCAAAUGGCGCCGUUGCCGGGGAAUGAAUGUCAAGUUCAUUGUGAUACCAUUGUUGAGCACUUGUGAUUUUCAUCACAAGUUGGUAAAGUUUCUUUCACUUUACUAAUUUUCAUUCUUUCUUUGUUUAUUUACAAUCUAAGUUUAUCUUUUUAAAUUUUAGUCUAGUUUAAUUUUGUUGUUGUAGCCCUGUUUUUCUUGUUGUCCUCUGUUUUCAUUUUUUUUUUCAGGUAGAUACUAGUUGUGUAUGCCCAAGUGGAUACGAGACAUAGGAGGUAGGCUUGUUAAGUGUGAUACACCUCAGAAAGGAGAAUUUGAAGUAAUCUUGAAUAUCAUGGAGGCUGCACCUGAAGAUCAGCAUAGUCACCAAGGUCGUCAAGACAAUCUCAAUGAAUUCAGAUCAAUGAGGGACCGUAUGCAUCCACCUCGUAUGAGUACACCAUCAUGUAUAGUGCCCCCUACAGAGCAGCUAGUGAUCAGACCAUAUCUUGUUCCACUUCUACCAACUUUCCAUGGGAUGGAAAGUGAGAAUCCGUAUGCACACAUCAAGGAAUUUGAAGAUGUUUGUAAUACAUUCCAAGAAGGAGGAGCUUCAAUUGACUUGAUGAGGCUUAAGUUAUUUCCUUUUACUUUAAAGGAUAAGGCCAAAAUUUGGCUUAAUUCUUUAAGGCCAAGGAGUAUCCGCUCUUGGACUGAUUUACAAGCUGAGUUCCUUAAGAAAUUUUUUCCUACUCAUAGAACAAAUGGCUUGAAAAGGCAAAUUUCAAACUUCUCAGCUAAAGAGAAUGAGAAAUUCUAUGAGUGUUGGGAAAGAUACAUGGAAGCUAUAAAUGCUUGUCCUCACCAUGGCUUUGAUACUUGGCUAUUGGUGAGCUAUUUUUAUGAUGGUAUGUCCUCCUCAAUGAAGCAACUCCUCGAGACAAUGUGUGGAGGAGAUUUCAUGAGCAAAAAUCCAGAGGAAGCUAUGGAUUUCUUGAGCUAUGUAGCUGAUGUUUCAAGGGGAUGGGAUGAACCAACUAAAGGAGAAGUGGGAAAGAUGAAGUCUCAGUUGAAUGCUUACAAUGCAAAGGCUGGGAUGUAUAAUUUGAAAGAAGAUGAUGACAUGAAAGCAAAGUUGGCAGCUAUGACAAGAAGAUUGGAGGAGCUGGAGCUGAAAAGAAUGCAUGAAGUGCAAGCUGUUGCUGAAGCACCAGUGCAAGUGAAGCUGUGUCCCAAUUGUCAAUCAUUUGAACAUUUGGUGGAGGAGUGCCCUGCAAUUUCAGUUGAAAGGGAAAUGUAUAGAGAUCAAGCAAAUGUUGUUGGACAAUUUAGGCCCAAUAACAAUGCUCCUUAUGGAAAUACCUACAAUUCAAGUUGGAGGAAUCAUCCAAAUUUCUCAUAGAAGGCCAGAGCAACUCAAUACCAACAGCCGGAUCCACCAUCUCAGCAAUCUUCAAGUAUUGAACAAAUAAUAGCCAAUCUCAGCAAGGUAGUGGGAGAUUUUGUGGGAAAGCAAGAAGCCACCAAUGCUCGAGUUGAUCAAAGAAUGGAUAGAAUGGAGAGUGUGUUGAACAAAAGAAUGGAUGGAAUGCAAAAUGAUAUGAACCAAAAGUUUGAUAACAUCCAAUAUUCAAUUUCAAGGCUUACAAAUUUGAAUACACUGCAAGAAAAAGGAAGAUUUCCUUCUCAACCUAACCAAAAUCCCAAAGGUGUCCAUGAAGUGGAAAGCCAUGAGGGAGAAUCAUCACAGGUGAAAGAUGUGAAAGCUUUGAUCACUCUAAGGAGUGGUAAGAAAAUUGAGCAGCCAACACCCAUGCCACAUGUUGAGAAAGAAGAAGGGAUAAAGAAAGGAAAGGAAAUAGAAGAUAAAGACAGUGAGAUCAGUGAAGAAAAGAAGGACUCUGAUUCAACAAUCAAAGCAAUUCCAGAGAAAGAGCUUCUGAAGGAAGAAAUGCUGAAGAAAUCAACUUUUCCACCUUUUCCUCAAGCAUUACAGGGGAAAAAGGGGGUUAGAAAUGCAGCUGAAAUCCUUGAAGUCUUAAGACAAGUAAAAGUUAAUAUUCCACUGCUGGAUAUGAUCAAACAAGUUCCAACGUAUGCAAAAUUCCUAAAGGACUUGUGUACUAUCAAAAGAGGGGUUGACUGUAAACAAGAAAGCCUUCUUGACUGAGCAAGUAAGUGCAAUCUUACAAUGCAAGUCUCCUUUGAAGUACAAAGACCCUGGAAGUCCUACCAUUUCAGUCAUGAUUGGAGGAAAGGUAGUGGAGAAAGCCUUGCUAGACUUGGGAGCAAGUGUGAAUUUGCUUCCAUACUCUGUCUACAAGCAACUGGGACUUGGAGAGUUGAAGCCAACAGCAAUCACUUUAUCUUUGGCAGAUAGAUCAGUGAAAAUUCCAAGAGGAGUAAUUGAGGAUGUAUUGGUUCAAGUGGAUAAUUUCUACUAUCCAGUAGAUUUUGUUGUUCUUGAUACUGAUCCAACUGUAAAGGAAGCUAAUUUAGUUCCUAUCAUCCUUGGAAGGCCAUUUCUUGCAACUUCAAAUGCAAUCAUCAACUGUAGAAAUGGGCUUAUGCAACUCACUUUUGGUAACAUGACACUGGAUCUCAAUAUUUUCUAUAUGUCUAAAAAGCAAAUCACUCCUGAGGAAGAAGAAGGUCCAGAAGAGCUAUGUAUUAUUGAUACUUUGGUGGAGGAGCACUGCAAUCAGCAUAUGCAAGAUAAGUUGAAUGAAAGUCUUGUGGAUAUUGAGGAAGGUUUUUCUGAAUCUCCUAUUGGGCUUGCUACUCUACAAAGUUGGAGAAAGAUAGAAGGAAUUCUACCUUUGUUCAAUGAAAAAGAGGAGGCAACUGUUGAAGAAGAAAUUCCAAAACUCAAUUUGAAGCCUUUACCUGUGGAGCUGAAAUAUACAUAUCUUGAAGCAAAUAAUCAAUGUCCUGUUGUGAUAUCCUCAUCUCUGACCAGUCAUCAAGAGAAUUGUUUAAUGGAAGUUCUCAUGAGGUGUAAGAAGGCAAUAGGAUGGCAAAUAUCUGACUUGAAAGGCAUUAGUCCUUUAGUUUGUACUCAUCAUAUAUAUAUGGAGGAGGAAGCAAAGCCAAUUCGUCAAUUUCAAAGAAGGUUGAAUCCUCAUCUACAAGAGGUGGUGCGAGCUGAGGUGCUGAAGCUACUUCAAGCAGGAAUCAUUUACCCUAUUUCUGAUAGCCCUUGGGUGAGUCCUACUCAAGUGGUACCAAAGAAGUCAGGGAUCACAGUGAUUCAAAAUGAAAAAGGGGAAGAAAUUACUACACGCCUCACUUCAGGUUGGAGGGUGUGUAUUGAUUAUAGAAAGCUGAAUGCUGUCACCAGGAAGGAUCAUUUUCCAUUGCCAUUUAUUGAUCAAGUGCUGGAGAGAGUCUCUGGACAUCCAUUUUAUUGUUUCUUGGAUGGGUAUUCAGGCUAUUUUCAAAUUGAAAUUGAUUUGGCAGAUCAGGAAAAGACCACUUUUACAUGUCCAUUUGGAACAUUUGCUUAUAGAAGAAUGCCUUUUGGUUUAUGCAAUGCACCUGCUACAUUUCAAAGAUGUAUGUUGAGUAUUUUCAGUGAUAUGGUGGAGAGAAUUAUGGAGGUUUUCAUGGAUGACAUCACCGUAUAUGGAGGUACAUUUGAGGAGUGCUUGGUUAAUUUGGAAGCAGUUCUUCAUAGAUGCAUUGAAAAAGAUUUGGUGCUGAACUGGGAGAAAUGCCAUUUUAUGGUACGUCAAGGAAUUGUCCUUGGCCAUAUCAUCUCUGAAAGAGGCAUUGAAGUUGAUAAAGCAAAGGUGGAGCUUAUUGCCAAAUUACCAUCUCCAACAACUGUGAAAGGAGUAAGACAGUUCCUUGGCCAUGCAGGGUUCUAUAGGAGGUUUAUAAAAGGUUUUUCAAGUCUUUCAAAACCUCUUUGUGAGCUGUUAGCUAAGGAUGCUAAGUUUAUAUGGGAUGAAAGGUGUCAGCAUAGCUUUGAUCAACUGAAGAAGUUUUUAACAACAACUCCAAUAGUGAGAGCCCCUAACUGGCAAUUACCUUUUGAACUGAUGUGUGAUGCCAGUGACUUUGCUAUAGGAGCUGUGCUUGGCCAAAGAGAAGAUGGGAAGCCCUAUGUGAUUUACUAUGCAAGUAAAACACUAAAUGAAGCUCAGAGGAACUACACAACUACAGAGAAAGAAUUGUUAGCUGUGGUAUUUGCUUUGGACAAAUUUCGAGCUUAUUUAGUGGGGUCUUUCAUCAUUGUCUUCACUGACCAUUCAGCCUUGAAGUAUUUAUUGACAAAGCAAGAUGCAAAAGCAAGGUUGAUUAGAUGGAUUCUAUUGUUACAAGAGUUCGAUCUUCAAAUCAAAGAUAAGAAAGGAGUGGAGAAUGUAGUAGCUGACCACUUGUCAAGGUUAGUUAUAGCACAUAAUUCCCAUCCCUUGCCUAUCAAUGAUGAUUUUCCUGAAGAAUCACUCAUGUUCCUAGUGAAAACUCCUUGGUAUGCUCAUAUUGCUAAUUAUUUAGUAACUGGGGAAAUUCCAAGUGAGUGGAAUGCACAGGACAGGAAGCACUUCUUUGCCAAAAUUCAUGCUUAUUAUUGGGAAGAGCCCUUUCUCUUUAAGUAUUGUGCAGAUCAGAUUAUUAGGAAGUGUGUCCCUGAAGAUGAGCAGCAAGGGAUUCUAUCUCAGUGUCAUGAGAAUGCAUGUGGAGGCCACUUUGCCUCUCAGAAAACAGCCAUGAAGGUAUUACAAUCAGGGUUUACUUGGCCAUCUCUUUUCAAAGAUGCCCACAUCAUGUGUAGAAAUUGUGAUAGAUGCCAAAGGCUUGGAAAGCUAACAAAAAGAAAUCAAAUGCCUAUGAACCCCAUUCUGAUAGUUGAGAUAUUUGAUGUUUAGGGCAUUGACUUCAUGGGACCUUUCCCAAUGUCUUUUGGUAAUUCUUACAUUUUGGUGGGGGUAAAUUAUGUUUCUAAAUGGGUUGAGGCAAUCCCCUGUAAGCAAAAUGAUCACAGGGUGGUUCUCAAGUUUCUUAAAGAGAACAUUUUCUCAAGAUUUGGGGUGCCCAAGGCCAUAAUCAGUGAUGGAGGAGCUCAUUUUUGCAACAAACCUUUUGAAGCUCUGUUAUCCAAGUAUGGAGUGAAGCAUAAGGUAGCCACACCUUAUCAUCCUCAGACAUCCGGGCAAGUUGAGCUAGCUAACAGGGAAAUAAAGAACAUUUUGAUGAAAGUGGUGAAUUCCAACAGAAAAGAUUGGUCUAUUAGGCUUCAUGAUUCAUUGUGGGCAUAUAGAACAGCUUAUAAAACUAUUCUUGGGAUGUCUCCCUAUCGUCUUGUCUAUGGCAAAGCAUGCCAUCUCCCUGUGGAAGUUGAAUACAAAGCUUGGUGGGCAAUAAAGAAGCUGAAUAUGGACUUGAUCAAGGCCGGAGAAAAGAGAUUUCUAGACCUUAAUGAGAUGGAGGAAUUAAGAAAUAAUGCUUAUAUCAAUUCCAAAGUUGCAAAACAGAGGAUGAAGAAGUGGCAUGAUCAACUCAUCUCCAACAAGGAAUUUCAGGAAGGGCAAAAAGUUUUGAUGUAUGACACAAGACUCCAUAUCUUUCCUGGGAAGCUCAAAUCAAGGUGGAUUGGUCCAUUUGUUAUUCACCGAGUAUAUUCCAAUGGAGUGGUGGACUUAUUGAAUUCCAAUGGCAAGGAUAGCUUUAAAGUCAAUGGAUAUCGUCUCAAGCCGUUCAUGGAGUCAUUCAAAUCAGAAAAGGAGGCAAUCAACCUCCUUGAACCUCAAAAAGCCUAAGUGAAAAGGGUUUGCUGGACGUGGCUUUACCACAGUCCAAAAUUUUUGUAAAUUUUGUAAAUUUUCAAGUUGUUUCUAUACUUUUGAUUUUAGUUUUUGAUCUUAAAUCAUGUUUUUAGGUGUGUUUUAAUCGUUUUAAAUGAUCCCAGGUGGAAGAAAUUUCAAGGGGAUUGAAAGAAAAAAAAUCGGGUCGAAAUUGGAGCCGAAACAGAGCAAAAACAGGGGAAAAACAGAGCUCUGCGAAAUUUCGCAGGGUGAAGGAAACCUCUGCGAAAUGAGCAUUUUGUUGCGAAACCAUUCCGCAGCACUGUAGAAGCCUCUGCGAGUGUAUUUCGCAGCUGCGAAAGUGAAUUUGGCACACGAGUGCCACUUCGCAGUACAGUAGCAUCCAUUUGGCAGCUGCGAAACUCAUUGCGAAAUGGAAAAGCGUGAUUUCGCACCAAAAGUCCCAUUCCGCAGGGUAUUUCGCAAUUGCGAAAGUGGUUUUGGCACACGAGUGCCACUCCGCAGCACAGUAACAUCAAUUUCGCAGCUGCGAAACUCACUGCGAAGUUGCUGCGAAAAUGGCAAGUUGCUGCGAAAUUGGCGUUUAGUUGCGAAACUUAAACUGACCCCUGAGCUUCCGUUUUUCCUAUUUAUACCGGUCAAAAGUGCUGCGAAAAGGGUUUCAAAAAUCAGAGCACCAUUCUCGCAGCCCCUUCAUCUUCUUCGCCAAGCCACGCCGUCCGAACCUCCGGUCGUCUUCUCCGUUUAGCAGCGCCGGCCAAAGAUCGAUAUUCCAAAAUGGCACGAACGCGAGGGGCAAAAUCUUCAUCCCCUUCGAAUCGCAAAAGGAGUCUGCGAAAGGAGCCAAGUCCAGGUUCUGCUCCAGAACCUGCUCCAAAGCCUUCGCCGUCGAGACCACAACCUUCUCCAGUGAAGCCGGCGCCACUAAAGCCGCCGGCAAGACGAUAUUUGACAAGGUCAGGCGGUUGGCCAUUGAAGAAGAAGCCCAGGGUUGAGAGCUCUGAACCAAUUGAUUUGACUGAGCAAUCCCCUGAGCAGUCCCCAAAUCCUUCACCAGUUCAAACUCCAGUGCCGUCACCGGUUCCCUCGCCAAUUCCCUCACCUGAAGCAACUCCAAUUCCAUCGUCGGUACCAUCUCCGGCACCCCAAGAAAAAGCUCAGGAGCCUCAAGCGCCAAUUCCAGAGCCCCAAAUUGCAGCUGAAGCACCUCUGGAAGAAGUGAUCCGAAGGCCAAUGCUGCCCCAGCCCCCAAUCGAAGGAAACUUGGAUUGUCGAACACGGGCAUUCCAUUCUGAGCUUUGCUUCGAUUUAACAGCAUUCAGAGUGAGGCCAGAGCUUGCCCAAUCCUUCCAGCUGCUGAGGAGAUAUCAUAUGGAGCAUCUGCUAGCUCCAAGGGAUUUUUUCUAUCCCCGGGUAGUCACGGACUUCUACCAGACCAUGACAACCAAAGAAGUAAGAAAUCCAACUCUGAUCCAUUUCAUAAUUGAUGGAAGGCAUGGUAUUUUGGGAGCAAGACACAUUGCUGAAGCUCUGCAAAUUCCUUUUGAGCCAACCCAAUUCGACAAUUUUAAAGCUUGGGUAAAUCCUACUGAGUUAGAGAUGGUUCGCACACUAACCAGAGGAGCUGCAAAUCGAUCACACCUGUUGAGGGGGGAGCUACCUCCAGUGAUGUUUUUGAUUGAUGCCUUUUUGAGGCAUAAUAUCUAUCCCCUGCAGCAUUGGACCCAAAGAAGGGGAAUUCUCCUGGAAGCUUUGUACAAGAUGUCAGAAGGAUUCUUCUUUGGGCCCCAUCAUCUUAUCAUGGCAGCCCUUCUAUACUUUGAGGAAAAGGUUCACAAGAAGAAACUUCAAAGAGCAGAUUGCAUUCCACUCCUCUUCCCAAGGCUGCUAUGCCAAGUUUUGGAGCAUCUCGGAUACCCCUCUGAGCCUCAGCAGGAAAGAAAGAGAAUAUGCCGUGAGCCAUUUACUCUUGAUAAAUGGAAUAAUAUGACGGCCUACAAAAUUGAUCAGCCUGGGCAGCCUCAGCCAGCAGCAAGGAGAGCCUCCCCAAGACAUGCACCUGAAGGUAUAACACUUGCUACUCCUGCCAUCCCUCGAGCUUCACCAGCUGCACCUGCUGCAUCACAGCCAUCCACAUCAGCUGAGCCGAGGAUGGCCAUCCCUAUAUCCGAAUAUCGAGAGCUGUGCCGAGCAUUGGAGACUCUUACAGCUUCCCAGAGCAAUCUUGCUCAAGAGUUGGCAGCCAUCAAAGCAUGCCAGGAGCAGAUGUUAGCCUCUCAGGCUCAACAAGCUGCCAUCCUAAGGCAGCUUCAAGUCCAUUUCGAUCUGCCACAAGCUGUAGAGCCCUCCACUGAGACUCCACCAGAGCCACACUCUCAGCCUUCAGAGUCUCUUCCUCCAGAGCCAGAAGCCCCAACUGAUCCACCUACAGAGGAGGCGGAUCCUUCUGCUUAGCACCAUCACCCCACUCAUCAGACAUUAUAUAUAUUUGCUGUUUAUGUUUUUAUGCAUGUUUGUUUUGUUUUAGUUGAAAUGAAAUCCCAGUAUUUUGGUACUAUAUAUGGGAUUCCUUGUGAUUACUUGUCCUUAGCAUUGUACUCGAAUGAAUUGAAAGUAAUACAAGUUGAAUUUUUCUUGUUAAAAGUUAGCAUUAAAAUUCUCCUUAUUUCCUUUUCUCACAUAUUCUAUUCUUUUUGAAACAUGUGGUUUUCCCCAAUCAAUAUUCGAAUUUGAUAUCAGCAUGGAGGUACCACUUCCUCCCUUUUAUUACAGUCACUCAAAUCACAUUGAGGACAAUGCUCAGUUCGGUUGGGGGGUAUGAGGAAGGAAGUAUUCUAAAUCUUUUUGGUAUUGCAAUUAUAUUGGUUAAUUAGUUGUAGAUUUUACGUUUUACUCUUGUUACUCUAUUCUCCAUGAAUUUUGAGGAAAAAUUUUCAAAUUAAACCAAGAGAAAUUGAACUGUUGUUUUUCACUUGACUUAGAGUAUGGAUUAUGCUUACUAAAGUGGUUCAAUUGUUGAAACUUCUACUGAAAUUGAAUUGAGUUCUUCCAUUUUAAGCUAUCCACACACUGUGCACAUUAGUUUCUGAUUAUAAGAUGAAAAGCUAUUUCCCUCUUGACUUAGGAUAAUUUUGGGACUUGGUAUAUUUGACCUCAUUUGAUAAAAAUUGAAACACCCUGCAAAAGGCCAAUGAGCCUUUGAAAUAAAGAAAGAUGUUUGCUUGCCUUGAAACCCGAGCAAGGUCUGAGGGGCAUAUGGUGAAAGCCUUUAAAGCCUGGUGCCCUAAGCCUUAAUUGGUUGGGAGUCACCGACCUCAAUGCUCGUUACAAGGGUGAAUAGGUAGAGCUAGCAUAUGGUAGAUGCUUGGGUAUUAGAAAUUCAUUCUUAAAAGUCCAGGGAAAAAUCCGAGGAGUUAGUGGUUGAAAGAUCCUUAAAACUUGGUGCCCUAAACCUUAAUUGGUUGGGAGUCAUCGAUGGACCCCCAUUACAUGGACAAGUCAGAAAGAGUACCCCAUAAAGCUACUUUAAAAAAAAAAAAAAAAAAAAAAAAAAGAUGAUGAAAGUGUGUUCUUUUCUUAUUGAUUUUGGUCAGAUUGCUAAAGUGUUGAAAAGAGAUAGGUUGGGGGGGGAGACUAGUUUAGCAUAUUAUUCUCGGAAUCUAAGGAACCAAUACACAUAGAUUUUUGUGGAAGAUUGAAGUUUAGUUCUUAGAAAGUGAAAUGAUUUUAAAACUUCAGUUUGCAUAAUGCACUCCCUUGAUUGACAGUGUUUAGCAUAGGUGUUAUGACUCUUGUUGAGAUUUGGGUUUGUAUUUCUUUAAUGAUUCAUGUGAGAAGUAAAUCAUCAUGCCACUUAAGAAUUAUUUUCCUUUCAGCAUGAUGUUGUAAAUUUUAGAUUAGUUUGCUAUUUAUUUUUAUUUUUCUCUCCUUUAUUGCUAAGGGACUAGCAAUAUGUCGGUUGGGGGGAGUGAUUACUACUCAAAAAGUGCUAUUUGAUAGCCUUUAAUUAAUCCUUUUUAACACUUUUGAGUAGUAGUUUAGGCCUUUUAACUCAAUUGGCAUGUUAAGGAUCCUUUAAAGCAAUUUUGAUCACUUUGUGCAAGUUUUGGUGUUUUUGUUAGUAUUUCGAUCACCAAAGCAAGUCAAGAAUGAGGAGAGCUAUGAGGAAUCUUGGGCAAAGCUUAGAAUUCAAUUGCCAAGAGUGAAUCCGGAUUGCAAGGAGAAAAAGCAAAGAGGAUCAGUCAUGGAGCAUAUUCUUGAUGACAGUCGUAGCAGCCACUUUUGGAGCACUUUCUGAAGUCCAAAUGAUGCAAGCUAUAUACCAUUUCAAAGCUCAGGAAGUCAACAAUCCAAUGCUUCAAACGGUGUGCGAUUCGGAAUUGAAACGAAGAAGUUGCAGCCAUUACAAGCCAGACACUCUAAAGUGUUGCGGAAUCAGCCAUGUGUUGCGAGAAUUUCGCAGCACUUUUGUACAGUAAGGUGUUUCUCCUUCUAACGAUGCACGAACCAUGCCGCGAGAAGGGAGCUGGAAACUUCAAGAUGGAAGCCAACUUGGCAGCCUAGUGAAGAUAGCUCGGUCUUGCAAGAUAAUUUCGCAGCCCUCUUGGGUGUCUGCGAAAUUUCGCAGGCCUCAUUUUUCACCUGCGAAAUGGCUCCUGAAGCCUCCCGAAGCUUGCUACCGACAUUGGGAGAUAUUUUCCAUUAGAUUUUUGUUGUCUAAAUCCCAAAAUACUCCUUGUAAACCACCAAUUACAUGAUUCCUUAGUUUUUAAGUUAGUAAAAAGACCAAAUAUCUUUGUAACAAUUAGUUUUAUAUUUUGUUGUUAUAAAUACCUCUCGGGAGCCUGUUCUCAGGGAGGAGUUCCUUCUGUAAACGUUUGGUAAGCAAGUAAAGUCUAUUUUCUUUCUACUGCCUUACCUUCUCACUUUGUAUUUUCAUUUUAUUUCUAAGUUAUGAAUUCUCUGAGGAGUUUUCCCCAAAGAAUGAGUAACUAAACCUCCAAUUCCUUGGAGCUAAGGUUGCCGGGGAAGGUUCCAAGUGCAAGAAUGCAAAGCUCUGUGGUUUUAGCUAGUAAUGAAGAGGAAGUGAAAUCCUUUAGUGAUUUCAAUGUUUUUAGUUAACUUAAAACACUUUGGAGUCACCUGGGCCAACACUUGGUAAGGCAAGUGAUUUCCAACCAUGGAAAUGCACUAGUUUACCCCUUGCGAGCCUCUGGUAGGUGACUUCAAGGUAGGAUUUUCUGGAAUUACCAACACUUGGUAAGCUUUUGGACUCCUAGGAGACAUCCAUUAGUUAUCUCUUGCGAGUUUGUGAAGGGAAUCCAAGGUUAAAGAUCACCUUGAAUGGUAAGUGCUCGUGAGAGGCAUGAACCAUUGCAAGUUGUAUCAGUGAGAGAAUUAAAGUGAAAUCUAAUUGAAGGAGUCUUUGUACAUCACCGGUUAGAGAAUUGACUAUAAGUUGAAUCUCUAAUGCGAGGAAAUGAACCAACUGACCAGAGCCGUGUCUUUUGCAUGAGGAACCACCCCAGUGAACCUAAAUCUCCAAGGAAUGUUUUUUUCUUCCUAAAUUAUUCCAAACUUCUGUUAAGUUAGUUAGUUUAAAUCUCAACCUUUACAAAUCAAAGUUUGUGUUUUAUUCCUUAAGCUAACCGUGAAAUGAAACAAGACCAAUUCACUUGGAAUUGGUAUCAUUGAUUGCCUGCAAAUCAUUCCCAAUGAACGAUCCUAGAGCCACUAUACUAUAGUAGCUUUGUAUUUACUACCCUAGUGUAUGGUGUUAUAGGUAUAAAUUUUGUUGAUCACUUCCUCAAUCAAGGAGCACCAGCUGAACACAAAUCAGCUGAGACACCAAUUAGGCAUGAGUCAGUCAUCUCCAUUAUUGUUUUAUUUUUUCUUUCCACCACCCCAUUUUGUUGUGGGGUGUAUGGUGCAAUGAGCUGGUGAUCUAUGCCUGCAUCUUCACAAAAUUUGUUGAAUUUUUCUGAAGUAUAUUCUGUACCAUUAUUCGACCUUAUAACCUUGAUUCUGUAUUCACUUUGAUUUUCAACCAUGGCCUUAUAUCUCAAAAACACAUCAGCAACCUCAGCUUUGUAAGUGAGAAAAUAAAUCCAACAAAAUCUUGUGAAGUCAUCAAUAAAUGCAAUAUAGUACUUACUCCCUUUCAAAGAUGGUGUCUUUUGAGGUCCACUCACAUCUGUGUGAACCAAUUGUAGUUUCUGUGUUGAUUUCCAUGCUGCUUUUUGAGGAAAAGGAAGUCUUGUUUGCUUCCCAUAUUGAUAGGCUGCACAUAUAGGAAGUUCUUCUUCCAAAUCAGGGAGUCCUUCUACAAUCUAAUUCUUCUUCAUGUAGAGCACGGUAUUGUGGUGGAAAUGCCCUAAUCUUUUAUGCCAAAGCAUUGUAUUGUUCUCGUGUUGUGCAGCAGUAAUUUGCUCAUCUUCUAACAUAUUUAAGGCAAAACUUUUGCCUUUCAUUUUUAUGUUGAACACCUCUUUGCCUUCAGCAUCCUUGAUUAUGCAAUUUUUGUCUUCAAAACAAACUUUAAACCCUUUCUCAACAAGCUGUCCAACACUUAGCAAAUUUUGGUCAAUGUCAGGCACAAACAAAACAUCAGAAAUGAGCUUUAAACCUGUUAGGCUUUCAAUAGCUAAUGUUCUUUUACCUUUUACUGGAAUAUACUCACCAUUUCCUAUUCUAACUUUGGAAAUAGUUGUCCUAUCAAUCUCCCUAAAGCGAUCUUGAUCAUGUCAUGUGGUUUGUGCAACCACUGUCCACGAGCCAGCUUUCAGAGGUGCUACCGUUUGCAAAACAUGUUGCUGAAAAUAGUUGUUCCUCCUGGUAUUGUUCAGCUGCUACAUUGGUUUCUCCCUGCUGCUGCUGAGUUCUACAGAUCCUUUCUAUGUGUCCAUGUCUACCACAUUUGUUGCAUUUCACAUCUGGUCUCCACCAACAUUUUUGUUGAGGAUGAUUUGUUUUCUUGCAAUGAGGACAGGGUGGAUAGGUUCCAGUUUUUUUAUUGUUGUUGUUGCUUGGCUUAUUGUUGUUCUUUUUGUUCUUCCUCCUUCUUGUGUUACCUUCAUUGGUCUGUGUCUUUGCUUGAAAAGCUCCUUCUACAGAACUUCCUUGCCUCAUGAGUCUUCUUUGUUCCAAAGCUUGUAAAGCAUUUAGUAGUUCUGCCAAGGUGAUACUUGACAAAUCUUUUGUGUUUUCCAAAGAAGAAAUUGUAGCUUCAUAUUUUUCAGGAAUUGUGACAAAAUUGUUUUGAACAACUCUUUCAUCAGAAAACUCUUUACCUAGCAACCUCACCUUGUUUGCUAUGGUAAGAAGUUGUUCUGCAUAAUCUUUUAUGGUUUGAGACUCUUUCAUCCUCACCAUUUCAAAUUCUCGAAUUAGAUUCAUUACCUGCACAUUUCUGACUCUUUCAUUGCCUUGAUAUUCUUCCCGUAGAUGCUUCCAGAUUUCUGCAACAGAUUCAAGUUGCAUGAUUCUGGUGAGAAUUAAUGGUGAGACUACAGAAAAUAAGCAAGCCUUGGCCUUAGCCUUCCUCGUCUUUUUCUCCUUAUGGUUUUUCAUCUGUGACACAGUUGGAUUGGCUCCAAGUGGAGAAAUUUCAUAAUCUUCCUCUAUUGCUUCCCAGACAUCAAGAGCCUGUAGAUGAACAGUCAUCCUGACAGCCUAAGUUUGGUAAUUUUCUCCAUUGAAGACUAGUGGUGCUGCUGUGAAGCUUGCUUCUUCCAUUUCUGCAAGGUUUUCAGAUUCAGGUUUGGUAUACGGUGUUUAGGCUCACACACCUCACUGGUCCCUCAAGACAAAAAUUGCUCUGAUACCAAACUGUUGGAAGCAGGCGAGGUUAACACACCAAGCAACAGAGAACAGAGAUAUGCUGCUACUGAUCUAUAUUUUUUAUUUGAUCAUAAGGCUGAAUUUAUACAGAUUGUGUAACAUAUAUGACCUCAAAAAAAGCAUCAAAUCAAGCUACUUGUUGAACAAAAAACUACCUCCUACAAAAUAGCAUCAGAAUUUAACUUAAAAGCAAAAACAUAAUAAUAGCAACAGCAAAAACAGAAACAUAAAAAUAGCUUCAACAUUCUAGUAAUCUCAUUGACUUCAAUUGCAUGUGGUUGACGAUUUCAGCCUUUUCCUCAGCAGCUACUAAGGCAUAACUCUCAACAGGGCCUCUUAAUUUCCAUUCUGGCAUCUAUAUGACCUGAUAAAUAGAAAGAAAAAAAAACAGAAGAAAAGCGGCACCUGGGUUCAUAGUAAGCAUCAAGACAGGAUGCUGAAAGAAGGGAGAGAGGAGAUUGCAAGUCCAAUCCUGAUAAAAUAUCAACAAAGAGUAUUAAAUGGGGCCAACAUAAAGACCCAUUAAGGUCAGCAGAUGGCAUGGCAUUUUUCUCCUUAAGUUUUCCAUGAUUAGGCUUGAAGUCAAAAUUUCACAUGUAAAUUUGUAUUUCUACAUUUCCCACUGACGACACCCAACUUCAACUUGAGUUAGAAUAACAUUGUGUGAACUUAUCUGGCCCUCAAAAUUUACUGUGAAGUGCUUUCUGCGUGUGAAGAUUCAGAAAAGCACCAAGGGAACAUGUAUGGUCUGCCUUUUUCUGAUGUUAUGUUUGUCUCUAAUUCUGUUCCAUGUCAUGGUAAAUGUUCACAUUGCUUGUAUGGAACACACCAGGAUCACUUUUUCAGGUUUAGGGGGAUACAAAAGGCUUCAUAUUGGGUUCAAUGCUUUUAAUGUGUUCAUUGGACAAAUCUGAAUUAUCAUACGCAUUUAGAUAAGAACAAUAAUGUGAAACCCUAGUUACACCUCCCCUGCAUAACCCCAACCCUGCUUGCUCUAUUUCAGUUUACUCACAAGUUUUACUGGUUCUUAUAAGUCAAGAAAAGGCAACUGAUGUUGGAUCGACUCUCUUCCAUGUAAAAAAUGCAACUUUUAUACAUAUAAAAGAACUUCUUCCCCUCACCAAUGUGGGAUUUCAUAGAUUUAUUCUGGAAACACAUCAAAGGAACAUCUUUUCUCUUGGGUGACCCUAAGUGGUGAGUCAGAUCAUUUGCAUGCCAUUGAGUUGCACAGUUGGAUAAAUGCACCUGCCUCCUGGGCUCCAGAGUUAAAAGGGUGGAUCCCUGGAUUGCAACCCUCUUGGCAUCUUGGUUUCUAUUCCAACAUCCACAUGACUUGACAAAACAAAAAACAGAAUAAAAUCAGCACUAUAUUCAUGCUAAGCACCAAUACAUGAUGGAAAUCAUUGCUUAAAGAUUUGGGGUCGUUUUAGGUUUUGACUGCCUCCUACCACCUCACCUAAUGACAAGUUUUUAUGCUUACAAAUCAAAUAUCGUUCUUCAUUAUAUUAAAAUCAUUUUAAGAUUUCAGAUCCAUCUGCUAAUUAUGAUUAUGAUAACAUUUAUUCACCUGUGCUUCUCAUUUUCGACACACAAGGCAUCUAGGUUUGCAGGAUUUCCUUAUUAGAUGAGAUAAAUGAGUACGUAUGGUUAUGUAUCCAGCAUUCAUUAACCAUGGUAUGUGACAUUUAGAAUUAAGAUAGCAAGCAAACUUUCCCUGCAGCUAGAGUAAAUUGUGAUUUCUUAGCCUCUAUGAGUGGUUCCCAAAUCAAAUUAACAUAGUGAAAUAUACGUAGUCCAGUGAAAGGAAAUGUAAAUUAUAAACUAACAGCACUACACUACUGGUAACAAUCGAUACUCUCUAUAUAAUGCAAUAAACAAUGUCACAAUUGCCUACAAGCAAGGCACAAACACUAGAACAAGUAAAGCACAAACCUUUCCCAACAGUUCCCAGUGACUGAUGCAUAUCAUACCCUCAACUCACAGAAGGGGAUGAUAUCAGUGCACUGCAGCACUUAUUUUACACAUACUACCACUACUACUACUACUACUACUACUCAUUAGCCAAAGUCACUCAGUUGGGAUGAGUGUGAGGUAGAGGUUUGUGGGGUGCUAUGUGGAAAGGAGUUUGGCUUCUUCUCAGGAGAUGGUAGCUUCUUUGCAGGAGUUGAAGGAGGCUUAAUCUUCUGUGGUGGAUUGAUUGUAUGAGUCUUUGGCACUCUCUUCUCUAGUACAGGUGAAUACCCAGGGGUGCAUCCAUAAUGCGGUGGCUUCUAUCCCUUAGGUGGUUUGCCAAAUUCAAAAUCGAAGGAUUUUUUUUUUUUAAGUAUACGUAUCUUUGAAAGCUUUUAUUUUGUAUGGCAAAUGGAAUGAGAGGAGCAGUCAUAUUCUAUUUGGCCAGAGCAACAUAUCACAAAUGAACAAGCUAUUUACUGCCACACUGGGCAAAACAUACAUAAUCCUUGUACUUCAAACAUCCAUGAAUUCUCAUCAUUUUCAGGACACGUUGCAUGGUCUAUCAUUCUAUAUGUCGGCAUAGUAAGUGCAGCUAAUAAGCCUAUUCAGAGCUGAAAUUCAAAAUCUAUUCACAGGAUAAUGACCUUAUUAUUGGAUUUUGCUCACUGUCAUACACACAUAUCAGAUAAAGCCCCACAUGCUCAUAAGCUACAAGCAACCUACAAGCACUAAAAUGAGUGUUAGACGUAUGAAACAUUCCCCAAUACUAGUAGUAUUACCUGUUCCAUAGAACACUAAAUUAGAAGAGAGAAGAUGUGAGACUCCAGCUUUUCUUUCUACAUAUUACUCAUAUCAAGUUGGAAUAGUUAGGCGGUAGAGGCUUGGGGUGGCUUGUGUAGGGGACUAGGCAGCUUCUCUCAGGAGUUGAUUUCGUCUUAUUCUGGAUGUCCAGGUUUCGUCCUUUCGAAUUUCCCAUGCAAAUCAGCAUUCUCCUUGGGAAACUUCACUCCGUUGGGAAACUUGUGUGAAUCUUUGGCAUUCUCUACCAGAGAAGGCCCAGGGCAGUGACCAUAAGGUGGUGGCCUUUUUUCAGGUGGUGGCUCCUCUCCCACUGGAGGCUUGUGGUAAUCAGCAAGAGAGGCAGUGGAGAGAAUCAUCACCCCAAGGAACAGCACUAGCAAGUAUUUGUGAGCCAUAUUUGGGAUCUGAUGAUGAAGACUAGAAGAUAGGAGUUGCCUCAUAUAAUGGGUUGGAGACUAUAUCUCAAGGGGACGUGUAUUUAUGCAUAUGAUCUAUAUAGGACCAUCCUCCUAAUAUUUUCAAAAUAAUGUUAUUGUCUCUCUUGGGUGACAGUUUGAUUUGGUCUAUUUCCAUGCCACUGAGUAGAAAAGUUUGACAAUUGGCUACACCACCUACCUGGAUUACAUGGUUGAAAGUGAAGAUCAGUACAGUGUGAUCACACUUGACCUCUUGUUCCCCAUUCCAGUAUCUAAUUAACCUGACAAAAGUAAAAGGAAAGGAAAAAGGGAAAAAAUAGAAUAAUGUUCAAAUAAAAACGAGAAAAAAUAGCAUAAUGUUGAUGAAUCAUGAUAAGCAUCAAGGCAUGAUAGUGAGAGAGAGGAAAGAAGACAGUGUAAUUUGCAAUCCUGAUAAUCAUUAUAUAGCAGUAACUUUAAUCAUUUUUCUAUCACAGGGAACAUGACACUCAUCUUCCUAUGGAGAUAUUGCAUAAGUUUUUUUCUUUGUAUGUCAACACUAACCAAUGAAGCAUGUUAGCUGGUUUGAAACUGAAACUGUAGCCCUCUGUUUGGUUCUUGAAAAACUUGAGAGAAAAUGGAAGUAAAGUUAAAAGGAAAGAAAAAGUGAAAAAAAAUAAAAAUAGAUUGAAAGUUAACAAAUUAUUUUUACAUGUUCCCUCAAAUUUCUUUCACUUAUUUUUCCUUUUCUAUAUAAAGAUUAAAUGAUUUAAAAAUCAUAAAUUUCUAACUAAUUAUAACUAUAUUUGAUUUUCUUUCAUAUUUUCCAAGAUAAAGUCAGACAUGAGAAAAUCAUUUUCCUUAAAAAAGAAAUUCUUUCCUUUACAGUUUCUUAGAACCAAACCUGGCACAAAAGUCCAAAUUGGGGUUUCUCCAUGUUCCAUUUUUUAUGGCUACCUUUAUGGACCAUAUAAUAUAGAAUGUACUUCUGCAUACCUUCAAGAUCAAGCUGAACUAUAAGAAAAAGACAAGCCAUGGCCCACGGAGCAGGGAUACCAAGCUGCCUUCUCCUAGAUUAAGUUCCAAGAUUUCAGUCUUCAAACCUGCUAAAAGCUAAAGGCAUGUUUCCAGCCUGCGGCAGAUAACAUGCACUGUCCAACAAUAAAUUGCAAACACAUUCGAUGCAGUUUAUUAGUACAAUAAGAUUAAAUCCACCAAAUCUUUUACAGUUCAACCAACACUUGAACUAGUAGCUAGCUUCACUACUGGGUAAUAAUAUAUAAACCAAACUCUUGAUAGGAACCAACCUAUCGCAGAUCGAACUUCUUACAUCCACCAUGAAUUACUGAACCAAAAGAAGAAUCGAAGAGACUGCCAAGGAGGAAAGCCUUCCUAUAACUAGAUAUUUAUAUUCCAAAUUAGGGAGAGCACCCACUGCCCAGGCCUCGCCCAGCAUAAACAGAUAGUAUACAUAUACAUGCAAAAAGCUCCAACCUUCAAGAUUUUAACUAUUAACUUAACACAAUUAAAAAUGUAUCCAAAAAGCAAAUCCCCUUGAACUCCUGAAGCAAUUACUCCAACCAAAUAAAGAUUUUAAGAGUUCCAUGUUCAUAUCCUGCAAGGAAAUCAUUCAAUGUUCAGACCUCUAAUUUCUGUCUUUCUAAAUGCCCAGCCAAAAGGCAUAAAGUAUCAUCCAAAUUGGAUGCACAGCAUAUGUUCUUAAAUCAUGGGAUUUCACCAUAAGUUACUACACUCUAACAGGGCCCAGAAAUUGACCUCCAGAUAUGCCUAUCAAAAAAUUAUCCCCACAUACAUUUUUCUGCUGAAAAGACAAUAUUGUUACAUUUGACAUUCAACCACUACUUGAACUCAACAACCAGGGAAAAGAAUAUAGUAUUUCUACCAAUGAGGAUGAGAGGGGCUGGUGAAUUAACAGGUAAAAGUUUGUUUUGGGUUCAUUGUUUGCAUAAUAAUGUAAAAAUGGAGUAGUAUAUUAUAAAUUAAUGUAAAAAUGGAUUAGCAUAACAUAAAUUGCCAUAAGAGAACCACAAACUACAAAGAAACUUAUUUUCCAAACAAGGAAAAUUAUUCAUAGCCAUUAUUACAUAAGAAAGGAAAUUGAUAAAAUUAUUAUCCAGUUCCCCAUCAGGAAAUAUGAAAGUACUCCUAAAAGCCUCAAUUCUAACCAGAAAACCAUAGAAAUGUAUUAGAAAUAUUGUACAGGGUUCUCUCCAAUAUUAGCUUCAGUUGCUAAGGAGAUCAGAACCUUGAAAGUAAGUCACAAAGGUCGUGUGGGUUUCCCAGAGUCUUCAACAACCAGUAUUCACAUAUGUACACAUUAAAAUUAAAUAAAGCAGGUAUCAAUUCCACAGGCUUUAAGAUUUGAAUUGCUUCUCCCUGGAAUCAUACACCACUCAUAUUGUCACUGACUUUCAAUUACUUCUCCCUGCGAUCAUAUGCCACUCAUAUUGUCACUGCCUUAGGGAACAAAGUGAAAAUCUGCAAUUUCAAUUAAUUCCAACAUAAAAAUAAAAAUCAAUCCUCAAAAAAUGGAUUGCCAGGAGGUAAAUAUAAUAGAAGACGAACAACUCUCACAACCAAGUUAAAGAAACCAGCCGCUAGGUACCUUUGAGUUCUAUACUACCAGGAACAAAUUGGAUGAGAUUAUUUAAAGGCUAUUCCACAGUGGAAAUUCAUUCGUUCAAAAAACAUUUGUCAUGCAUAUAGGCAAUCUAUCCUAUGCAUUCAUACAUCAUGGUCUCAUGCAAUCUUAAUAAAAGUGGUCCUGGAAAAAGAGAGAAAAAAGUAAUUACAAGCCUGUGCGACCAGAUUUCUUUUGUUUUUUUUUUUUUUUUCCUUUGCCAAACAACCAUGUUCAUAGUUUCAGAAGUUCAUUCUGUCUUUAAGAGACCAUGGCAGUGACUUGGCCAUUCAGCUAAGANNNNNNNNNNNNNNNNNNNNNNNNNNNNNNNNNNNNNNNNNNNNNNNNNNNNNNNNNNNNNNNNNNNNNNNNNNNNNNNNNNNNNNNNNNNNNNNNNNNNUCACCAAGGACUCCUCAACCUCAAAAUAAUAGAGAAAGUCUAGGACACCAUGUCACUACUGAGGACAACCCAACACCACAACAUUUCAGUCCGUUCAAAAAGAGUAAUUGGAAUUGUUGCAAAAAAUGUUCAACUAGUCCCAACAGGAGGCAAAUUCCUCCAUUUCUUCAUCGGGUCCGGAUCCUUUGCUCAAAAAGGUAAUUUUCUUACUGCCCUAAAAGAAAAAGGGAAAAUGUGAGUCAUUGGAUUGUUGACUCAGGAGCUUUUGAUCACAUGACUAGAGUGCCACAAUUUUUCAAAAUUAUACACCUUGUUUUGGGGAUGAUACAAUUCGUAUGGCUGAUGGUUCUCUCUCAAAGGUGACUGGUACAAGUUUUAUUGUCAUCUCUAAGGACCUAACUCUUGACUCUAUUCUUUUGGUUCCAAACUUGGAUUGCAAUCUAUUGUCCAUUAGUAAACUCACUUAUGAAAAGAACUAUGUUACUAAAUUUUUCCCAAACCAUUGUGUUUUUUAGAAUUUGAAUUCGGGGAAGACGAUUGGCAAUGUUGAAGUGUGUUUAGGACUCUAUGCCUUCAAAGUGAAUUAUUAUAUUGAAAGACAAUCUUAACCAACAGUUGGUGAAAAAUGGUGUCUUUUUGUCUUUAGUUCUAAUAAAGAUAGUGAUGUUAUGUUAUAGCACUAUUGUCUAGGACAUCCUAGUUUCUUAUAUCUCAAAAAACUCUUUCCAUGGUUUUCAGUGUGAAAUUUGUCAACUAUCCAAGCAUCUUUGCAAGCCCUAUCCAUAGUUUUAAAAGACUUAAGGCACACCAAGACGCAAAGUCCUCUUGGAGCCUUAGGCGCAAGGCACACCUAAGGCGCGAACUUUAGUAAAGUGAGGUGCAUCCUGUUUUACAUAUAUAUUUUUAUAUAAUACAAUCAAGUGCCCGAAAAUUUUCCUCUAAUUUUCCCCUUCUUCUUCAUCCUCUUCUCUUCUUCACAUUGUUCGGGAGGCUAGGACAUUUUUUUUUUUUUACAUGUCUAAAACAAGCAUAUAUUGGGUUUUGGAAGAAGAACAAGCCAAAAUGACAUCGUUUUGGAGCCUAAUCUUUUAAAUAAAUAAAUAAAUAAAUAAAAACCAGCCAAAAAUGACACCGUUUUGGCCCCUGUUCUUUUAAAAGAACAAACCAAACAACGUCAUUUUGAUCUCAGGAAAUUAAAAAAACAAAACCCUCGUCAUUCUCCCUUUGCUACUCUACAACUCAUCGUCAAAGGGUAAAAAGAUGACCAAAAGAAGAAGAAGAAAAAAAAAAAACGACGACAGAGGAUAGAGGUGCACCUGUUGAGGGCGUUGCGCCUAGCCAAGAGGCGAGCGCCUUGCACACUUAAUCAACGCCUCUGUGAAGGGGCGGCUCCUGCAAUCAGGCGAAGCGCUGAAGGGUGAUGUCACAUCGUCUAGAGCCUAGGCGCACCUUUCACAACUAUGACCCUAUCCAACUCAACCAUACAAACCAUCUCAUCUUUUUUCCAUACAUAGUGAUGUUUGGAGGUCAUCUAAAAUAAAGAACAUAACAGGGACUAGAUGGUUGAUGAUCAUACUAGAAUUUCUUAGAUAUUUCUAAUGAAAAAAAAAUCAAAAAUUAGUCAAAUUUUCUAAAAGUGGACCAGAAUUUCUUUAUUGAAUUAAAAAGUUGAAAUUAAUAUUUUGGAAAAGUUAGGGCCGCUCAAGAGGUAGAAAUAGCGCUCGAGUGGUAGAAAUAGCGCUCGAGUGGUAGAAAUAGCCCUCAAGUGGUAGAAAUAGCGCUCAAGCGCUAGGACCGCUCAAGCACUUAACUAGCGCUUGAGCGCUCAUAUAGAAUCUGCCAGAAUAUGGAAGAAUAUUUUUUGGAUAAUCAUGAAAAUUGGAUUUGGAAACUUUAGAAUAUCAAUCUCCUUCGGCCUAGAGGUUUAUAUAAACCCUAUUAUAACCCUUUAGGGUUAAGAAAUUCACCAAGUGGUUUACCCUAACUUGUCAUACCAUUCCCGAUCUCUCAUCAAGGAAUCAAAGUGUUUAAUCUUGGGUUGUUUGAAGACCUGCAUCCCUUCAACAAGGCUAAGGUGUAUUCACUAGAACAAUUGAAAUUGUUGCAUUGCGGACAUGAAUCAAGUUGCAGGUUCUAGAGAGUAAGUCUUUAGAAUAAAGCAGACAAAGAGUUCUAUGUGACUUUAUCUCAUAUAGUGGAUUUAGCUUUGAGGUCUUAGACCUCGUGGGUUUUUAUCUCCAUAGUUAGUGUGGGGGUUUUCCACAUAAAAAUUAUUGUGUCUCUUGAUCUUAUGUUUGAUUUUAGAUAUUCUAUUUAUCCCUGAUAUCUCACAGGUUAACUUUAGGUUAAAAAUUCAACUCCCUAUUUAAUAAUUUUUAAAAUACACCCAUUCACGAGUGUUAUCCUACUGGACAUUGGUUUUUCACCAUAUAUAACACUCAUACCAAAACCCAUGCAACAUGGACUCCAACCUUAAGCUUAACUUUCUACGAAUGGAAAAAAAAAAAGACAUAACAUAAAUAGACAGAUUUAACAACAUGCUCCUAAUCAAGGUGAAUGUCCCUCUUUUUGAAAGAUAUGACCUUUUCCAUACGAGGAGCUUUCUUUAAAAUUUCACCUCUACCAAUUCCCAUGCCUUUACAAAGUUGUGGAAAGCUCCAAAGAGAAGGCCCAGACAUGUAAUGGGUAGAUUCCCUACCUUAGAACCUUACACCAAAGCUAAACCCCUAAUAUUUGUGACUUCUAUAAGAAUCAAUUCAUUUUUUUCCAUAUUUAUUUCUAAAUCAGACAUUGCCUCAAACCACAUGAAGUUAUAACUUGGAUGUUACAGAUGCUCUUAAUUAGUGUCACAAAAAAAUAGGGUAUCAUCAUCAAACAAGAAAUGUGACACUUCCAUCCCCUCCUCCUGUCUUCCUCCCACUUUGAAACUUGAGAUGUAACCCCUUUUAUCUAAUUCUCCUCAAAAUUCAAUUGAAAGCCUUCAUUGCCAAUAUGAAAAUGUAAGGGGAGAGAGGAUCUUUCUACCUCAAAUCCCUUGAGCUCUCAAAGAAACUGAAUAGGACACUAUUUACUAGAAUAGAGAAUUGAGUAGUGGAAAUGAACCAUUUGAUCCACCUCACCCACUUAUGAUCAAAGUCCAUUUUAUCCAACAUCAUUAACAAAAAGUUCCAAUUUACAUGGCCAUCGUCCUUUCCAAUGUCUAACUUGCAAAUUACCCCACUAUUGGGACUCUUUAACCUUGAAUCUAGAGCAUCAUUUAUGAUUAGAACUGCAUCUAGAAAUUGUCUGUCUUCCACAAAAGCAUGCAAAUAAACUAAAACUAUUUUACCCACCACAUUUUUUAGUCUUUUAGCCAAGACUUUUUCCAAUAGCUUGUACAAAAAAACCCCCAACUAAGCUAAUCAAUGUAAAAAAUUUUAGGUUCUCUGCUGCACCUAUAUUAGGGAUCAAGACCAAGAACAUGACAUUUAAAUUUUGCUCAAAGGAACAAUUAUCAAAAAACUCCCCAAGCUCAUUUGCCAAAAUAUUAUAAUAAAUCCAUUUGGCCCCUACAGCUUUAUCCCCACUCAAGCUAGACAAGGCAACAAGAAAUUCCUCAUCAAAGAAAGGUAACUCCAAUUUCCUAGAAUCAGCACAUAGCAUAACUUCAAAGGUCAUCCCAUUAAUGUUGAGUCUCCACUCGCCCAUAUCAGAUAGGAGAUUUUGGAAGGCCCUAAACUCCCCUUCCUUUAUAUUUGCUUCCCAAGCAACCAUUUUGCAUUCACUCAAAUUUUAAACAUGAAGUUUUUUAUUCUUUGGGCAUUGACCAUUUCAUGGAAAAUUUUGGUGUUUUUAUCCACCCCCUCUUUUAACCAAAUUUCUCUUUAUUUUUGCCCCCAUACAUAUAGAUUCUUCUAACAAGGCCCACUUGCUAAACUCAAUCACCACUAACCUUUGGCCUCAACGAUUUCAAGAGAUAAGGUAACUGCUCUCUACUUUGAGUCCCAGAAGUUGAUCCAGUUUAGCACCUCUAGGUUUUUUGUUGAGACAUUCCCAAAACCUUCUUCAUUCCAAGAUUUUAAAUCUCGUUUGACAGCCUUUAGUUUAACUUCCAAAAUAUGACCAUACAAGCCAUCCACAUUAUAACCAUCAACCAACUCCUCACAAAAUCUUUUAAGCCUUUUGUUUUAGGCUACAUAUUUUAAAAUGUAAACUGUGUUUUCCCACUCCUUAUCCUACCUCCAUCUAAAACUAUGGGGUAAUGACCAAAAAUUGGUUUAGGUAAAAUACUCUAGAUUAAAGUAGAAAAACGAUUCUACCAAUCAUCUGACACUAGGAAAUGGCCAAGCUAGCCUUGAAGAAGACAAAAGAUUAUGAACACCACUCCAAGUGAAUAGCCCUCCAACUAGCGAAAGAUCCCAAGGUCAAGUCCUCUAUGUCCUCUGAAAAGAACCUCAUAUCAAACAACAUUCUAAGGCAAUUCCUCCUUUUCAUGGGGAACUUGACCAUAUUAAAAUCCCCUCUGAAGCACUAGAGGUCAUCCCAAAGGCCUCUUAUGGCACCCAACUCUACCCAGAAAUCCACUCUUUCUCCCCUUUAAACCAACCCAUAAACUCUUACGUAUACCUAGACAAAGCUAUCUUCACAAUUCAUAGACAAGCAAUAGAGAAUGCUUCCACCUCCUUACCAAUUAACUCUAAUACCCUACUAUCUUGGAAAACCAAAAUGCCUACUAUCAAGCUUCUAACUUCCAAUACCAUUUCAAAAAUUUUCCUACUCCUAAACUCCUUACCAGUUGAACGAACAUCUAUCGAACCUUGGUUUCUUGUUAACAAACUAGAUCAACCCCUUGAGACCUUAUCAAUGACUUUAUUAUCAUAUACUUUUCCUCAUCAUUUGCUCAUUUGACAUUCCAAGACAGGAUUUUUAGCUUCAUCAUGCAACCUAUGUUGGAUCCUAACUGCUACUCUUGGAGCCCUUUUCCUUUUUGUUGAGCUUUUAUAAUUGACUAAGCAUCCCAACUUGUUGAGGUCCCUCUCAAACCAAGAUAUCGAGGUUAACUUCCUCUUCACCUCCAACGAAAAAACAGAAACCCCUCUCCUUAGCCUGCCACACAAGGGAAAAGAUCUCUUUUUCAAAUCCAUCAACUGGCAUUCUUGAGAAACUAUUGAAAUUUGCCAACUUACAAGAUAUACAAUUGGAGGAGUGCUUCUCUACCAAACAACUACUAAAAUUCACCUCAAAGGUGACCUUUUCCCCUGAUCUCUCCCCGGCCUCCAUACCCACUGACCCUUUCACAAAAUUUUCUAGAAUUUCCACUAUCAAGCCGUUACGGAGAACCAUCCUCAACAAACUCCUUUGACUAAUGUGAAAAACCCCACCCAAGAGCAUCUUCCAGAAGUUAACUUACAAGAUUAACUAUAAUCUUGUGAAGACUCGUUACCUAAUGGGUAAAAAAUUUGAAAUUCUAUUAGUAUAAUUCUUUUUAGGCACAAAAGCUGUGAAAAUAGCAUUGGUGCUCUAAUUAAUAACCCCAUAAUUAUUAAGCAAUAAAACAACUUUUAAUAAAUUCUCUUUCACCACAUCCCACCAAUCCUAAUGCAAAAAAGCUAGGAAAAAGUCAUCAUUGCUCUAAGCAUUUCUCCUCACUAGUUGAAAGACUGCUUUAUGAACUUCCUCUUCGACAAAAGGACAAUCCAACCAAUUAGCACCAUUUUCCAAAAUGAGAGACCAACCCCCACUCUUCUAUCCUCUAAGGAUCUUCAUAUAACCAUUAAUGCCUUUCUAUACCAGCUAGUAUAUAUCGGGUUUUGGGCAAGUCCUAUAAAUUGGUUUGAGUAAGAUUUUUAAUUACCCUGUUCUUUCUUUUUAGUUGAUAAAUAUGCAUAUAUGUAGUAAUUCAUACAUCAGAAAAGAUUUUGCUAAAACAAAAGAAUUGACAUGCAGAUAGUGACUUCUUGAUAAGAGUAAUAGCUUAAGGGAGGAAAAUGAACUCCUCCAGUGGCCCCAAAGUGGUAAGUUCCUUCAGAUCCCAUGUUGCUAUUCUGCAUUUCUUUGUGUUUUGGCAUCAGCCCUCUUAAUUAAUUCACUAUCCAGCUUCUCAAAUUCCUCGGAUUCUUCCCUUGUUCUUGUGGAAACAUCUGCAUCUUGUCCUUGCAUUGUUAUGGAUUGGUGAUUAUCAUUCUUUGAGAACUGUGUGGCAGCUGCUCGUGCACCAGCUAUGGCUGCAAGGAGACCUUCUGGUUUCUUGUCUUCAGCAGCUUUGGAGCCAUCAAAGCAAGAAACAAGUAAUCCUGGUUUCAAAGAGAGGGGAUCUUGUGGUUCUGGAAGCAGAAACUUGACAGGUAGUGGAGCUUGAACAGGACGAAGACCCCUAACUGCUGCCUCAUAUAUCUGCAACAAUUUCAGGGGGGAUAAGUAAUUAAAAAUCAGUCACUCUAUUGCAUUAGUUAGACUUGCUUUCAAUGCGAUAGCAAAGAAAGAAUCAUCAAUGAAAAAAGAAAAAAUAAAUGAAAAAGAACAAAAAGGAGAGGGAAAAAAAAAUGAUGGGUGCUCAAUUUGUACUUUUCUUUCCAGGUUAUAAAUACGUUGGUACCCGCGCAUCUCAAAUGGUAUGAUUAAUUUCUGCAUCAGGUCAGGAGAACUAAGUCCAUCAAUAUACUAAAAAGCAAAUAUACCAAAAGGCAAGCAAAAAUGUUUAACCAUCUUGAGUGUCAAACUCUCCAAGAAACUAUAUACUUUUAGCUGAAUGAAAACACAUGCCUGUGGUUGCUCACAGAGCCAGCAAAACUCUGUUUGCGCUUCUAGCCUUACCUACAAAUAGAGUUUAGGUUAUCCAACCAAAAUGGAGAUACAUCACACAAAACAAACUGUACCUAAUCAGUUUACGAAGGGGACGGGGGGAAGCAAAAAGCAAAAGUAAAUUUCUAAGAUGCCCACCCCUUCAGGUACCUCCUUCCAGCACGCCAGCUCUUCACAUUUAACACAACCAACUACUUCAAUACAACCUGUGGCAAGAAUAGAGUUUGUUGGAUUUAUUGUAGCAUGCCAUACAGAAAAAUUUAGCAUUUCAGUAAGAAUAAGAAUAAGAGAGCUACUUUCCACUAAAAUACGAAUCACCCAUCAACUGUUGCAAACAGACAACAAUGUGAAUAACAGGUUUUAUAUAUAUAUAUAUAGAGAGAGAGAGAGAGAGAGAGAGAGAGAGAGAUAGAUAGAUAUAGAGAGAGAGAGAGAGUCAAAUAAUAAUAAAGGACAAAAAUAUUUCUUUGAGAAAGACUAAUUAGAAAGAAGAAACAAAGAACCCACAUGAAAUCAAUUUAGAUAAGAGAAAUACCUUUAAGAAUCUAGUUCUUUUUGCAAAUUGCAACUUAGAAUUGGAAUGCCACAUAUUAUUAUAAGGUAUCACAAGAGAUUAUUGCUUCAUUUUUUUUCUUUGCCAGAUCAGUUUUAAUAAAUAUAAAUAUAAAAAUAUAAGCAUGUACACACACACACGCAAACACAUUAUGUGUGUAUGUUUAUGGAUAUGUAGAUAUAGGUUUUUAAUAAUAGAGCAUGAAAACAUAUCUAGUCAGAAAUUCCAAAAAUCCAAAACCAUUAGCAACACCUAACAGUCUUGAAACUGGGUAAUGUUCUGGAAACUUGAGGUCUGCUAUCCCAUUCACAGCAUAGAUCUCCCUGUAGAAAUUCUCCAUUGCUUUGAUUGUGUCUGAAUCUGGGACCUUACUAGCAGCAUGAAUCCAGAGUCGGCCUUCAUAAAACAAAACAUGUAUAUUAAGAAAUAUCCUUGUAGAACAGUAACAUUUUUGCCAGCAUGCAAUUCGUGUUAAUAAUCCUUGGUUCUCACCACUCAUUGUACAUUACAAUGUAAAGACCUAAUAAGCCCUAAUAUAGGUAGGUGUCUGUGCAGAGAGAGAGAGAGAGAGAGGGGAGGGGGGUGAAAGGAAAGAUGAUUAUAGAACAAAUACAAGUUGAAUCUCCUGAAAUAAUGUCCAUCAAGUUAUUUCCUAGCAACAAGUACUGAUUAUGCUUUUCCUGAUAACAUGAUUUUCUUUGCUAACAACCAUACUAUAUUUUAUCAAGAAAGAGUAGUGCAUGUGGCGUGCAUCAAGACCCAUUAGAGUUCCGCUAAACCUAUAGUUCUGUCAACGUUAUCAUUUACGUUUCCUCUAGAUAAUGGCAUUUUCCUCUAAAACUCUUGCACCAUUAGGCUUCAAGUCAAAAUUUCACAUGUGAACUUUGGAAAUUUUCUCCAUUUGCCCCUAAGGAUACAGUUAGAAUUGACUUAAAAUCCUGAUUGAUGUAUACUUUUAACCGAAGAAUAUUGUAUAUAAUAAUUGAAAUAUUGUUGAUUCAUCGUGGAAAUACAUUUUGUAAGGAAAGUUGUUAAGAAUUUAGUAUGCUAUAUGGAGAAAAAAGUCAUGACUUAAGGUUGAGUAUGUAUAUUCUAUAUCAAAUAUUAGGUAGGAAUGUGGAAAAGAGCAGAGUGUAAUUAUAAGAAACAAAGAAAUAUAAGAUAUUCUUGAAAGUGGAAAAUGUAAAAUGGCUAAAAGUCAAAUUUAUGAUGCAUAAGGGGGAUCAUGUCACAUAAGAAACUCAUGGCAUACCAAAUACGUGUGGUAUGGAGUAACAAUUUUGUUAAAAUAAGUUUCUCGUUGGAGUACAUUAGGUGACAAUUUUUUAAUAUCAAAUUAAAGAGUCAAGUGCAUCAAUGAAGUCAUAUGUAGAAAAUUUGUUUGUGACAUGUACCAUAAAGAUAAGAUUGACUUGAUAUAAUUUAGUCCAGGUAGGAGUUGUUAAAGGUGUCUCAAAUUUCUAAUUGAUAUAUAUUUUUUUCUAAAAAAAUAUUAUAUAGAUAUUUCAAUAAAUGAUUAAUUCUUUGUAAAAAUACUUACAUAAUAAAAAACAUCAUUAGAAAUAUCUCUAUAAAUAUUUUAAAUCACAAAAAGAAAAAAAAAAUCACUAUGAGAUAAUUAUAAACAUGCAACAUUGUACCAAGUAAACAGAAAUGUGAUAAAAAAAUUUUGAGAAACACUAAAUAAAGGAAGGGCUUGUAUAUCAAGAUGUAAAUAUAGAGAGCAAUAUUUUUAAUCAUAUGAUAGAAUUAUUUUCUCUCAUUCAUGAUUAUAAGCAAAAUUGGGAACCAUUAUAAAAUCUUGUACACCUCGUGUAAAUUGAUGUUUGUCUUCAUAUUUUACACCAACAAAUGACAUUGAAGUUGUCAUUGAUAAAAGGGAAAAGGCAUGGCCUCCACACCAUGUGCUUGAAUCGUAUGGUUCAAGUUUAAAGAAUUUUCUCCAUAAUUUGAAGAUCUAAAACAUUUUCACCUUUAAAUUUCAUUUAAUUAUUAAUAUCUACAAAAAAUAGUUAAAUACUCUUUCUAUUUUUGAGUUGUUGAAUUUUUUGAAAGUUUUUAUAUUUGUUAUCAAGAAUUUAUAUUUUAUUAAGUGUGAAUAUUUAUAAAUAAGAUAUUAUAUAAUAUUUGGAUAAGAGAGAAUGGUGGAAUAUAAUAAAGUUUUAAUCCUUCCCAAUUUUUAUCUUUUUUUUUUUUUUUUUUUAUAAUCGCCUUUCUCUUUCAAUCCUAUUAUCAGGUACCUUAUAUUUGCUGAUGCUAUCUGGAACUAAAUUCCAAUCAGACAUUGUCCAAUUACUAAUAGGACAGAUCAUGUCUCUCUGUUUCUAAACUAACAUGUAUCGUAAUGUGGCCUCAUAAGGAAGGCUAGGAAGAUGGAGGAUUUUGUGGGAAGCGACCAGAAUCAGAUGGAAGAGAGAUAGCCCUGUUGACCUAAUGGCUGUAAUAGGAGAAGCGUGUGGAUUUAUGGGACUUAACUGAUACUAAACCUAUAUGAUGCUUGGAGUGGUGUUUCUUUCAUUUUGUUAAGAAAAUAUGGCAGCAUACAUCCUUUCAAUUGAGUGCAUCAGAGCAUCCAUAAUAGAUGGUCUGCAACCCUAGGUGCAUGCCACUUUCUGACUGAUAAUGAAACUGUCAGGUACUUGGCCUUGACUAAGCUCAACAGCAUCACAUAAAAAGAAGCUUUCAUACUUAGAUUACUGUUUAAAGCUUUUGCUUAUUUGCUUUCUUAAUGCCAUUAUGACAUUAUUGUUUCAAUUCUGCUACCGAUUUUCGAAGUUCUGGGCAUCUACUGAUUGCAUCAUUAUAUGAGAAGUUGCAUGAGUUUAUGUAUCCUGUUAUUGCUCCUUUGCGAUUUCACUGCUCACGGGACUAACCUCUCCAUUCAGUCGAAAUGAAUUGUAAUUUCUUUACUGGUAGCAGUAGUACUUUUCAUAGCAAAGAUAAUAGUAAAUAUGAAAUAUAAAUAGAAGGAAAUCUGAAUUGUAGAUGGCACUAUAAGUAACACUCAAUAUUCACUACAUAAUAAAAUAGACAGUGUUACAAAGGUAGAGAAACCUACAAUGAGUACUCAUCACCAUUCUCAAACAGAAACAUAGCAGCGACUUAUACAUAGAACCUAUAGGCUUGCAGGGAAAGAAGGGAAAGAGUAACAUGAUAAGUUCACAGCGGGUAGCAGCUCUUAUUUUACGUAUUACUCAAAAUCUCAAACUAACCAAAGUCACUCAGUUGGGAUGGGUAGGAGAUGGUGGUUUGUGGGGUGGCUUCUGGGUAGGAGCUGGUGGCUUCUUUGUUGGAGUUGAAGGAGGCGUAAUCUUCUGAGGUGGCUUGUAUGAGUCUUCGGCACUCUCUGCAGGAGGGUGCCCAGGGUUGUGACCGGAAGGAGGUGGCUUCUGUCCCUUUGGUGGUUUGCCUAAUGGGCUUGGUGGCUUGUGCUCCGGGAGUUGUUUCUCUCCCUCGAGUAGGUUUCGAGUUUUGUCAGAUGGCUUGUGUUCUGGUGGUGGCUUCUCUCCCUGGGGUGGUUUGCCGAAUGGGCUUGGUGGCUUGUGUUCGGGGAGUGGCUUCUCUCCCUGGAGAAGGUUACGAGUUUUGUCAGAUGGCUUUUGUUCUGGUGGUGGCUUCUCUCCCUGGGGUGGUUUGCCAAAUGGG
rnacentral:lncRNA from 1 species